GAGGGCAACCUCGGGCAUGUGGCGGCCUUUCGGCGUGAUCCUGCUGGCUACUUUCGCCGAAAUCGUGGGCGGCGGCCCGACGGCGGGGCGAGGGGGAGACUGGAGGUGGUAGGUGGGGAAAAGCGCGGGCUGAAAUGUCCUCCCCACCAACCGCUCCCGCUAUGUACAGAGCGCCGACGGGCCGGGGGGGGGGGCGUAUUCACGGGUUGAGGUCGAGAUUUUGCUGCGCCCCACAAAAAUAUUUAUGGGCCGGACGCGUUUGCAUGGUCUGUUCGGACAAGAUUUUCCGCGCCUACCCGCAUUAUUGCGGUUAUUUUGUUGGUCGCGGCUUUUUACAGGGUCUACUAGAGAUGCUCUAAAGACUUGUAUAGUACUAACCGGUCGAUUUCUAUCAUUAGACAAGUAAGUGGUCCGUCAAUGCCUAGGGGUAGGUGAUGAAUAUUUUGACAUAGACAGCUAGGUGACUAGUUAGUGAUGACGAACAAAAAUGGCGAUCCAAUCGGUCAGGGUAGAUUAAAUCGAACGAGCUAAAUAAGCUCAUUACAAUCAAAUCCUACUUCAAGGAAAAGUGAUCAAAUGGCCAAAUACUCUGAUUAGUGUCUUCUGCAACAAAACAAACAAGCUGAAUACACAAUGGCUUUUUGAAAAAUUUAGGGACUACAUAGUUUUCUUCAAACCUAACCGUAAAUGUGGUUGUUUCAUGCAAUUAGCUCUUCCCUUGAUUCAGUCCCUGAAACUUGUCCUCCAGAAUUGUAGCCCCCUAUCGGUCCUGCGAGUUCUGGCCCGAAGACCCGCUCCCGCCGCCCAAAGGAAUCCCCGGUCUCCCAUACUCGCCAUGCGAACCCUUGCAGAGCUCGAGAACGCCACAAAUCCUCAGCUAGAUCAAUCACAGGGAUCCCCUAACGUGGAGAUCGAUAGAUCUUGCGGGUAGUUUUGGAACCCUAGCGGGGGCGCCGCAGGGGAUAAGCAGAACCCUAGCUAGGUGAGACCCAGGGGAUUAUCAACAGCCGGUGGUUGCUUUACUGCCAAAAUGCCCGCUUUGUAAUAUUGGAUUGGAGGACAUCCAACAUUGCCUGUUCACGUGCUCUCAAGCAUAUGCUAUCUAGGAAAAGCUGGGGUUAUCGACCGAGAUUGACAAGGUGAUCACUUAGGACCGCUCAGGCUUGAUAAACCUUGACUCCUUGCUCCAGAUACAUGCGACGGUGAAUAACAUUCCAACACCCGAAUUCAUUUUGCUGGCCCUGUGGUUCAUCUGGUGGCAGAGGAGAUUGUAUACGAAGGGGGAAACUACCCAGACGACAGAACAAGCGGCCAUGUCAAUACAGGUUUUAGCCACUAAUUUUGUACGAGCGAAUACUCCAAAACAGGCUGUUCGUAAGAGUGACCAGGUAUGGAAGAAACCGGAAGUGCGAAUGGUAAAAAUAAAUCUUGAUGCAUCCUUUAUUGCGGAUAAUUUCUCAGGUUCUUGUGGAGUCAUAACACGCAAUGAUCAAGGACAGUUCUUAGGCGCAGCCUCUUAGUUACUGCCACAUGUUCCCAACGUAGAAGAAGCGGAAAUGAUUGCUAUCCGUGUGGACUGAAUUCAGCUGCAAAUUUGGGCUGCACAAAGCUGGUGAUAGAAUCUAAUAGCACAAAGGCGCUGGAGGCAGUUUCAGACCCUAAUGCAUAUAUGGAACCAACAGUGCCUAUUAUAGCAGAGUGCUCCCUAAUGACAAUGGAAUUUGCUCAUAUUUCCUUUGUUCAUUGCAGUAGAGAGGCGAAUUCAGUAGCGGAUGCUUUAGCAAAACAUUGUAUUAGCUUCAAAAAGUCUGAAGUAUGGGAAAACAUCCAUGACUUUAUUCUUCAUCCCUUUGUAAACGACCUGGCAAUCAUUUGAUGAAUAAAGUUUUGGAACUCAAAAAAAAAAAGCUCUUCCCUUGAUUAAUUCUCAUAAUAACUACCUCCCCUGAAUUUCAGGUGGGCCCCUUUCCUCUCUAAUUACAUGAUGCCUUCUUAUCCCGUAACGAAAAUUCCGUGAGCAUCGCCCCAGAUCCCGUCAAAGCAGCCAUGUCAAACCACCAUCGGCGCAAGCACGCGGCGGCAGACUGGUCAUCGCUCUCCCCGGACCUCGUCAACAGCGUCGGGGACAUCUUGCUCGCCGAUGGUGACGUGGACUACUACAUGAGCCUCCGCGCUGUGUGCCACUCCUGGCGCGCCGCCACCGACGACCCGCGCGGCCCGGACCCGCGGUUCCGCCCGCGCGGCUGGGCCAUGCUCGGAUCGCUCGACGGAAACGUCGCGCAGGACGCCCGCCGCCUCUUUCUCAACGUCAACACCGGCCGCUUCCUCUGGAAGGACCUACCGUUGCUCCGUGGCUAUGCCUGCCUCGCCAGCGACGACGUGAACGGUCUCCUCGUCCUCCGGGCUAAGAGCGACUCCACGAUCUGGGUCCUCAACCCGAUCACGGGCUAUCUGGUCCGCCUCGCGCUGUCACUGGCCAACCUCGCCACCACGUUGAAGGUGGCCGCAGCCGCAGACGGCGCAACGGCGAGCGUGCUCUACACUUUCUGGGACUCGUGCCAUGUCGUACGUAACCACAAAGAUCCGGCUUUUAUCGCCGCCCUGCCGUUUUACAACUCAUCUGUAGCCGUGGUAGACUUCAAAAGCCGUGCGUACGCCGUUGACAGGGAGGGAACCGUCACAGUCAUCAAAGGGGAGCAGGCACCGCCGAGAACACUGGCUGCGCCCCUGGGCAUCAACAUUCUGGUGCGCCCGGACAUGUAUCCGCCGGGAAUAGGCCCUGAGCCCAUGAGCAAUUUCCUAGUCAACAACGCCGGGGAGCUGCUGGUCGUGCGCCUUCGGACGUCCGAGGGCAGCGGCGCGGUGCAGCUCUUCAGGGUUGACCUCGAGGGAAAAACUCUUCACGCGAUCACGAGCACCGGAAACCGUGCCGUCUUCCUCGGCAGACGGUGCCUCUCCGUCGACGCCGGCAAACUUCCCGGCAUCCAAGGCAACUGCAUCUACUACGUCGGCGGUGGGUGGGAGCCGGAGACGCGUGGGAUUUGCAUGUACCGCGUGGAGGACGGCAGCCAUGUGAAACUCUUCCAGCCCCCCUAUGACACCCCUCGUCGUCCCUACAUUUGUUUGGUUGCUGUGCUAAUGCCCCCUCCACAACGCCCAUUGAGCCUUCUGCAAGUUCUCAUGGACUACCCCAUGUAUGCGCCGGGGAAUGGCAGUGGCUGUCAAGAUUGGCAAUAUUAGCUUCUUCUCCUUUUCUUUUCUAUCACCAAGGCGCCUCUAUUUCAAACUAGCUAGCUUUAUAUAUGUUGGAUUUUAUAUGAAAGGCAUGACACAGGAAGUUUUUAGUGUACGCAGGAUUUAUAAGAUCUGGUCAUUUAUCUAUUAUUUCAUAAUAUUUGGUUAACUAAGUCCACUUUUAUCAAACAAUUUGAAGUGAGAAAAUGGCAUCACCUUCUUUUGCAAUAGCCUAAUGCACACCAGCUGUUUGAUGCAGUGGCUUAUUUUUUUUAAAUAAUCCUGUGUGAUGGAAGUUUUUUCGUGUUGAGCAGAUUGUUUCUCAUGUCCUCUUUUUUUUGGAACGGAGAUGCACGAAGCGUCCGACUUUAAAUUAAUAAAGCCCCAAGGCAGCAUCCACACAAGGUUUUCAACAUUACAAACCGGUAAGACAUAAGUUCCGCGGGCUCGACGUCCCAGCAAAGGCUAAGAACCAAGUAGUUUAAGAAUCACAAAAGCGGAGCGAAACAUAGAGCUCAACACAAAAGACUCAAGCUUGCGGUCCUUCUUGUCGAUUUCACCAUGCACAACUUGAUCUGCUCCAUAAUCUCGUUCAUGCGGUCCUCAUCACGCGUCUUCGCCAACGGCGCCCAAGCCUGUAAGAAAAUGUGACAUUUGAAUAGAAUAUCAGCUGGGUGUGCAGGGAACUUGUGUUCUAUGGUUAUUUUGUUCCGCACCGACCAAAGCAACCAAAGCAGCGCCCCUACACAACGCCAAACAACCCUCGCGUUGACACCCCUCCGUGCCGACAGCAAGGUCAACAAAUCAUCGCUAGAUUGCAGGUUCCAAUUCUGUUUGAAAGCAUCCCUAACCGCACUCCACGCAAAUCUAGCUAAAAAACACCCGAAGAACAUGUGGUUAGCAUUUUCCCCAAGGCCGCAAAUGGCACAUGUCCCAUCCGCCGGCCCGUUUUGUUUGGCCACGUUAUCCGAAGUUGGAAAACGGCUGCGGAACAUUUGCCACAUCAAUAUCUUGAUCUUAAGGGGAAUGUCAACCUUCCAUAGCCCCCUAGCCAUGUCUAGCGCGUUCCCCUCUGUCAACUUAUCAUAUAAAGAUUUCACCGAGAAUUUUCGGGAGGAUGUAAGCUUCCAUGCUAUUGAGUCAUUCUCAUGGCUAAGGAUCCUCCCCUCGAGGUCAGCCACGAGCGCGGCCCAGGAAGUAGCCUCUCCUGCUUCUAGAGUCCUAAAGAAGGAGAUCGCCGGAGGAUGCACGCGCAGGGCGUCGGCUACCGGAAUGUUAGCGUAAGUGGCCAGUUGAUAUAACUCCGGGUGUGAUUGCCACAACGGUGCUUGAGCCCACCAACAGUCAAGCCAAAACCGCGUGGACGUGCCAUUAUUAACACUGCACUGAGCACCCACCGAAAAAGGCCGGUCACACCGCUUGGAUCCCGUUCCAAAACACCGAGCCACUAGACUUGGCCUUGAAAAGAUUUCCAUCCGGAAAAUAUUUCACCCUGAGGAUUUCCGCCCAGAGUCCCGACUCGUUUUGGGCAAGGCGCCACCACUUGGUGAGCAAGGCAACAUUCAUGAGUUUAGAAUUCGUAACCCCCAAACCAUCGAACUUUUUAGGUCUGCAUACCGCGGCCCAUUUCACCAAAUGGUAUUUGCGUUUAGUCCCGAUUCCUUCCCAAAAGAACCGGGAGCACGGAGUGUCAAGCUUGGAAUGAACGCCAUCCGCGAGGAGAAACAUCCCCAUUGUGAAUAGAGGGAGCGGGGACAGGUUUGCGUUGCUCAAGGUCAACCUAGCUGCCGAAGACAUAAUCCUCCCUCUCCAUGGGCUUACUCGAUUGGCCACUUUGCCAUAGAGUGGUUCCCGUUCCGCAAUGGUGAGUUUCUUGUGUGAGAUUGGAAGGCCAAGGUAUUUGAUUGGGAAGCUCCGAAGCUUGCAAUUGAGCAAAUUGGCAAUCCGCAUGCUCUCUUGAUCCUCCAUCCCAAUGAUGAUCACUUCGCUCAUUAGGAAAUUGAUCUUAAGCCCCGACAAGAUCUCAAAAGCGAGAAGCAGUAACUUGAUCGAGGCGAUACUAUGUUCAUCAGGUUCGAAAAUAAUCAUCGUAUCGUCUGUGUAUUGUAAGUGAGUAACGCCGCCGGGGAUGAGGUGGGAUAUGAGCCCUCUAAUGUGUCUUGCCGCUCUGGCUUUGUUAAUCAUUGCCGCCAGGGCAUCCGCAACAAAAUUAAAAAUAAGUGGUGAGCUCAGGUCUCCCUGCCGAAGGCCACAUUUGUUGCGGAAGAAAUUUCCCAUUAUACCAUUGAUGGUAACCGCCGUGUGCCCACUACACAAAAGGUGCAUGAUGCGGUGCACGAAUCCCGCCUCAAAGCCCUUCUUGAGGAGGACCUCUCGCACGAACUCCCAGUUCACGCGGUCAUAGGCUUUCUCAAAGUCUAACUUAAGAAGCACGCCUUGUGUCUUGGUGCGUUUUAGCUCGUGGAUUCUCGAAGCACAAUGGGUCCUUCUAGGAUGUUAUGGUGUUUGACGAAACCGGUCUAACUAGAGCUAAUCACGCGUUGCGCCACCGGAGCCAAGCGCGAGGCAUAGGCUUUCGCGCAGAUUUUGAAAGGAACGUUGAUCAAAGUGAUCGGUCUAAAGAGUCUGAUGUUAUCGGCACCUUUCACUUUAGGGAUCAAGCUGAUAGCCCCGUAGUUAAGGCGCGACAAGUCUACCGUAUCAAAGCGAAGCCGUUCACAAUCUCAUUGAAAAGGUGCUUGAGGCACGACCAAAACUUCUUGAAAAACUCUACCAGCCACCCGUCCGGCCCGAGUGCCGUGUCCGUUUUCAUGUCGUCCAAGGCUUUGUCGAUUUCUUCCGGGAGGAACGAGAGAGCGAGCCCUUCGUUCUCCUCCCGCGAUACCCGUUCCGUUGGAUCCCACAGGUCCUCCCGGAGGCAAAGAGUUUUAUCCUCAGCCGUCCCCAAAAGGCCAAUGAAAAACUCAUAGAUGUGCGCCACAAUUUGCUCUUGGGUUAAAAGGAGGCCGCUAUCUGGUUGAAGGCGCAAGAUAGUACACUCACGUUUCCUUCCGUUAGCAUAAGCGUGGAAGUAACUAGUGUUUGCAUCUCCUUUAGUAACCCACUUGACUGCGCCUCUACGUCGCCAAUAUUCUUCCUCCGCUCUUAAGAUUGCGAUGACUUGGUUUUCUAGGGCAUAUCUAUGAGCCCAUUCUCCAUCUGAGAAGGGACGGCGAUGUGCCUCCGCAUCCAGCAACCGAUUUCAUCGACAAUCUUAGCAUGUUCCUUUUUGGAUUAACUGCCGUGGUUAGCACCCCACCCACGAAGGAACGCCCAGAGCUUGCUAGCUGCCGCGGUCCAACACUCGGCCGGUCCGCAUUGCGGCCCAAGAUGGGCGUGGAUCAUCAGCCCAGCGCUCGACGACCAUUUGCGCAAACCCCUCGGACUCGAACCACGCCGUUUCAAAGUAGAAUCUAGGCUACGCUUAAUGUAAUCCUCCCCUGAGGAAAAAAAAUCAAUGGCACAUGAUCUGAACCAAUACGCGUUUCAGCGACAAGCGUGCACAGGGGGAAAAGGACCUCCCACUCAGGUGAGAAAAAGACCCUGUCUAGAACGCUCCGCACCGGCUGCAUCUGCUUGUUAGACCAAGUGAGUCUAGCCCCGGUCCUAGCAGCCUCACACAAUGCCGCCACCGCAAUGGCAUUAUUGAACACGGACACGCUAGUCCAGUCAAAGUUAGGGUUGUUCUUGUCCGCCCCCGAACGGAUCAAGUUAAACUCACCACCUAUCAACAACGGCAAGUUGAUAGCCCGUUUGGCCCCGACCAAAUUGGUAAGUUCGAGUAGGAAAUCUGCCGAUCGGGAGUGAUCAGCAGGCCUGUAAACACACACUACAACCCACGAUUGACCCGAGGUGCGAUGUUUAUUGGUAGCCGCAAGCAAAAAUACACCAACCUCCCAGUUCAAUACAUAACAUACAUCAUGAUUAAAACCCAUCAAAAUACGGCCAGAGUGACCCACCGAGGGUACCCAAUGCCAAUCGAAACGCUGCAGGGGAUCGAAAGCAAGAAGAUUGUGGAACGAGAAAUCUGUUUUAAUUGUUUCCUGAAGCGCUACCACGUCGAUCUUCUCUUUGGCCAUGUACUCCUUGAGCUGAGUACGACGCCCUCUGUGGCCCCAACCACGUCUGUUCCAAAACAUGUAACGCAUCUAGAUAAUCCUAUUACGAAGGCACACUCCCCUGGAGGUCACCACUUUCGCCACACUCUUCCGAGCCAAAAUUCGGUUGGAAGAAGGAAGAGCAGAAGCCUCCCUAGCUUCUGUCCCCUCAGCGGGCCCCACAUCGCCACCAGCCUCUACUGGUACGAUGGCCAAUUGGUUCUUAUCAGCACAGCGGGUUGCCGCUGCCGCGAGCAUGGCCUGCGCCUCUUCCCGCGCGCGCACAAGCGAGAUAAUAUCGACAUUAGGAGGACUGAUCGCCACGCCGCUAUCGUCUAAAAUACUAGCGAGAUGUUCGUCUGAGAAAGCAUGCAAAAUAUGAUACGUGGGCAAUGGAUUACCUGAUGAUUCCAGAUUCUUGUCUGCGAGACGAAGCUUGGCACUCUCCAUGGAGGACAGCUCCCCCAGCUUGGCCUUGGACCGCACGCUGGGAUCCCGCUGCACCACCGGCAUUGCCUUGGAGCGCCUGGCCUUGCUGUCCGCUCAGGGCGCUCCCAGAGCCGCCCCCGGCUCCCCACCGAGCGGCGUUGUCGCCGCCGAAUUCGACGGUGCUUGCUUGUUGGCUGGCUUCUUGCCUUCCAUCUUCUUGGCCCGACGACCGGAGCUAUUGGAGCCGCGCCUGGGCACAGGUGUCAUGUCGCAGCCCUCGUCCACUACACACCCUAAUUCCGUUCCGUUGCCACGAGAGGAGAGGGCGGCAGAAGAGCAGCAUUGGUGGCCCCAACCACCUCGUGUAGCCUGGCCAUCUCCGGAAUCUGGGCCGUGAUGUUAGACCCGUACUCAUCAAAGGACGACGCGAGGGAGCAGGCCAGUGCCGGCACAGUCAGCGCCGCGUCCUGGAUCGCCACCCCAUGGCCCCAGCAUCGGCCGACAGGGCACCCAACUUAUCCCAAGUCUCAGUGUUGAUAGAAGAAUCUUGUAGGUUGUCCUCUUGGUCCUCUCCCAUGUCUUGCAUCUUGGCAUCCGGAUCCGCGGAGCAUUUGGAGCUCUGCCAUCUCCCUGAUGGGUGUUGCCAGGACCAACACCACCAGGUCUAGAGCUUCCUGGUGGUCGUGCUCCUCCCGCCAAGUCAGAAUCCUUGGGCGGAGGGUUGGAAGGCCCAGCUCCGAGCACCGCCCGCUCGCCAGCGCGCUUGGGGAGCACCUCACGCUCAACCUUGAUCUGAAAUCCCUCAUUAUUGAACCACACCUCCACAAACCCGUUAAGCUUCUCCGGUGCCUUGCAAGCUAUCUUCAUCCUCACCAGCCCCAACGUGAUGAGGGACAGCUUAUCCACCACAAUUGGUCGACCUAGCAUCCAGAACCCUUCCUUGAUGCGGUCCUCGCACCUGUGCUUCUUAGGGAUGUCGUGCAGCCUCACCCACGUCUCGGGCACGGCCAUCGCCUGCACCUCCUCAUGAAGCAUGUCCCGCACCGUAGCAGUGAUGUCAUUGAUGGACAAGAACAGCUUCCCACUAGACUUAGUCAUAUGUAGCAGAUCUGCUUGAGGAUGUGGAGGUUGAGCUUCCCAGGCUCCGCAGAUAGGAUAGCCGCGUUCUAGAUUCUAGCAUCCACGGGCAAGUCGGCCUCGGCAUCCUCAUCGAACUCAAGACAGAAAAAACCCUCUCCUGAGAUGGCACUGCCCUUGAACUGCAGGUGUAGUUGGCGGCCUCGCGACGGGCAAUUGGCGGAAGCAUGCCCCUCUUCCUUACAGAACAUGCAGAGAGGCUUGUACAUGCACUUGGAUUGAAAGUGGGCCAAGAGCCCACACUUGAAGCACUCGACGUCAGGGGCCUCCUCCAUCGGAAUGGGCUCCUCCGUCAUGCCCUUGGAUGAAGAGGGAAGCGCCAUCUCCAGCGGCACCGCGAGCGCCCGAGGCUUCUUGGCCAGCGGGUCACCGUAGCCCCCACCACAGUUUGGGUGCUCCAUCGGCUUUCUUUCGAGCUCCUGACGCCGUUGACUGGCCUUCUUCUUCUUAUUGCGUUCUUGGAGUUGGAUCCACCAAGGGGGAGGAGGACCCAAUCCCCCUCUCGCCCACCCUGGUCUCGGGACCCAUCGCACUCCUCCCGGGCCUCGCGGCAAUCGCCCGAGCGCUCGCGCAUCGCGUGCUUCGCCUUGUCGCGCGGAUCGCGCUCCCUGCGCCGGUCCGCCUCGUGGUUGGAGAUCUCCAUUGGCCGCUUGUCAGCCCGCCGGUCGCCCAUCACCGCCGCCGCGAAAGACUUGAGAAGAUGGGGAAGGGGAGGAGAGAUCAGGAGGGUGCGGGCGGAGUGAGCGAGGCGCCGCACCUCUCUGGAAGUAGCUGGAAACCCUAAAAUGUCAUGUCCUCUCUUUUGAAAGGUAUUGUGGAACUGCAUCCUCAUUUUCGAUCUCAUGGUUUUAGUUUUCUUUCUCCUAUUUUGCUCUUGCAUGUGUAUCGUAGUUUUACAUUUUCCGCGCAUCAAUGAUUGCAUAGUGUUUAUAAUGAAGGCUACGAAAUUUUGCAUACGUCUAUGCUUUCUCCGAGGCAACUUUGGAAGAAACUAUGAGACGCAGCGGCGGGCCAUCCAUUGUUCCCUGGUACGACAUGCAUUCUAUGUCCUAGACCCAAGGUCGGCACAUGGACUCAGAUGCUGACCGCCUUGCUUUGGGCUGACAAAAUGCUAUUCCAUAACUGGAUUGUUAUACAUGUCGGUUUCGGUCUUACUUAUAUCCAUGACAAAUUUUCAUCAGACAUAGUCGAACAAGCUUGGAUUUGCCCCUCCUAAUGAAGAUAUACGCUCUUGGGCCCCCUCAUGUGAUCCGACUAGAAUAAGCAUGGCCACGCGACAAGUAUUAUGAGAUAAUCCGAUUUCGGCAGUUGAUAUCACGGUACGAGAAAGUGGUCGGUCUAGCACAUGACCGACUCGCCUUGAGCCCGGCAACAUAUAUCGUGAGGCAGAAGGAAUAGAAGCUAGACAUUGUAUAUGUUUGCCAUGUUGGCUUCAUCGGACACUUGAAAUCGACAAGCUUUGCUAGAAGCCACUAUCGACUGGACAAGCAGGAUGCAAUCCGACUCGCGACCAAGUGGAUGAGAAUCUUCGCGCGCUUAAGGGUAUGGACCUGUGAGGCCGGAUCUGACUUCACAAGAUGGAUGUGUUCCGACCAGGAUUUGGAUCUAGGUCAAAUAGACUUUGGGUUUUAGGAUCCAUGCGAGGCCCAUGUGAUGAGCCCGUAAUGGAUGCCUGGAUAUAAUAGAGAUGCAGCACACGAUUUUUGUUGAUCGCUUUUGUGCCGUUAUUAGGGCUUUACAUGUGUUGCAGCUGGCCACACUAGUAGAAAAAGGACCUAAUAUGAGACACAUUAGUGCCGGUUCGAUUUUGAGCCGGCACUAAUGUGUCCAUUAGUGCCGGUUCCAACGGCUAGCCGGCCGUUCUCAUUAGUACCGGUUCAUGGUCAACCUUUAGUACCGGUUUGUGGCACGAACCGGUACUAAAGAAGGUGGUGGUAGUGUGUUGUCAGUCUGGGGCCCGUCCAGCACCUUUAGUACCGGUUCGUGGCACGAACCGGUACUAAAGGUCGACCUACAUAAACCCUUCGUCCACCCGAGCUCACUCUGUUCUUCCCCUUUCCCCUCUCAUCCUCUGUUCUUCCCCUCUUCCUCUCGAGCUCAUCACACAUUUUGCCCAAAAUUUGUCAAGAUUUGAAGGCCCCCAUCCAUUCAAAUGAUCACAAAGGUUAGCAACUUUGUCCUUUCAACUCUCAUUGCUAGAUUAGCUCUUGCAAUGCUUUGUAUAGUUAUUAAUUUGGGAGGAAUUAUAUUUGCUAGUAUUUGAUUUAUAUGCAAUUUGAGGUUAAAAAUAACACUUAGUUUGCAUAUAUAGGUGUGGUUUACUUAGUGUCUUCUAAAUCUCCGUCGUAACCACCGUCGAUCGCCCGCACCGUCCCGUCGCCGGCACCACCUUGUGGUGAGGCUCUUGUUCAUGAAUGUUUUACAUUACCAAAUUGAUGUUUGUGUGAUUUGGAUAUAUAGUUAAUCGUAUAAUUAUCUUACCCGUACGUUGUUUGUUAUACAUAGUGCCAUGGUUUUGAUAUCCGUCCCCGUCGGCCCUCGUCCUUGUUAUAAUUCGGAUGUGGUAUAUUCUCUUUUAAAACUAGUUUUUGCAUUUCGUGUUUAUGACAAAUUAUGCCCAUCAAGUUGACAUAGAUAUUUUUAUCUAGGAGGUAUGUGAACCGGAAAUUCCAACCGACCCUAUUGUCGACAGGUUAAAUUUAGUUGAAAGAGAAAACGAGUAUUUGAAAGAAAAGUUGAAAAUAAUUGAGGGGGAGAAGAUGGAAUUGGAGUUGCAUGUUGCCGAUGUCGUCGAUGAUCACAAGAUCAAGAUGGAGAAAAUGAGGUUGAAGAUUAGAAAGAUUAGAAAAUAUGCCAUUGAUAGUGUGGCUUGGUAUCAUUAUGCUAUUGGAUCAAUUGUUACCUUAGUUGUGAUCUUCAUCGCAUUUGUUGUUGCAUUUAAAUUCUUUAGCUAGAGACUUAUUUGUAUGCUGCAUUUAAUUAAGUGUUGUAUAUGAACUUUAUGUAUGAACUUUAUGUAUGAACUUGUAUUAAUUUAGUCUAUUCGGUGUUGUGUAAUGAAGAUGAGCCGACAAUGGAUGUAUGAUGACCGAUGCUCUCCCGAGUUCAUUAUUGGCGUGCAUACUUUUCUUCUUGCCGCUGAGGCAAACAAGUGGGCGGAUGGUUUUAUGCCUUGUCCAUGUGCUGGCUGUAAGAAUGAUCACAGUUACUCUAUGUCAAGAACCAUUCACGUCCACCUAUUUGAGUCCGGUUUCAUGCCCCACUAUAAUGUUUGGACCAAGCACGGAGAAAUAGGGGUUAUGAUGAAAGACAAUGAAGAAGAAGAGGACGACAACGGCUAUCCUGGCCAUGGGUUCCCUGAAUACAAUGAUACAACAAUGGGGGAAGAAGCUGAGCCGGCAAUGCGGGAAGAAGGUGAAGAAGAGGGAUCAGAUGAGCCCGCUGAUGAUCUUGGUCGGGCCAUUGCCGAUGCAAAGAGAAACUGCGCAAGUGAUCCGGAGAGGACGAAGUUGCAGCGCAUGUUAGAGGAUCACAAGAAAUUGUUGUACCCGAAUUGCGAAGCUGACAAAAAAAGUUGGGCACCACACUUGAAUUGCUGCAAUGGAAGGCAGAGAAUGGUAUAUCUGAUAAGGGAUUUGGAAAGUUGCUGGUAAUGAUAAAGAAUAUGCUUCCAAAGGACAACAAAUUGCUCAAGAGUACGUAUGAAGCAAAGAAGGUUGUCUGCCCUCUAGGGUUAGAGGUGCAAAAGAUACAUGCAUGCCCUAAUGACUACAUCCUCUACCGCGGUGAGUACGAGGAUUUGAACGCUUGCCCGGUAUGCGGUGCAUUGCGUUAUAAGAUCAGUCGCGAUGACCCUGGUGAUGUCGAGGGCGAGCGCCCCGGGAAGAAGAUUCCUGCCAAGGUGAUGUGGUAUGCUCCUAUAAUACCACGAUUGAAACGUUUGUUCCAAAACAAAGAGCAUGCGAAGGCGAUGCGGUGGCACGCAGAAGACCAUAAGAAAGACGGAAAGUUGAGAGUACCCGCUGACAGUUCGCGGUGGAAAAAAAUCGAGAGAAAGUUCUAAGAGGAGUUUGCAGGUGACCCAAGGAACGUAUGGUUUGGUCUAAGCGCAGAUGGCAUUAAUCCUUUUGGGGAGCAGAGCAGCAACCAUAGCACGUGGCCUGUGACUCUAUGUUUGUAUAACCUUCCUCCUUGGUUGUGCAUGAAGCGGAAGUUCAUUAUGAUGCCAGUGCUCAUCCAAGGCCCUAAGCAACCCGGCAACAACAUUGAUGUGUACCUAAGGCCAUUAGUUGAAGAACUAUUACAGCUGUGGAAUGGAACAGGUGUACGUGCGUGGGAUGAGCACGGACAGGAAGAAUUUGACCUAAAGGCAUUGUUGUUGGUGACCAUCAAUGAUUGGCCUGCUCUCAGUAACCUUUCAGGACAGACAAACAAGGGAUACCGCGGAUGCACGCACUGUUUGGAUGAUACCGACAGUAUAUAUUUGGAUAGUUGUAGGAAGAAUGUGUACGUGGGACGUCAUCGAUUUCUUCCGACAAGGCAUCCCGUAAGAAAGAAAGGCAAGCAUUUCAAAGGUGAGGCAGAUCACCGGACGAAGCCUCGCCACCGUACUGGUGCUGAUGUACAUGAUAUGGUCAAGGAUUUGGAGGUAAUCUUUGAAAAGGGUCCUAGCGGAAAACCUGUUCCGAAGGACGCUGACGGACGUGCAUCCAUGUGGAAGAAGAAAUCUAUAUUUUCGGACCUGCCAUAUUGGAAAGACCUAGAGGUCCGCUCCGCAAUCAACGUAAUGCACGUGACGAAGAAUCUUUGCGUGACCCUGCUUGGCUUUUUGGGCGUGUAUGGGAAGACAAAAGAUACACCAGAGGCACGGGAGGACCAGCAACAUAUGCACGGAAAAGAUGGCAUACAUCAGGGUUAGGCCAGCUACGCUCUUACCAAAGAAGAGAAUGAAAUCUUCUUCGAAUGCCUGCUCAGCAAGAAGGUACCAUCUGGCUUCUCAUCGAACAUAAAGGGAAUAAUAAAUAUGGCAGAGAAAAAGUUCCAGAACCUAAAGUCUCAUGACUGCCACGUGAUUAUGACGCAACACCUUCCGGUUGCAUUGAGGGGGCUUCUACCGGAAAACAUUCAAUUAGCCAUUGUGAAGCUAUGGGCAUUCCUCAAUGCAAUCUCUCAGAAGGUAAUCGAUCCAGAAAUCGUACCAAGGUUACAGAAUGAUUUGGUGCAAUGUCUUGUCAGUUUCGAGUUGGUGUUCCCACAAUCCUUCUUCAACAUCAUGACGCACGUCCUAGUUCACCUUUGUGAAGAGAUUAACGUUUUGGGUCCUGUAUUUCUACACAAUAUGUUCCCCUUUGUAAGGUUCAUGGGAGUCUUGAAGAAAUAUGUUCAUAACCGUGCUAGGCCAGAAGGAAGCAUCUCGAAGGGCCAUGAAAAUGAGGAGGUCAUUGAGUUUUUUAGUUAUAUAAAUAUUAGAAUUGUUAUGGAAAUGUUAGUUAUACAAUCAGGAAAUUUUAGAAUUAGUUUUAGUUAGAUGAAUUAAAUUAAUGUCAAAUUGUUAGAAUUUGCAUAUAUAUAGAAUUUUAGUUAUCACAAUCCAAUCACUUAAAAAAUGUUACUUUUUACGGGGAUAUAGUAUUUGUUCUCGACGAUAUGCCCGGCCUGCAUCCUCGCCGUCGACCCGUUCACGACGACGUCCUGCUUCAGGGGACCCAUGUCCGGGACUGGGCUCCGCCGGGCUGGCACUGGGAGGUGCUACCUGGAGGGGCGCGCCGCUUGGUGAGGAACCCGACCUCGGGUCCCGUCGUCGACCCUGAUCUUCUUUGGUGGCGUUCGCGUGGGCCACAUUCGGUGCAGAGGCAGCCGGCCCCGCCGGAGGUGGUGCGUCGCCGUGUCAGGGAGGAAGAUGAGCACGUCCAUCGCUACAUGGCUGCUAUGGACGACGUCAGGUUCUUCACUACUUGGCGGGUUCUUUGGGCAGAUGACCAGAGAUAUGAUCAUGUGAUGGUUCCUUCUCUUUGGGUGUGCACCGCCCGCGCCCCAGGAACCGCGAGUGGCGCCCUAGAUUCUUCUGUAGUACUCGAUGUUUAUUAGGUACCUAGCCAGUGAUGUAUUCGAUAUAUAAUAUUCGAGACGAUGUAUUCGAGAUUAUAUAUAUUAAGACGAUGAUGUAUUCGAGAUUAUAUAUUCGAGACAACGUAUUCAAGAUUCAGUUUUUCCUUAUUGAUUAAUUGCAUCCAUGCAUUGUAAUUUGAAUACUAAAUUGUUUUAUAUUUCUUCUGUAUUAGUAAAGUAAAAGCUAUGGCGGACAAUACCGGCAGAGAGAGAGAAGAGGAAUUGUUCGACAUCAUACGCAGCCCUCACAGGCUAGAUGAUCUGAAUGAAGCAGAUGACGGCUCCCAAUAUCUGAACAAUACCGGAGAGGGUGAUGAAAAGAUAUUCGAUCUCGACGACCGAGCUGAUGAAGUCAUGAACUAUGAUUAUGAUUAUGAUGACACAGACAAUGUUUGUGAUGACACAGACAAUGCUGAUCUUCAAAUAACAAAGACUACCGGUAAGGUAUAUUUAUAUAAGCAUGCAUCAUGGUGAUCAUCACAUGUUUUUUUAUUGAAGAUAUAUUAACGAAUCGAUCUUUCUUCUUUCAGCCCUCCGGAUCGAGCAAAUCUGCUUCUACAGACAGCAAGACAAAGCGAGGCCCGGGCAGAAUGUUGAAGGAUGGUGCAAAGUACCAAAUCGAAUCCAUCAAACUUAGUGGUGAACCCCUCACGCCUAAGAACGUUGCGGACAGGUGGACUCGUCAGUGCGGAGUUCUUGUGAAGGACAAACUCCUGAUCUCCAUUCAAGAAUGGAAAGAGCCAAAGACUAAACGUCCAGGUGUUACUUGGGUCGACCGCAGAGCCAAAGAAGACCUUUUGAAUCUCUAAUGGAACAUUUCACCCUAUCAGAUCAUUUCACUGAAGUAGAUGUGAAGAAAGUCAAGGCUGCUGCUCUUAAGAAGAUGGCAAUUGCAUUCAACACCCACAAGAAAACUGUAUGGGCCAACUACCUCGCUAAUGAAAGGAAGACUCCAGAUUUCAAGGGAACACUGGAGAAGCAAAGAGAGCACUGGGACAAUUUCGUGACCUUCAAGGAUUCAGAAUUAUCUAAGGAACAAUCGAUGAAAAACAAGGCAAAUGCCGCAAGAAAGAUGCAGUUCCAUAAGCUGGGUCCAGGUGGCUACGCGGUGGGAUUGCCUAAGUGGGAUAAGUCUGAGCAAGAGAUGGAGGAUGCAGGGGUCACUCCGGUUACUAGGAACUGGCCCCCCAGGUGCAGAACUUGGUUCUAUGCGCAUGGGGGAGCGUUGGACCAGAAGACAGGCGAAGUUUCACGGAAGGCAAGUCUAAAAGGAGACGAACAAAAGAUAAUUGACGCAAUAGAAGAAGCUUGAAGGGGGGAGUUCACGCCCAAUAGAGAGAACGACGAGCUUACGCGCGCCCUGGGAAAUCCUAAACACCCGUGAAGAACACGAGGCAAGGGCGUUAUUCCCUGGUAUGAGGGCUUUUCGGACUGGAAUGACGACUACAGGUCCCGUGCAAGAAAGAAGAUGGAGGAUGAGAAGAAGAGGAAGUUGGAGGAGGAGCAGAGGAAGCAGGACGCGGAACGCCUUCAAGGCCUAGAAGCAAGGCACGCGGACCUGGCACUCAAAUUCCAGCAGCAGCAGCAGAAGAUCGACUCACUUAGCCAGGAAAGGGGGUCUCAGCAGCAAAGCAGCAAGCGGAUGAUCGUCCAGCAUUGGAUAGCACCGUCCCAUCCAUGCCGAGAAGCAGCGUUGGUUCUACCCCGGGAGACACACUGCUGGAUACAUACCCUGUGGAUGACAUCAUAGAGAACACUAACUGUGAGCUACACUCCAAAAUGAAGAACAUAUCCAUGAAGGUGGCGAACGACGUUUCUUUUCCAGUUACCCCCAAAGCAACCUACCAUUGCAUCCCGAUUCCAGAGGGCUAUGCUCGUGUCAUGGUUGAUGAAGUGGUGGACCCAUAUUCGGGGCUAACGCUUGACAUUCCUGGAGGUGAAGACGAGCGCACACCGGGAGAGGCCAUACAUCGUAUCAUCCUAUGGAGAAAGAAUUGCAUCAUCUUUCGAAGUCAACCGACACCGCGUCGUCUGUCGACUCCUCCUCGAAGUCCGCCACUGAGUAAGCAGACUCCCGCUCCUCCAAGUCCACGAACGCGUGAGACGACUCCUCCUCGAAGUCCGCCACCUCCUCCAAGUCCCCAAACGUGUGAGCUGACUCCUCCGGUUUCAAGUCCGGCACAGCGUCAUGCCACUUCUCCGGUUUCAAGUCCGGCACCGUGUCAGGCCACACCUCCUGCUUCAAGUCCGGCACAUCGUCAGGCCACUUCUCCUGGUCCAACUCCACGUCAGCCGUCUCCGUCGUCUCAGCAAUCGCAGAGGAGACAUGCUGCAGCUUUGGUGCAUAGCGGUACGAGUCGAGGUAGUUCAGGAAGUACAGGCGGAGACAAGCGAUAUAAAUAUGGUCCAAGCCUCACUCCUCUUCCUCAGAGGCCUUACGACAUGACUAAGGAGCAAAACACAGCCAUAGUGCAAGCCCAAGUGGAUGCCCAUUUUGGACCGAAACCGGCACCGCCGCUAAAGGAGAAAGUGCCUGAGAAAGUAAUUGACCACUUCAUUCCUAUGGCUAGAGAACCAGCUCCCAAGCCUGUUGACUCGGACUAUGAGCGCCAAAUCAGGAAGGCACAUCGAGCACGAGUACAGAAGGAAGCGAGCUCAAGCUCGAGCCAACAAGCAGCUGGCAAAGAAUGUGGGAGAACCGUUCCCCAGUUGGGAGAACAGGCGGCGCAAGUGAUCCCCCCGCUUGUUGUGCCAACAACACAUGAGAGGAGUAGUACGCGCGCCAAAUAUUAUUAUGGGCAAACCAUUAGCGUUCCCCAGCAUGGCGAUGUGGUAAUAACCGAGGAUCAUAUAAUGCAGGCUCAAAUGCUCAAUAUCUCUGUUGGACAACUCCUCGAAAUCGAGCCCAUGCCUACGCUUAAAGAAUCGGAAAUAGCAUGGCAAUAUGUCCGGGGCAAACCUUUGGUCCAUCCAGACAAGGUCAAGGACCUCCCAACGAGAAUGUAUCAAUUGCAUCAAUGGUACAUGAACAUUACCAAGAUUUCCAAUCGAGAGUCCCUCAAGGUGAAUGUAAAGCAUGAGCAUUAUUACCAUGAGAAAGCUCUGACCAUUGAGUAUUCAGAACUAUUUCAGUUAUACAAUCAAGACGCACUCGACAAGUCUAUCGUCAGUUUCUAUUGUCUGUAAGUGAUUUCUUUCUGUAAUUUAAGUCUCAGGCUAGUUAUGUAGUGAUAAUUUUGAUCAAUCAUUACAUGUAAUUAUCCUCACUAUAUUUUUUUCUGUGGUAUUAUAUGCAGGAUGAAGAUGUAUGAAAUGAAAAAAGCUGGACGCUAUGGCGUUGGGUUCAUUGACCCAAAUACCAUUAAUCAGGACAUAUGGCAGAUUUAACAUUGUCAAGAUGCUGUAGAGGAAAGCAUGCUAGAGUUCUUGAAGCGCCUCAAUAGCAAUGAAGAUAUACUACUUCCUUACAACUUCCCGUGAGUUACACUGUCUUGUACUACAAAUUCUGUUUUUGCUUACUAGCUAGCUAGAUGUUAAUAAUUAAGUGUAUACGGUUUACUGUAGUUGAUUAAUUUUAUGCACAUGCCCGCUUAAUUAAGACAUGCAAACGUGUGCGUAUGCAGUUGGCACUGGGUCUUGUUAGACAUUAAAGUUGAGGAAGGAAAAGUUGAAUUACUGGACUCACUAACUAAAGAAGAUAAAGACUACACCAUCGUGAAGGGGAUAGUCAACAGGUAAUUUCAAUCAUUAUUAACUAUAUCUCGGCCUAUUAAUUAUUAGUUCGUCAUUUCCUGAUAUGAACUAUUUAAUAACCCAUUUAUUAAUUUUCUUUGCCGGCGGGCAGGGCAUGGGCAAAGUUCAUCAAGGUGACUCCAGGCACAUGGCCAAAAAAGUUGUGUUGGCAUCGACCCAAGGUAAGUAAUUAAGUACUACUAGCUAGCUACCAUCUCUUUAAUUCUUGUUUCAAUAUCAUCAAUUAAUUAUCAUGCUUGAUUAAUUAUUAUCUGAUUCAAUUCCAUUCUCGUAAAGGCCCUGAGGCAGGCGUCGGGGAAUAAUCUGUGUGCAUACUACGUUUGCGAGAACAUUCGCAUGAUGACGUGCGAAAGGAGCAGAUCUGAUAGACAGGACUGGGUACGUUUGUCAGAACACUAUUCACACCAUUAUCGAUAUCUAGUCACACAACUAACACACAUGCAUAUAUUGAUCUCCUUAAUAGUUCAGAUCGGUGCGGGAUAAGCUCCUACCAUCGAACCGCAUACUAGCACUUCAAGAGGAAAUAGCCGGAUUUUUGCUCGACCAGGUCAUAGACCCCAAAGGAGAAUACUAUUACGCGCUACCGCCCCCAUGAACCACUUGUCAUCGUGCUCCUAAGGCACCAAAGGCAACAUAUAUAUGUAGGAGAAAUUGUGUAUAUGUAUAUAGAUGUGUAUGUGUGAAUAAUUAAUGGUGUUGGUUUGUGAGACAUUCGAUGAUAUAUAUANNNNNNNNNNNNNNNNNNNNNNNNNNNNNNNNNNNNNNNNNNNNNNNNNNNNNNNNNNNNNNNNNNNNNNNNNNNNNNNNNNNNNNNNNNNNNNNNNNNNNNNNNNNNNNNNNNNNNNNNNNNNNNNNNNNNNNNNNNNNNNNNNNNNNNNNNNNNNNNNNNNNNNNNNNNNNNNNNNNNNNNNNNNNNNNNNNNNNNNNNNNNNNNNNNNNNNNNNNNNNNNNNNNNNNNNNNNNNNNNNNNNNNNNNNNNNNNNNNNNNNNNNNNNNNNNNNNNNNNNNNNNNNNNNNNNNNNNNNNNNNNNNNNNNNNNNNNNNNNNNNNNNNNNNNNNNNNNNNNNNNNNNNNNNNNNNNNNNNNNNNNNNNNNNNNNNNNNNNNNNNNNNNNNNNNNNNNNNNNNNNNNNNNNNNNNNNNNNNNNNNNNNNACAUACGAGAAAAUCUAUUUAUAUAUAUGCAUAACGUGUACAAUUUGUAGUAUCGUGAAAUACCAGCAAACAAAAAAAAUUGAAUGGAAAAUAAAUCAAAAAACCACCCCAAAUAUUUAGUACCGGUUGGUGUUACCAACCGGUACUAAUGCCCUACGCGCACCCGGGCCUGGCUUGUGCCACGUGGUGGCACUUUAUCGCCGGUUCGUGAUGAACCGGUACUAAGGGGGGGGGGCUUUAGUCCCCACUCUUUAGUGCCGGUUGGCAAACCGGCACUAAAGGCCGUUACGAACCGGUACUAAAGCCCGGCUCUGCACUAGUGCCACCUCUACACGCCGCUUGAUCGUGCGUCCGGAACUAGCUGUCCGCCGCACUAAAUUCCUCCUGCACGUGCGGAUAUCGUUAGAGGCAAUGCAAUUGCGCUGCUCUAGCAAACUUAUUUGUAGGAUCCAACGACCAACUGUAUGAGGGAGGUCGGCGACGAGGCAGAGACGACUCCGAUUACGUGCUGCUUCUGACUCUUCUUCCACUUCAAGGACUGUGUGUCAUAGUGAUAACCUCAUGAUCUAUCUCCUAAGCAUGUUCCUCGAUGUCCUGCGCGCCAGGAAAUUUUGCUAUGCAAUAGUUGCAAGCCGCGUAGCCCAAGAUCCCUGUUGUCCUCUAUUUGACCAAGCUUGCCAAUUGCUCUGUCCAGGCAUGUCUUCUAGACCAGGCUCUCCCAAAGACUCCUCUUCCUCUACUGGCAGCCUAGACACGACUACAACCUCGCACUCACAGGUAGAAAAAGACACCUCCAGAUCCAGUUAUUUUUUUUUCAGGGCCUCCAGAUCAGUUAGGUGAGGGUCGGAGGAAAUAUCAACCUUUUCCCCUACAAAAUCCGACUCAACCCCCGGCAGCUAGCAGCUGGGCCAGCUCAAUUACAACCAACUGGCUAAACUUGAUUCUUAAUGCAAGGCAUAUACAAUGGUUCUAUCUUAAGAAUGCCACGUAGGAUAAAUGAUGAGAUGAAGGAGAGAGAAAUCAUAAGAAAAGGCUUGUCUUCUUUUAUUUAAGAGAAAACAACAAAUGAUCUCAUAACAUAAGGGCAUGUAUAAUGGUUGAUAAGAUAGUCUUAUUUUAAGUCUUGCAUGUAAUUUAGAGAUAACAAAAAACGAUGUCUACAAUGAGUCUUUUCUUAGCCUUAUCUUCAAUAACUAGCUAAUCCUAAAAACAUGGUGAGACAUAUUGUGCUAAGAGAUCAUCUCUUGUCUUCUCUUAAAUAAGAGAAGACAAGCCUUUUCUUAUGAGUUUUCUCUCCUUCACCUCAUCAUUUAUCCUACAUGGCACUGUUAAGAUAGCACCAUUGUACAUGCCCUAAUAUGUCUUACCAUGUUUUUAGGAAUAGCUAGUUAUUGAAGAUAAGGCUAAGAGAUGACCAUCUUAGACAUAUUUUUUUUGUCAUCUGUAAAUUACAUGCAAGACUUAAGAUAAGACUAUUCUUUUAACCAUUGUACAUGCCCUAAAUCAUCAGGCCUACUUUCCAUAUCAGGAAGUGUAUCUCAAUUUUUUAUAUUAGACUAGCACUUUUCAUAUCAGAAAGUGUACUACUAUUAGAAGCAUCACAAUUCUCAUCAAUAUAUUCUUCUAAGAAAUUAUUAACUGGAUUUUUCACCCCAAUCCAUAUUAAUUGUCGUUGAUUUAGUAUAACUUUAUAUUAAAUCAACAAUAAUUAAUAUGGAUUGGAGGGAAUAUCCCAGUCCACAUUAGUAUCUAGAUGAUCGGGUGUCGAUUGUUUUUUGAGAGUAUGGAAGUUGUUUUCAGUGUCAAAGUUGUCAUCCCCUUCAAUUCCCAAAUAGAAGUUGCUUAUCAUAUAAUAUAUAAAUUAGCCGCCAUGGGAGUCAAAGAUUUCAAAGACCCCAAAUCAGAAUAAAUUUCUAUCGGAUGAUUACUCCUCCAUCCAGGUGAAUCAACAAAAGCCAAAUCCUAAACAUCGUCAGGUAUAUUUCUAAAAUUAUUCUUAUUAGAAAAUUUGCCAGUUUUAACGAACAGACUCUUAACAUAAUCAUCAUUUUUAAAAGAUUUUUUACAUUGCUCGGUUCGUCGAAUUCGAUGAUGGCAACUCUUCUUCUUUUCACAAUCCACUGCAUUAAUAUGUGAAAAGAAAAUGAGGUAACAAGAGGGGGGAAACUGCAUACCAGGUCAAAAAGAUCCAGCAAGCUCGCCAGAAUCUUCGUCGGAGACAUCCUGACAAGCAUCUAGAAGAUACUGCCGGAAAAACGACUAGCCACAACUUUCGUUGGUGGCGCGCCAUUUUUCAUCAACGAAGCACUAUAUAUUUCAAAUAGUGCUGGCGUUGGCCAAACUGAUAGUGCCGGUGUGUCAAUUUCUGGUAAUGUCGGUACUAUGUGGGCCCAGCUGUCAUGAAUAGUUGCAAGAUACUGCUGGUGUGCGCUUUAUAAUAACGCCAUAGAUACGUGACCUAGUGUUGUCGUGCCACCGUUUGGGACGCCAGCACUAAGUUUUGCCUAUAUAUAGUGUUUGCAGCCCUUCUUUCUCAAAUACAUUCAUUUCCAUUCUUCACAAAAAUCUACUCCCUCGUAUUAGCUGCUUUGUUGACAAUGGACCCACCGGAGCUUGACGAAUCGGCACGAGCCCCAUGUGUGGGCCCACAACGGCGGGGCGUGUCGAAGGUUUGAGACUCCGCCGCUUUGGCCAAGCUCUCUUCUGGCCCCGACAUCUAUGACAUGAGCUCACCAGGACCAAUACAGUCUGCCCUAUCCGGCGAAUCAUGCCCGUGCAGCGCGACGUCUGUUCGAUCCGGUAGCUAUGCCACCGGCACCAAAGCUGCCGCGAAUCGAGCGAGGGCACCUGUGCUGAUUUGCGGCUGUCGACGCCCUACUGAUAAGCAUAUGUCGCACAUGGAACCGAAUCCAAAGCGAGAGUUCUACAUCUGCGCUAAAUGUUGAAAGGUAAUAACACAUAAAAUACUUCUUAUAUAUUCCUGCUAAUUUGCACAAUUCAACUAUAUAUAUGUGUGUGUGUGUGUGUGUGUGUGUGUGUGUGUGUGUGUAAAAUACCUCUUAAUCUAACAGAAAAAAAGUUACGGGGCUUUUAAGAUUUGGAGGCAAAAAAAUUCAUCAAAUUUCCGUUUUUUUUGAAUUUUUGUUAAAUCUGGUCAAACUAUGGUCAAACUACUUAUUCAAGAAGUAUUAGUGUUACUAAAUAAUUAUUCAAGAAUAUUAGUGUUACUAAAUAAUUAUUUUAGUUUUUUUGAAUUUUGGUCAAAUCUGGUCAAACUAUGGUCAAACUGUGGUCAAACAGUGGUCAAACUAAUUAUUCAAGAAAUAUUAGUGUUACUAAAUAUAAGUGUUAUUUUUUAGAACGGUACUUUCAAACUCAAACAGUGAAAUAUGUGACUUCAUGCUCAAGUUAAAUUCCUGAGGUUAAUAGGAUUGACAUCUUACUAUUGUUAGGAAAACAACAAGUGCAGACUUGGAAAUGAGGGAGAAUAGAACCCAGAAGUUAAGCGUGCUCAGGCUGGAGUAGUGAGAGGAUGGGUGACCGUCCAAGAAGUUAGAUGAUGAGGGGUGAUUAGAGGUUAAAUUGAGAAGUGAUCAGGGGUGAUUAGAGAUGAGAGGUUAAAAUAAUUCAAAAAUUUGAAAAUCAAAAAAUAUUCCAAAAAUAAAUUUUUAAAAAAAAUCAUAAAAUUUCCUUUCGUACGGGUUGGUGUUACCAACUGGGACUAAAGGUGGACCUCCAGGCAGCGGCCACGUGAAGAGCCUUUAGUCCCGGUUCGUGUAAGAACCAUGACUAAAGGGGGGACUAAAUGCCCUUAUGAACCGGGACUAAAAGCCCUUUUUCUACUAGUGCUAGUGUACCUUUAUUGUAGUUCUAUGUAGUGUACUUAUAGUGACAGAAUUUAAUAUAGUUCUAGACUAUGAUUUUAGUGUAGUUGUAGUGUACGUUUUAUUACAUUGUAGAUUGUAGGUUUUGCAGGUACUUGUUAAUAUAUGCACCAUCACAGAUGGCUCCGAAGUUUCAUCAUGUGCGACCAAAGGAAAAUAAGUACUAUGCCAUCAUUAGGAAGGACAAUGUUGUCCAUGAUCUUGGCCAUUAGGGCACCUCGAAGUUAGUUGUGUGUGCCUAUGAUGCCAGGGCGGUAGAGUUCUUUCAAGAAGGGUGAUUCUGAACUUCCCUGAGUGUCGUGAGUACACGAAGUUCCUCGCGCCAGACAGCAUGAGGAUGUGCAGUAGGGCUGAGGAGAAGGCGAACUAACAGGCCGAGAUGCAGUUCUUCGACCCAUUGGUGAGCGAGUUUGCAAGAGAUAACAAACUCGUGGAGCCCAUUAAAAUGAUGCUACUUCAGUAUUCAGUCAAGAAGAGCGCUGAGGAGGAUCUCAUAGACUGGGAUGCCUUGGAGCAUGAGGAGGAAUGUCAACAGGGGUAACAUCAUAGGUCCACUAGGCACGACCACGAGGCCGGUCCCUCUGGCCACUAGCUUAAUUACCGUGCUACCUAUUUCGUAUGAACUGUUUAACUUUAUGUAUAUUUUAUGUUUGAACUACGCAUGGUUUGUUGAACUGUUUAAUUACAAGUAUGUGUUAAUAUGUAGAUGGUUGGAUAGCGCUAGUUCGUACUAACUUCUUAUGUUGCGUUAUAUCUAUAUGCAUCUGUUAUGUAUGUUAUUUUUCUCAAGUUGAUGAAAGUAGUAAAUGGAUGCCCCAUGUGAGACCUAUAGUUCUGUGAGAUGCCAAAGGAAUAAGAUGUUCUUCAUAGAUCUGUUGAAUGACUUCCUCACUAGGACGAUAUAUAUGUUUAGUUCAAGAUGUUCUGAUUGAUGAGUUUCAUAUGUGAUGUAUACGUUUGCAUCGAAAAUUGUCUAACUAGCUGGUCCUUUAUUUUAAUUUUGCUCAAAUCAUCCCUUCUAGGGCAAGGCGUGACUUCUUAGAGAAGUUUCGUGUUCCAGUAGAUGCCACCAUCACAAUCCAGUUCACCAUCAUGAAGAUGCUGACGGCCCAACAAUUCGAUUGUCUUUUCACCAACAAGGCAAACCGCACCUAUUUCGGUUGAUUUGGUUGAAUAGCCCUUGCAACUGCUUGCGAGAUGGAAGCUGAGAGAGAGCCACGUUCUACCUCGACUACGACCAUGAAGAGAUCAUGGUCUACUACAGGCUUGCUGUCAGCAACAAUGGUUCACUUACUCCGGACUAUGACCCUGACUCCGCCCGCCAAAAAGUCCUAGUUAGCUAGUUGGCAUGCAUGGAAUAUCUCAUGUUAUUAUCACCUCUAUUUGUUUGAACUUGUACAUUCAUGUGUGUUACUUUGCGUACUUUGUUGAACUAUAUCAAUAAGUGCAUUGUUGGAAUUAAAUGUUGUUAUUGGGUCUAUUUAUAGUUGAUUUAUUUACUGUUCUUAAACUGGAUUAUGCUGUCAUUUAGGUCGCGAUCGUCGUUGUAUAGCUUUUAUUUACUGGCGUCGCGACAACAUGGAACGCCAGAAUUGAUGAAUAUUAGUGUUGGCGUUGUCCACGUGGCACGUCAUUAUCAUCCAAAAUACUGUUGGCAAAGGGUACAACCCCAGCGCUAAUUUUAAACAAUGGCGCCAUAUUGAUGGCGUCGAGUGUCCAUGUGACCAAGGCUGUUGUUGGCACGCCAUAGCUAGGCUUUUCUCCAAUAGUGUGGCUACCAGGAAGGCCUCAAAGUUUAGAUCUAGCUUGGGGCAUCGCAUGCAGCUGUGGAGCGGCGCACCAUCGGCAUCUGAUGUGAUGUAGAGAGCGAUAGGGCCCUUUCGCUCUCUCCCGACCCACUAGGGUUCCUCCGCCGCCGUCGCCGCCCUAGCUAGCUCCUUCCCGCCGCCGUAGGCCACCGGGCGUGCGCCCCCAAUCUAGUACCACCCCCUCUUCCCCCUCCCCCAUCCCGCGACCCGCACCGUCCCGCGGCGGCCGGGCCGUGCCCCACGUCUCCCGCCCCUAGCCCCUCCUUCCCUCGUUCCUCCCGCCGUCGCCGGUGUGCUACGCCGGCCCUUGGCCAGGCGGCCUUGGUGGCGGCGGGCCGCUGGCCUUUCCCCUCCUGGUCUUGGCUGACGUGGGACAACCUUGGCCCAGGUGGUGCUCCUCGGCGGCGACGGUCUGGCGCGGCGGCGGGUCUUCCCUGAUGCAGCGCGGGUGGCCAAGGUGGUAGUGGAGCUGCCAUUGGUGGCUGGGCAGCGAUGGCGGUGCUCCGGCCCUCCAGGUCCAGAUCUGGGCCCUUCGGGCCCGAUGUGGGUCAGGGCAGGCCUGCCUCAUGGCCUCUGGUUGGCCUGGUGAGCGGCUCGCGACGGAGAUGGCAGCGAUGACACCACACUGUUGCAGCGUGGCGAUGGGAGCUUCAUAGGCCUGUAUGUGUCUGGCCGAGCUUAUGGGCUGUUAGAGGGUAGCGGCGGCGGUGGCCUACGUGCAGCAGCACGGCAGCGGGGACUUUACGAGCCUCCCAGGCUCGCCCGGGCCUUUUGCCUGGUGUGUCCCUGCUGCUGUUUCCGGUCGACACCCGACGACGUCCUCCAGGUGGCGACGUUGCUGCCGCCCUCCGGUUCCAAUGGCUCGGUGUGCUCUUGUCGUUGCAUCUGGACGGCUACCGUAUAUGAUGGUGGAGGUUGUUCCCUCCAGCGUGGUUGUGAUCCUAUCGGACCUUGUCUACGGCUGCUUCGUCUCGGGCUGACUGGCUUUGCUACGUUGGCCAUGGUGAGACGACGAUGGUGACUGCAAGGCCGUGGUGGCGUAUGUUGGUGGAUGGCAUGUUUGGUGGAGAGCCUAUGAUUGUUCGGGAGGUGGGAUUUUGGGGGUCGGGAGAAAUCCUUGUCAUUUUGACACCGACACGGUGACACUUGCUAGUGUCAUCCCUCCUUCCCGGAGGGCGUCGGGUGUACCUCUUCUCGACCCUCGGAGCGUACCGGGGGAAACCCUAGGACCUGUCCGGGCAGCAGUGUUGCCGUCAUCACUGUCCUUCUUGGAGGUGCUGCUUGGUACGCGAUGAAUCAGAGUGCUAGGAUCGCGGUGGGAAUACUUCGGAGAGGACGCAGCGGCUACGAGUCAUUUUCUGGUUGAUCCGCCGGUGUUGCCAUUGAAGGAAAUAUGCCCUAGAGGCAAUAAUAAAGUUAUUAUUUAUUUCCUUAUAUCAUGAUGAAUGUUUAUUAUUCAUGCUAGAAUUGUAUUAACCGGAAACAUGAUACAUGUGUGAAUACAUAGACAAACUAAGUGUCACUAGUGUGCCUCUACUUGACUAGCUCAUUAAUCAAAGAUGGUUAUGUUUCCUAACCAUAGACAUGUGUUCUCAUUUGAUUAACGGGAUCACAUCAUUAGGAGAAUGAUGUGAUUGACUUGACCCAUUCCGUUAGCCUAGCACUUGAUCCUUUAGUAUGUUGCUAUUGCUUUCUUCAUGACUUAUAUAAAGUUCCUACAACUAUGAGAUUAUGAAACUCCCGUUUACCGAAGGAACACUUUAUGUGCUACCAAACGUCACAACGUAACUGGGUGAUUAUAAAGGAGCUCUACAGGUGUCUCCAAACUUACAUGUUGAGUUGGCAUAUUUCGAGAUUAGGUUUUGUCACUCCGAUUGUCGGAGAGGUAUCUCUGCGCCCUCUCGGCAAUGCGCAUCACUAUAAGCCUUGCAAGCAAUGUAACUAAUGAGUUAGUUACGGAAUGAUGCAUUACGUAACGAGUAAAGAGACUUGCCGAUAACGAGAUUGAACUAGGUAUUGGAUACCGACGAUCGACUCUCGGGCAAGUAACAUACCGAUGACAAAGGGAACAACAUAUGUUGUUAUGCGAUUUGACCGAUAAAGAUCUUCGUAGAAUAUGUAGGAGCCAAUAUGAGCAUCCAGGUUCCGCUAUUGGUUAUUGACCGGAAACAGUUCUAGAUCAUGUCUACAUAGUUCUCGAACCCGUAGGGUCCGCACGCUUAACGUUACGAUGACAGUUUUAUUAUGAGUUUAUAACUUUUGAUGUACCGAAGGUUGUUCGGAGUCCCGGAUAUGAUCACGGACAUGACGAGGAGUCUCGAAAUGGUCGAGACAUAAAGAUUGAUAUAUUGGAAGCCUAUAUUUGGAUAUCGGAAUCGUUCCGGGUGAAAUCGGGAUUUUACCGGAGUACCGGGGGUUACCGGAACCCCCACGGGGGUUAAUGGGCCUACAUGGGCCCUAAGGGAGAAGAGGAGGGCCGGCCAGGGCAGGCCGCGCGCCCCCUCCCCCCUAGUCCGAAUAGGACAAGGAAGGGGGGGCCUUUCCUCUUUCCCCUUCCCCCUUUCCUUCUCCUACAAGGCAAGAGGGGGGAGUCCUACUCCCGGUGGGAGUAGGACUCCUCCAGGCACACCCCUAGGGGGCCGGCCGCACCUCCCCCUCCCCCCUUUAUAUACGGGGGCAGGGGGGCACCCCAAGACACACAAGUUGAUCUUCGUGAUCAUUCCUUAGCCGUGUGCGGUGCCCCCCUCCACCAUAUUUCACCUCGGUCAUAUCAUUGCGGUGCUUAGGCGAAGCCCUGCGUCGGUAGAACAUCAUCAUCGUCACCACGCCGUCGUGCUAACGGAACUCAUCCCCGACCCCCUGCUGGAUCGGAGUUCGGGGAUCGUCAUCGAGCUGAACGCGUGCUGAACUCGGAGGUGCCGUACAUUUGGUACUUGGAUCGGUCGGAUCGUGAAGACGUACGACUACAUCAACCGUGUUGUCAUAACGCUUCCGCUUUCGAUCUACGAGGGUACGUGGACAACACUCUCCCCUCUCGUUGCUAUGCAUCACCAUGAUCCUUUGCGUGUGUGUAGGAAUUUUUUUUUUGAAAUUACUACGUUCCCCAACAGGCAUUGUUUUCUUCGUCUUUUCUUUUGGGCGUAGUUGUGCUGUUUGCCCCAGCAAUGGAUCUCAUAUUGUACCGUGUGGUUACUAUAUUAAUAUAGCGGGACGAAAGCAUAUUUCGAGAUAUAGGGACCGUCAUCGAGUCAGUUUGUUAGGUCCACACCCGCUGUUGUCGUUCUCUCCUCCUCGCCUGGUGGAGGACCGCCUCUUCGUUUUGAAUCACCGUCAGCAUGCAAUGGGAGCCUGGUGCCAAUACCGCCAUCACCAGCCUCACCCGCCAGAGCGAGAGGGGUAGUGGUGAGGGAUUUGAAUGCCACCCACGUCAAUUGUUGUGCAGGAUUCGCUAAAUUCGCUUUGUCCAUAGCCCAAAGCAGCACUUCCAUCGGGUAUUUCAUCACUCCUCCACGUUCACUUCCUCUGCCACUGCCAUGGACAUCAGAUUCAGCUUGCUCUUGGUUGCGUAGCACGAGUGGAUUUCCCGAAAGCUCGCAAGCUUCCACGCAUCCCUGCUCGUAAUCAGCGCCAUCCUCUCCUCUAUUGCCUCCAUCAAGAUCCACGCAUGCACCACACUAGACCAGAAGGCCUCCUCGACCUGUGCUAGGUGACACAGAAAAUGUACCAUAAUGUAACCCUACGUAGGGAUGAAAAUAAAGUGGAAACUUUCCGCUUUUCCGCCGGAAAAAUGAAAACAGAGAAGAAAUGUGGAAACGGAAAUAGAAACUUGCAAAAUGUAAAUGGAAAUGAAAAUUUUUAUGCCGAAACGGAAAUAAAAAUGGAACGGUAAUUUCCAGUGGAACAGACGUGGAAACGCAACUUUCCGUUUUCGUGAAUAUGGAAUUUCUGUUUUUUACUAUAGGCCUAUGGCUGCUUUGUAGCCUUACCAUCAAACAACACACAACGACCAACUAAGCAGAAUGGAUCGUUUGAGGCUCAACUUCUACUACCACACACGUACUCAACUAGACCCUGCACACAAUUGUCCUAUACUACUACGAUACUAUGGUAAGUAGCUGACAUAAUCAUAUUAUUUUGUAGCCAUGAUAACAUAUCUUUAAAAUUGUGUGUAUUUUGCUAUGAUUCAAGGGGUUUUUAAGUUCCGGUAAACGACCAUUUAUGUUUCUGUGUCCGCUCUGUAUUUGCGCGAUGUUCAUUUCCGGUAGUAUCCGUUUCCGUAUUCAUUUUUGUGAUUUCUGUAUUUGUUUCCGUUUCUGUAAGAAACUAUGAAAACAAAUGUAGUAGCACCCAGUUCUGUCCGUUUUCGCUCCGUUUUCAUCCCUAACCCUACGCAACCGCUUUUCCUGCAUGACACACACGGUAAUCCACAACAUUGCCUUGGUCAUCGAGCAACACCAGUUGUUGAACCCCCGCUCAGCGGAGGAGGACUGCACGAGAAUAAACCAGCAGGUUGGCUGCACAAAGGUCAGGGAUGAAUCGCACCACCCAUCGAGAGUGUGGCGUCAUUUACUACUCCCUCCGUUCAUUUUUAUAAUUGUUUCAGAGAACUAAAAUUGAGCUAUUUUGCACAUUGUCCGAAGUUUCUACAACACCUUAUAAAAGUGAACAAAGGGAGCACUUGUUCUAUGUGAAUGAAUUUCAAAACCUGUUUCUUUCCAACUGGUUGGGAGUGCUAGCAAGGAUGGCGCAAGCGGUUGACGUGGCUAGAGUUGCUAGCUGGAGUAGUCCCUUCUGAAUGAUUUCAAAAGAUUGUACUUCUGCGUGCAUCAAUCGAUUCACACGCCGGGGGUAUCCUCAUUUUCAAUAAAAAUGCCUAAGAUGUCAAAAUUAGAAAGGAAAUGGAAAACAACAUUGCUUAAUCUAGAGUUUGCAUCCGUUUGGAUAAAGGAUUAAGACAGCAGAAUGAUCAUUGGUGAUGUUAACAUGAACUGAAAUUCUGAAACAGACCAAUAUCUAUCUUGACACACCGGAGAACAGCUCCUGAUUUUUUUCCCUUCAGAUUUAACAGUUUGAUCAUCUUUCGAAAAUUUUGCCUAAAGAAACAUAUUUUAAAAAAUGCAAUGGAUAAGUCAGCAAAAUUUCUAGGCUGACAGGAACAAGACACACAGUGACUAGUUUUUCGCCAAGGAAAGGAUAUCAAAAGACGGCGGCCUUUGUGUACAUAAUGUCAUAGUAAGUGUACCCCAUGAGAGUGCGUGCCAGUCUCUCUGGGCAGUGUUGGCCCAUGGUUCCCACUUCCACCAUAUCCCACUCGUCCCAGAUCUCAAAGAUUUUCUCACCGCGGCCAUCCUCGAGGCGAUGCAUGCAAAUCCCAUACCGUAGCAGUAGAUGCAGUUGCAUUCGAUGCCCGAGGGAUUAGACUGGUCAUAGUGGGAAGUAUCAUAUAUUAGUAUCAUGCAUAUGAUACUAGUGUAUAAUACUACAUUCAUAGUGCAUAAUAUUAUAGAUUAGUAUCAUAGAUGGUCUCAUUUAUUGCCAUGCAUGACACAUAGUAGCAUCACAUUUAUUAUGUUACGGUAUCUAUCUAUUUUACUAUAACUAUCUCUUUUUUUUUAAUAACCUGCCACAUAAGCAUGUUUGCGAGUCCCAAAAACAUGAUACUACUUAUGGCCAGCCUAAGGCCAACCUUAGGCCUCCUUUGGUUCAUAGGAUGGGAAUUUUACAGGAAUAGGAAAAUCAUAGGAAGUGAGAUGACAUGCAUCUCAAUUCCUAUAAAAAAAGAUGUCAUUUGAUGCAUAGGAUAGGGAUUUUUCCAUUAAGUUUAGGCUAAUGUUUUUUUCCUCCAAAAUGUGAAGGAUUGGUUCUUGUCCUACAUAGAAAUAGGAAUCCAUUCCUACAAACCAAUGGGCUUCAAAGGAAUUUUUCCUUUACAAAUCCUAUCCUGUAGAGUUCCUACAAAAUUCCUACAAACCAAACGAGGCCUUAGCGUCCACGGACAGACAACGCUGUUUGCCAAGAAAGAUGGCACGGCUUCCAAUGGUCUUGAUCUGCUCCAAAGUUCUAUUUUCGAUGUCCACCCUGAACACCUGCAUCAGUCCAAACGGAAAAUUCACAUGUCGCACAAGGAGCAGCUCUCCUACGUUGUCGACGAGGAAGGUGGGAGUCGUGAGACGGUUGUACUUCCAGGGGGCGCUCACGAUGGUGGUGACCGUGGGUUUCUGGUCGAGCCUGCAGUUGUGUUCAACUGCAACGACCGAUCCUCUCAUGUCGGCGUACGCUCGGCCUUUGAAGGCCACCAUGGCCCUGAGCUCCUCCACGGCCGGCUUGGCUUCAAACACUGCCUCUCGGUUGAAGGCAUCGUCCCAGGUCGGGUCGAUGCACCCGCCAUAGCUGAAACCAAAACGGCUGUAGAGCACCAUCGGUGAAGAGCCCGCCGCGGACAUCUCCCUAAUGCUCUGUGUGACACUGAGGAAUUGGACGGUAGUAACGGCCAAGCUUACAAGGUGGCCAGUGAAGGGGUUGAGGGUGAACAUCCACGACCCGGCCACCAGGACGAGGCGGCCGUCCUCCGAGAAGGCAACGCAGGUGAAGUUGCGGAGUAUCGGCAGGUCCUUCCACAGGAAGCGGCCAGCGUCGACAUGAAGGAACAGGCAGCGGGGAAUGCCGCCGUCGUUCCCGGCGAGCUUCUCGAUCAUGGCCCAUCGCCGAGGAUGGAAACGAUGGUCCAUGACACGCGGGUCGUCGGUGGAGACGCGCCAGUUGUGGCACACGGUGCGGAGGCUUAUGUAGUAGUCGAGGUCGUUGGUGGCGAGGAAGACGUCUGCGAUGCGCCUGACGAGGUCGGGGGGGAGCGACGACCAGUCCACCGUGCACGACAUAAUCGAUCGGUCGCACAAAACUCACUGGGGAAGACGAUGGUUGUGGCAACUCAGUCUUGUCGAUUACUACCUUUUUUAUCCUUUUUUUGCCAGUUCCACCCUUGAUGCAAUUGGGUCCGACUUUUUUUCACCUCGGUUGCUCCGCCAUCAACUCGCAACUAGGUUUUAUUUGGCUUUUUUCUCGCGAGUUUCCUUCAAAAGCAAAGUAACCCUGCCAUACAUUUUCAGUAGGUUUUUCCCCAAGAAGGCUCAGAUCUGGCGGUGUCAUUUUUUGUCUAUCUUGUUCUAUGCAACUAAUGCAAAAAAGGUUAGGUCACUACUCUAGAUCCUAGUUUUAUGACCCAAGAUCUGCCACUACUCCCGGCAACAAUCACGGAAAAUACAUGGAUGAAACCAGGCUAAUAUACACCCACUUCGAAAACACAUUUCUAAAUCCCGAAAAAAUCAAAAGCACCUUCUACGUGCGUGCAGAAAAGUUUUUGCGGGAAAACAACUAUUUUGUUGGCCUGCGCAAGAAAGAUAAAUAAAUGUGUCCUCAAACGCUAUUUAAAAUUGUUCAGUGGGUAUUGGUAAAAGGGUUCACUGUAUAUAUUAAAAGAAGUUCACCGUACAAGUUCAAGUUCAAUGUAUAUUAAAAAAGUUCAUGAUAUAUUAAAUAUUUGUUCAGUGGGUAUCUGAAAAAGUGUUUGUCGAUAUUUUAGAAUUUUUUCAUGUGUAUUUAAAAGAAAUGUCCUAGUACACAUCAUGUAGCAGGAGCAAACAUGACAUGCAAAACAAGAGCAAAUAUUUACAUGUAGAGCAGCAUGAGCAAAUAUUUCUUAGAACCAAAUCUAAACUAGCCUCAUACAUGUACUUGAGCUCAUCGGGGAAAAGAGCAACAUGAGAAGAUCCUAGUGGCAUCAUACAAUUCAAUCAAGCAGUAUAUCAACCACAAAUAGAAGAAGCCAGAGCAGAGCAUGCAUAACUUGGGGAGAUAAAACAGAGUCGAGAGGGAGGGGAUCGACAUUCCCUGCUGUGGUUGGGCAUCGGCACGGCCGUGGGGUCGUGUCCUGCUCAUCCUCCUCGACUAUUUCGUUUAUGGACAGCACCCACCUGCUCCAAUUGACCAAAAAGGAAAAAGGUUUAGAAUUAGAAAUUCAUCAUAUCAAAUAGAUUCAGACUCAAGAGCACCACUCAUCAUACCACAACCAUUUUUCGUCAAAUAAUAUAGCUGCCAAGCACUUCACACUCUAAAUGAUAAACUCCCAUCGAAUCCCUAGCUGACGACACGAUCGGCGAAUGCAGCCACCAUCACUGCCAUGAAGCCUAACGAAGAGUUCACUAGGCGGAUCACCGCCUAGAGCCGUCGCCCUAGCGUCAAUCAAAACCCAAACCUAGCAUCACCCCAAGCCCCAUUGGCGCCCCCACCUACCACCACCAGGACAGGGCAGAGGGAAGCAGGCUCGAACGGUAAAAGAACGAGCGGCGGAUGGAGCACGACCAACUAGAUCCAUGGCCUCCACACCAGCCCACAGUCGGGUGAGGGGGUCGCCGCCCCCCGACCGCGGUCACCUGAUAAGAGCAUCUCUAGCAGACCCCUUAAAAACACCAAACCUGUAAAAUUCCAACGAAUUUAUGGUUCCGGACCAAUUUUAUGUUCAGAACAGACCCCGUAAAAGUUCGGGGAACCGUAGACGUUUUACAGGCCAUCGAAAACGCAAGCCUCUGCCCUCUAGUUCUAUAGGUCCGAGGACAGUAUACAUGUCACGAACUGGAUCCUUCCGCCGCCAUCCGUACCACCUGUAUCCAGCCGUCGAUUUCUCUCUGCUCCAACAAAAUUCUGCACUGCAAAAGGAUCGAGCGCGUGCAUGCGGCCAUGGCUGAUCCCAUUCGUGCUCAACGCGAGGAAGAGGAACGGGAUGCGGCGCUCCGUGACACCGGCGGCUCCGUAUUUGACAGCUUGAAUCGAUUGGGCACGGUGACGGGAGCUAGCUAGCUAGCUAGCUUCUGAAUCGAUUGCCCACGGUGACGGGAGCUAGCUAGCUUCUGGGCCAAUUCAAGCGGUGACGGCGACGCUGGGCGCUUUGUGCGAGCCGUUCUGGACACCGGCGGCACCGUAUUUGGCCGCUUUGUGCUCUGUCCGCAGGUUUCGUAGGAGUGAGCUAGCUGCCCGUGAACACAGGCAAGAGGAAGAAGAAGACGUGGUGGAAAAUAUACACGAAUAUUCGGUAUUCCAGUCUAAGCUUAAAGGAUCUGCUCGGCCGCAGCUCAAACCAACUCUUAAAAUGUGUUUUUCGCGAAUUGAAAACCGCAUUUUCAGUUUUCUGAUUUAAGGUUCUGCUAGAGAUGCUCUGAUGGCAAUUGCCGCAACGCCCUUGGCUACAACCACCACCAGUGUCAAAGAUCUUGGUCACAUGACCUAGAUCUGGGCCAGGACGGGCCACCCUGGUUGGGGCGCCCCUAGGCCAAGGGUGGCAGGAUGCCAGCCCUCCAUGUAUCGUCAGCUGUAGUGUGGCUGCAGAAUGACGAUGGAGUUGCGGAGAUCCAAUGGUAACCUGUGCUAGUUUACGGGGAGGAUCCCGGCUGGGCGACUGGCGGCAGCGAAUGGAACUGUAGUAAGUCAAAUUAGGUGACUUGAAUUUGUCUAAAUAUGAAUGUAUCUAUAUUUGUUUAGUGUCUAGAUAAAUAUGGGUCAAUUAAUUUGGAACGGAGGGAGUAUGAUCUACAAACUUCCUUUUGUGCCUCGAACCUAUAAUUUGAACUAAAUUUGUGUGCUUAAAGAAAGUACGCAGCUCCUCUGUUCAUCUUUUCUUAAAUUUGCAUUUUGAUUGUAGUUAAGUUUCUACGGUACCAAAGCUUAAUACGAAUACAAUAGUGAGUACGAUCAUUUCAAAUUCAACAUUUUCCAGCACAGAGGUUAGUAUAAAAGUGAUGGAUGGUUUCGCCUCAUAAAGUCCAGCAUAUACAUAAAUCAAGCCUCAGUUGUUUUUACCUACAUGCAUGGACACUUGUAUGGUUCCACGGAUGCGGUAUAUCAUGGAUUCACGGUCAAGGUACACAAAGAAGCUACUCCGUUACUUUCUCCCACCGGCUGCAGCAUGUAUAUGCACUGCUAGCUACUCCCUCCGUUCCAAAUUACUUGUCUUCGAUUUGUCUAGAUACGGAUGUAUCUAGCACUAAAAUAAGUCUAGAUACAUCCGUAUCUAUACAAAUCUAAGACAAGUAAUUCAGAACGGAGGGAGUAGUAGUUACUAGACACCAUAUUACAGGUAUCCGACUAGAACUUGUGCAAGGCUCAAGGGCAGAAAUCGACUCGGCCGUUCCACGGGCUCGAAGAGUGUCUCGUCGCUGCCGUCCACAAGACGGUGCAUGCAAAUCCCGCCGUUCUGAGGACGAGGCACGCGGUCGACGUAGUAGACGCAGUUGCCUUCGAUGGCAGGAAGAUUGCCAGCAUCUACGGACAGACAACGAUUGCGGCCAAGGAAGAUAGCACGGUUUCCUAUACAUUUGAUCGCCUUGAGAAUUUUAUUCUCGAUGUCAACCCUGAAAACCUGCAGGCCGGAAAACAGAGAUCAACUCUAAUAAAUAGAUUUGGCUAGGGUUCCCCCGCUCCCCUCCCGCCGCCGCCGCCCCUCCCGCCGCCGCCGGCCGUCGGCCCCGCCCCCCGCCUCCGCCCCCCUUCCGCCCUACCCCUCCUCCGUCUAUACCNNNNNNNNNNNNNNNNNNNNNNNNNNNNNNNNNNNNNNNNNNNNNNNNNNNNNNNNNNNNNNNNNNNNNNNNNNNNNNNNNNNNNNNNNNNNNNNNNNNNNNNNNNNNNNNNNNNNNNNNNNNNNNNNNNNNNNNNNNNNNNNNNNNNNNNNNNNNNNNNNNNNNNNNNNNNNNNNNNNNNNNNNNNNNNNNNNNNNNNNNNNNNNNNNNNNNNNNNNNNNNNNNNNNNNNNNNNNNNNNNNNNNNNNNNNNNNNNNNNNNNNNNNNNNNNNNNNNNNNNNNNNNNNNNNNNNNNNNNNNNNNNNNNNNNNNNNNNNNNNNNNNNNNNNNNNNNNNNNNNNNNNNNNNNNNNNNNNNNNNNNNNNNNNNNNNNNNNNNNNNNNNNNNNNNNNNNNNNNNNNNNNNNNNNNNNNNNNNNNNNNNNNNNNNNNNNNNNNNNNNNNNNNNNNNNNNNNNNNNNNNNNNNNNNNNNNNNNNNNNNNNNNNNNNNNNNNNNNNNNNNNUCCUUGGCGGCGGGGCGGCGUGGUGGUGCCGGGUGGCCGUCGACGCGCCCCCGGCCCAGAUCCGGGCACGUCGGGCCCCAUCUGGGCCCCUGGGGGCCGGCCCCCCGGCAUGGUCUCGUUGUCUGCGGCGCGGUGAGGAGGAGGAGCGGCUCGGACUUGGGGCGUCGGCGCCGAUGGCGUGCCGGCAGCAGCGCGAAGGCGGGAGCUUUACGGGCCCACGAGGGCUCGGCCGGGCCUGUGGGCCUACGGGCCUGGUGUGCUCCUGCUAUCGCGUCCGGACGGCUACUGUCGCUGACGGUGGAGGUGGGGCCCUCCCGCGUGCCGAUGGUGCUAAUGCCCUAGUCCCGGCUCUCAUUCUUCGUCGUGCUGUCCUCACUUCGCGGUGCCGUGGUGAGACGGCGUGGAGGCCUCAUGACCGCGUUGGCGUAGGGUGGUGGUUGGUUUGGUGGCGGGAUCCGGAGCGCCCGAGGUGCGGGUUGGGAUCGGGGGAAACCCCUGUCGGCGGGGCCGACUCCGGCGCGGUGGCGCCUGUGGGUGCCGCCUGACCUUCCGGGAGGGCGUCGGGGGCUACUCUUCCUCUCGCCUCGUCGUGUACCGGGGAAACCCUUGGCAGCAGCAUCGUCAUUGUCGCGAUCCUUCUUGGAGGUGUUGAUUGGUGCCGACGCUUCGGAGUCUUGGAGCCUAGUGGAUGAGCCGGGUGGGCCUAGCGAUCGCGAGGCUUCUUCGUUUUUGUUGAUCCGCCGUUGUCGGCAUUUGUUUCUUUUGCUCUUUCUCUGUUGUUUCUUUUGGGCGUGACUGUGCUGCUUCCGCCCCAGCAUCUAUCCCUGUAUGCUUCGGUUGGUUGCUUUGUAUACAAAGCGGGGGGAAACCCUUUUUCGGUAAAACCUGCAGGCCGCCAUGGGACGACAGGAAGCGCACAAGGAGCAGCUCCCCGGCGUUUUCCACGAGGAACGUCGGCAGGAUCUCCUCCUCCCAGCAGCCGGCGAUGACGGUGGUGAUCAGCUCCAACUCCUCGUUUUGGCGCUGGCCUUUCACGACCACGACGGUUCCCUUGUCGUCGACGGCAUAUGCGCGGCCUUGAUAGGCCACCACGGAUCCGAACCCGUCGAGAUCUGGGUAAGCUGAGAACUUCGUCAUCCAGUCGAGAUCGCUAGUCGGGUCGACGCAGACGCCGUGAAACGGAUAGAAGAUGUAGAACAACAUCGGCGACGAGCCAGCUGCCACCAGUCGUGCGCCGAGGCAGUACAAGUACGGGGGUUUCUUGGAAAAACGGACGAGGUGGCCGGUGAAAGGGUUGAGGACGGCCAUCAUGUUGAGCCCAAAGGUCUCUUGCAGGACGAGGAGACCGUCCUCGGUGGAGGUGAUGUAGACGUACCCUCGGAGCAUGAGCACGUUCAUCCACAGGAAGCGGCCGGUGUCAGCGUGCAGCAAGAGGCAGCGGCCGGAGUCGCAGUUCAGGGCGUGUGACCGCAGCAUGAUCCAUCCUUGGGGGCGGAACCGCUUGUCCGGGCCGCGCGGGUCAUCGGUGGCGGCACGCCAGUUGUGGCACACGGCGCGGAGGCUCAUGUAGUAGUCGAGGUCGCUGGUGGCGAGGAAGACGUCCGCGAUGCUGUUGACGAGCUCGGAGGGUAGCGAUGACCAGUCCACCGGCGCCAUUGUUGCAGCGCCGUGGCGGUGCUAGUUUGAGCCUUUGGGGAACUGGGGAACGUACAGCCAUCGGCUGGAGGGGAAUAUAUGCAGGCGUGCCGCGCGUGGGCAAAGGAAUCUCGAAGGGUGCUGCCAUUGCAAUACGCUGACCGUCUGACGCUGUGUCUUCCGCGCCGCCGGCGUGGUGCGCGUUCGCACCAACGGCGCGCCUGGACUUGCUUUGGGACCCGGCGCACUCACGCGAGUUAAACUGCUUCGCUUCCCAAAGCGGCGGGCUCGUGUCAGACCAGACUAGCUAGAAGUCGCCCGUUGAGGUUCUCCACGCACCUCUGCCGCCCCGUACUGUAAACAACACACCGGCGCCUGCGCACGGUGACCAUGGCGUGGGCGGCCGACUGGUCAUCCCUCCCCUCUGAGCUCAUCAGCCGCGUCGCCGACGUCUUCCUCGCCACCAGCGACGUGGACUACUACGCGAGCCUCCGCGCUGUGUGCCGCAACUGGCGCGCCGCCACCGACGACCCGCGCGGGCCGCACCCCCGCUUGCGUCCCCAUCGCUGGGUGAUGCUCGACGAGCUCGACCGCAACGCCCGCUCCCGCCUCUUCCUCAACAUCGAAACCGGGCGCUUCCUACGGAGGGACAUCCCCGCGCUCUACUACUGCUUCUACGUCGCCGCCGCCGACGGCCUGCUCGUGCUGCUCGCGAGCAACAGCGAGACCAGGCUCUGCGUCCUCAACCCCAUCACCGGCUCCGUAGUCCGGUUCCACGCGACCGUCCACGUGCACCCCCGGGACAUUGGCUUGGCCGUGGCCGGCUCCUCGCCGAUGGUGCUCACCAUCUUCUCCAGCCCAAGCCACGGCGCGUGUUUCGAGCCCACCGUCCCCGGUGUCAACCCGUCGUCCCCGCCGGUGUUCACGGCCGCGCCAACCCUCGACAGCUUCGCCUCCGUGGUGGCGUUCCAAGGCCGCGUGUACGCCGCGGACCGUGCCGGAUCGGUCGCGGUUGUGGAGUACACUGGGCCUGACACGACGCCCGAGAUCACCAUCCUCGUCGCCGGCGACCGGCUGGCGAAUACUUACGCGUUCCUCGUUGACAGCGCCGGGGACGAGCUGUUGCUGGUACGCGCAACGUCGACGACCGCCACCGGCCGCAGCAUUCAGGACUUCAAAGUGAACCUCGGGACAAACUCUUUGGAGCCGGCCAGGACCAUCGGGAACCGCGCUCUCGUCCUCGGUGUCCAGUCCAUCUCCGUCGACGUUGGAAAUGUCCCCGGCUUGGAAGGGAACUGCGUCUAUUAUGGCAACAGCUUGUUCCGGCAGACGGGGAUCCGCGUCUACCGCAUCAACGACGGCAGUGAGGAGGUACUGGCCGCGCACCCCACGGACGAGGAGCGGCGUCGUGGGCAGGGCCGUGUGUUCCCCUUGCCCCUGGCCCAAAUUCUCGUGAUCUCCGCGUGGCCUUUCCGUGAUAGUGAUUUUGAAGGUUGGUGAAUUUCUUUGAACGAGGUUUCACAUUUCCUUAGGGAUCUUGAUGAAUUAUGCUGAUAUUUGAUUGAUUUUGAGAAAUAGUACCAAAAUGAACACAACAAUUCUUGAACAAACUACAAUGGCCGACCGGCCCAACCGUUCCUCGCGCGACGGUACUAGGGUAGCUGCAACUGCGGUGAACCGCCGGAGCUUCCAGUGGUGAACACAACCCAUCAGGGUUGCUGUAACCGCGAUGCCCACACACGCCGUUGCUGCAAUUGGCUAAGACGGAGCACAAUUGGCGGCAUGUUGUGUUCCAGCAAAUGGUCGUUAAUAACUUGAUUUGCUGGAAGGGCGGAACCAUGCGGGGCACCAGUGCUAUAACCAUGUGGGAGGCUAUGGGGGUGAGGUGGGGGGUGAUGAGGCGCUACAGGGGACAGCUGCCGGAGCAAGAAGAAGAGGCCGCGUGCGGGGCGUAGCUGCUGAAUCAUGCGGUCUUGGGCGUGCGUAUCAUGCGGUGCACGGUGAUCGUCUGAAAUUUAGGCCUGUCGUCUGGCGUGUAGUGUUGACCUAUUACUCCCAAACUUCAAACUAAGGCUGGUCAUAGUGGGGAGUAACUUAGACUAGUAACAUAUGCAUGUUACUAGUCUAUGUUACUACCUCUAUAGUGCAUUGUAUCAUAGAUUAGUAUCAUAGGUGGUCUCAUUUAGUGCCAUACAUGACACAUAGUAGCAUCACAUUUAUUAUGUUACGGUAUCUACCUAUGUUACUGUAACCAUCUCUCUCUUCUUUAAUUUCCUGCCACAUAAGCAUAUUUGCGAGUCCCAAGUGCAUGAUACUAUUUAUGUUACCCCCACUGUGGCUAGCCUAAGAUAUGUGAACACACUCUGUGAAUGAGGGGGGCGGGGGUGACUGAUGGGGGUAGCCUAGGUUGGGAUGACUCUUUUUUUUAGAAGGGUUGGGAUGACUGAUGGGGGUAGCCGAAGCUGAGGCAGUGGCGGACCUAGCCCACUGGCCCAGUGUGGGCCAGCAGUGCUACUGAACAUAUACAUUUAAUUUUUUUCUUUUAUUUUUACCUUUUCUCCUAUGGUAUAAAAGAGUUUUCCAAGUCUCGGGGUGGGCCAACCUCCGCCACUGGCUGAGGGUUGAUUCUAGCUAGCAUGUGCCCGACAUGUGUGAUGUUUUUUGCACACCAUUAACGACCAUUUUCCUUGUUACCUCAUUUACCUCUACAUGCACUGUAUCCUCUCCCCUUCCAAUUUUCGGAACCUAAAAUUUUUCUAAAGAUCCAUUGGAAGUCAACCUUGAAUUUCCUUGAACGUUGACAAAAAUUUGUUGGACUACUUAUAUGUUAGUUGAAAGUUUGAAAACAUUGGUUGAAAGCUUUAUUAUUACUAGCAUGUCGAUCAAAUUAACAAAAUCAUAUAAUUACGUGAAAGUUCUUUCUUGAAGAGGGAAAGCAGGAGGUGGUUGCUGGCUCCGACACCGCCUUUUUGGGUUGUUGGAAAGUAAUCACUUGUCUUCUCCAACCAUCUCUUAUCUUUUUCUUUUUGUGAAUGCCAACCAUCUCCAUAGGAGGUUCGAAACUCUCAUGUUUUCAAUGUAAAUUAAGACAAACUCGUGUAUGAAACACAAGAAAGAAAGAGUAAAGCGUUUGUACGGAGCUAUGCUCCUUGAUGUCGGCGGCUUGGGAUCUUUAAAUUUAAGGGAGAAUUCCUUAUUUAACAUUGGCAUAAUUCUUUUGCCAUGUUUGACAUGGGAAAACUUUUUCUUCCUUAUCUAACAACAAUGCUAGAAUUUAUUCCCGUUGUGACACUUCCAUCUAUUUUAAGUACUAAUGGUUUUAAGGGGGUGUUUGGGUCAGGGACUUUUUAGUCCCAAAGACUAGAAAAAGUCCCUAAGAAGUCCCUAGGAACCAAACGGGAGGGACUUUUUCUACAGGGACUAGAAAAAGACUCUACUGGAGAGUCUUUUUUGAUUAGUCCCUGGGACUAGAAAAGUCCUAGGACUUCUGAACCAAACACCCCCUAAAUGACACAUGAAAAGAUGAUUUUACCCCUGAUGCAACUUGUGACCAAAAUUAUUCACAUGAGAAGCAAUAACUUUUUCCUGUUGUUAAUUGCAAAAUUGGGCAGAACCUCCCCUGUAAACAUGCAAAAAAUACAUAUCUCCACACACAAGUAUUUCAAAUUUUAAUUCAAAAAUUGGGCAGAACCUCCCCUAUAAUUGAUGCCAUAUCCUCUUGACACAAUUCAGAUAUACAUAAUUCAACACACAAUUUUCAAAUUUGCCAAUGGCAUGAAACAUAAACAUCCGGGCUCAUAUCCAACUACACAUAUAUGACUUACAAUAAAUCCAGGUUCACAUAUAUGAGUUCAAGUCCACACAUACAUCAUAUUAGCAACCCAAAAGUGUCUCACAUCAUAUCUAGGUUCACAUAGAUAGUGCAAGUCCAUACAUAUAUGCAUGACAUGAGUAGCACAGAAGUGACUUUAGGUUCACAUACACGAGUCCAAGUCCACACAACAUGACAUGAGCAGCAACAAAAGUGACUUUAAGUGACAGAAAUUAGAUGAAGUUCACGAACCGAGCCUUCUUUUGCUUCUUGUGCUCAUUGCAGGGAUGGCUAGGUAGGAUUUUUUGCUUCUAGUGCCCAUUGCAGGGCUGUCAAAAGGCACCUUAGGACCAUUUUGAUCCUUUUUAAUAAGCUCCAUCUUCCUUGUAGCCCUUAAAAUAACAAUAUGUUGUCAAAUUGCAGUGCAUGUAUGGCAGCAGUACGUAUGGAUAAUAUUUGAUACAUGUAUGGCAACAAACAACAACAUUAACUAUGCAUAAUAUGUGAUAUUAAAAUUAAGAAUUAGGAAAGUUCACCUUUUCCUCCCUUUUGCAUUUCUCUUGUUUGUAGUAUCAUCCUCAUGUUCUAUAUUGUUGUCAGGUUCGCUAUCACUGUGCCACUCGAUAAUAGGCUCAUACGGUUCAGAGGGAUCACAAUAUGCAAUGAUCAUAUGCAGCACCUUUGUCUCUGAGUGUUUUUCAAACAUAAGCAUCAAAUCUUGGUCAGAAUUUACUUUUGGACAUGUUUUAAGAUCACCAUCAUAAUACUGCACAUGUGCAACUUCCAUAUAACGCGGCGGGUACUGCUUUACAAUUGAUUCAACCAAAGCCUUAUAAUUUGUCAAGUCACAAUCGAUGAUCUUUUCAAAACAAAAACAUCGUAUGUCCUUCCGAGCUUUUUUUGGAUUGCCGAACAAUUUAAUUCUAAGCAAAUAACUUGAAUUUGGAUCCAUCCUGUGAAUUAAGAAGACAAUUUUGCAUCAGACCUAUGCAUGAGUAUUGCAAGCUUUAGCCUCAAUUACACAGCUACACAAACUAGCACAGACCUAUGCAUGAUAAUUGCUACUGGAUGGAAUGUAUUGCUACUAACAUUGCAUUCAAAUGAGGAAAAUACAAACAGAGUAGUUGCAUUCACUUGGACUCCUACGAAUGACACUUACCCAUCUGGACACGCGCAUGUAGCCGAGGACAAACGAGCCGCGCUCUGGUCUGAAGCACGUGCCGAGGCCGGCCUAGCAGUACCCUGGCCGGAGUCUUUAGCCACGCCGGCCGCAGAGCACCCAACCACUUCCGCGCCUUGACCCAGGCCCGCUGCAGUCGAGCGACUGCCACCUGCGAAAGAUAUCUCGUCGGCACCCUCAAUCGCACCCUCAACCGACCCCUCCUCAGACGCAGCCCCGCCAUCGCCAUUGGCCACCAGCGCUGGAUCCACAGCGGCGCCCAGGCCUGACCCGUCCGCUGCACCCUGGUCGUCUUCCUUGGAGUUGUCUCCCUCUGCGGCAACGCCCCCAUCCAUAGCCCUAAGCCGCCGCUGCCGCUAGGGUUCGCCGCCGCCGCGCUAGGUUGGACAGAACGGAGAAAGGAGCACAAAUCACGGGGUCAGGACUCGGGGGAGAGAUUGAGGCCGGUUUGGGCUUUGUUUUCUUGGUUCUCCUGCUUAUUAUGGACAGGGGCAAUUUCGUACAACUAGAAAAAAAUGACAUCGGUGAAUGUAGACUUUAAAGGCUUCUCCUAACAGAACCGACGGGUGUGUUAGGAAGGGAAAAAAUAAGGAAGGAAUUUUUAUGCAUUGUUAAAAUAGGGAACCAACAUUUAAAACGGUGUUAUAUAAGGAAUUUUCUCAUCUUUUAACCACAAUGUUCUGAAUAGCGGCCAAAAAAUGACGAUCGGGCUGCGGUGCCGAGGAGAACAAAGUAAAAAAAACAGUGUGGCCCCAUCGGAAACGGUAUGGUUCGUGGGAGGAAUAACUGAUGUAGAACCUUCCCACACGAUUCAGAGAGCAUUGAAGACAAAUGGGAGCUUCACCACCACAUCAUUGGAAGGAAGUGAAAUCCUUGCUAAUACUAAGGUGUAGUAGCAAAAAAGAUUAACUAGAACUCACAUGUUUGUGUCAUGUUAAACAAAGAAAGAAUCAUAAUUACAAUACAUAUAUAAGUGAAGAACUAUGUUCUCCAAAGCAUUUGAAAGGGAAAAACUAAUCUUAGCUUGUCUCACUUGACAUGCAUACACAUUGGGGGCAAUACUUAAUCACCAUAGAUGCAAUUAGCUUAUAUAGCUCAACAAACCAAUUGAAUACAUAAGUCAUAGGUGAGAAAAGCUUCGGCGUACCAUGCCUUCAGGUCGCAUGCGACCAGCUCAUAAUGUGAUACUAGAAUGUGUGAACAAUGUACAUUCGAAGAUUCAAUCCAUUAGUGCGUACAUGUGCGAUAACUCCUGGUCAGGUAGCUUCUUAUGUAUACACAAUCUAGGCAAUAUAAUGGUGCAGAAUAGCUUAUUCUACACUCCUGCCAUAUACAAAAUCUAGUAAACGGUGUACAAAAUGUAGUAAUUCUGAAAAUAGUUUUUUUACUAUCCAAGUUUGUAAUUUACUACACAUUUUCAAAAUACUAUGUUUUGUAUACUAUGUUACUAUAUUUUGUAUGUAGCAUUACUAUGACAGAUUUGGUAGGAUCGGACAUGAUAACUGCGUUAGGUAUGAAGAAUUUUGAAUCAGUGUAUCUAAUAUUAUACAGGGCCGUGCCCAUGAAAUUGGAACCCCGGUGCGAAAUCUCAAGUUAGGCCAUAGCUAUAUAUAAGAGUAAAAGCAAUGGAAAUUAAGGAGCUACAUUGAUGCUUAUUGGUUUUAAUUUUCGCUCAGAUCUAUGGCUUGCAAUAGAAACAAGUCAUGAUACUCUUAACUGCCGACCUACCUUUCUGUUAAAGGUGCUACAUUUCUAGUCUUAGUUACUAAUGUUAGGGAACGUAGUAAUUUCAAAAAAAAUUCUACGCACACGCAAGAUCAUGGUGAUGAUAUAGCAACGAGAGGGGAGAGUAUAGUCCACGUACCCUCGUAGACUGUAAGCGGAAGCGUUAGAACAACGCGGUUGAUGUAGUCGUACGUAUUCACGGCCCGACCGAUCAAGCACCGAAACUACGGCACCUCCGAGUUCUAGCACACGUUCAGCUCGAUGACGUCCCUCGAACUCCGAUCCAGCUGAGUGUCGAGGGAGAGUUCCGUCAGCACGACGGCGUGGUGAUGAUCUUGAUGUACUACCGACGCAGGGCUUCGCCUAAGCACCGCAACGAUAUUAUCGAGGUGGAUUAUGGUGGAGGAGGGCACCGCACACGGCUAAGAGAUCCAAGGGAUCAAUUGUUGUUGUCUAGAGGUGCCCCCCUGCCCCCGUAUAUAAAGGAGCAAGGGGGGAGGGGGCGGCCGGCCUAGUAGGGGCGCACCAAGGGGAGUCCUACUCCCACCAGGAGUAGGACUCCCUCCUUCCUUGUUGGAGUAGGAGAAGGGGGAAAGAGGGGAAGAGGAGGAAGGAAAAGGGGGCCGCACCCCUUGUCCAAUUCGGACUAGAGGGGGGCUGCGCGCCUCCUUCCUUUCGGCCUCUCUCCUCUAUUCCCGUAUGGCCCAAUAAGGCCCAUAUACUCCCCGGCGAAUUCCCGUAACUCUCCGGUACUCCGAAAAAUACCCAAAUCACUCGGAACCUUUCCGAACUCCGAAUAUAGUCGUCCAAUAUAUCGAUCUUUACGUCUCGACCAUUUCGAGACUCCUCGUCAUGUCCCCAAUCUCAUCCGGGACUCCGAACUCCUUCGGUACAUCAAAACUCAUAAACUCAUAAUAUAACUGUCAUCGAAACCUUAAGCGUGCGGACCCUACGGGUUCGAGAACAAUGUAGACAUGACCUAGAACUAUUCUCGGUCAAUAACCAAUAGCGGAACCUGGAUGCUCAUAUUGGCUUCCACAUAUUCUACGAAGAUCUUUAUCGGUCAAACCGCAUAACAACAUAUGUUGUUCCCUUUGUCAUCGGUAUGUUACUUGCCCGAGAUUCGAUCGUCGGUAUCCAAUACCUAGUUCAAUCUCGUUACCGACAAGUCUCUUUACUCGUUAUGUAAUGCAUCAUCCCGUAACCAACUCAUUGGUCACUUUGCUUGCAAGGCUUAUAAUGAUGUGCAUUACCGAGAGGGCCCAGAGAUACCCCUCCGACAAUCGGAGUGACAAAACCUAAUCUCGAAAUACGCCAACUCAACAUGUACCUUCGGAGACACCUGUAGUACUCCUUUAUAAUCACCCAGUUACGUUGUGACGUUUGGUAGUACCCAAAGUGUUCCUCCGGUAAACGGGAGUUGCAUAAUCUCAUAGUUACAGGAACAUGUAUAAGUCAUGAAGAAAGCAAUAGCAACAUACUAAACGAUCAAGUGCUAAGCUAACGGAAUGGGUCAAGUCAAUCACAUCAUUCUCCUAAUGAUGUGAUCCCGUUAAUCAAAUGACAACUCUUUUGUCCAUGGCUAGGAAACAUAACCAUCUCUGAUAAACGAGCUAGUCAAGUAGAGGCAUACUAGUGACACUAUGUUUGUCUAUGUAUUCACACAUGUAUUAUGUUUCCGGUUAAUACAAUUCUAGCAUGAAUAAUAAACAUUUAUCAUGAAAUAAGGAAAUAAAUAAUAACUUUAUUAUUGCCUCUAGGGCAUAUUUCCUUCAGUCUCCCACUUGCACUAGAGUCAAUAAUCUAGUUCACAUCGCCAUGUGAUUUAACACCAAUAUUCAUAUCUGUAUAUGAUUAACACCCAUAGUUCACAUCAUCAUGUGACCAACACCCAAAGGGUUUACUAGAGUCAAUAAUCUAGUUCACAUCGCUAUGUGAUUAACACUCAAAGAGUACUAAGGUGUGAUCAUGUUUUGCUCGUGAGAGAAGCUUAGUCAACGGGUCUGUCACAUUCAGAGCCGUAUGUAUUUUGCAAAUAUUCUAUGUCUACAAUGCUCUGCACGGAGCUACUCUAGCUAAUCGCUCCCACUUUCAAUAUGUAUCCAGAUUGAGACUUAGAGUCAUCUGGAUCGGUGUGAAAACUUGCACCGAGGUAACUUUUACGACAGGCUCUUUUAUCACCUCCAUAAUCGAGAAAUAUUUCCUUAGUCCUCACUAAGGAUAUUCUUGACCAAUGUCCAGUGAUCUACUCCUAGAUCACUAUUGUACUCCCUUGUCAAAUACAGAGCAAGGUAUACAAUAGGUCUGGUACAUAGCAUAGCAUACUUUAUAGAACCUAUGACUGAGGCAUAGGGAAUGACUUUUCAUUCUCUUUCUAUUUUCUGCUGUGGUCGGGAUUUGAGUCUUACUCAAUUUCAUACCUUUGCAACACAGGCAAGAACUCUUUCUUUGACUGUUCCAUUUUGAACUACUUCAAAAUCUUGUCAAGGUAUGUACUCAUUGAAAAUCUUAUCAAGCGUCUUGAUCUAUUUCAAUAGAUCUUGAUGCUCAACAUGUAAGUAGCUUUACUGAGGUCUUUCUUCGAAAAACUCCUUUCAAAUACUCCUUUAUGCUUUGCAGAAUAAUUCUACAUUACUUCCGAUCAACAAUAUGUCAUUCACAUAUACUUAUCAGAAAUGUUGUAGUGCUCCCACUCACUUUCUUGUAAAUACAGGCUUCACCGCAAGUCUGUAUAAAACUAUAUGCUUUGAUCAACUUAUCAAAGCGUAUAUUCCAACUCCGAGAUGCUUGCACUAGUCCAUAGAUGCACAUUUUGUUAACACCUUUAGGAUCGACAAAACCUCUUGGUUGCAUCACAUACAACUGUUCUUUAAUAACUCCAUUAAGGAAUGCAGUUUUGUUUAUCCAUUUGCCAGAUUUCAUAAAAUCCGGCAAUUGCUAACAUGAUUCGGAUAGACUUAGCAUCGAUACGAGUGAGAAAAUCUCAUCGUAUUCAACCCCUUGAACUUGUUGAAAACCUUUUGCAACAAGUCGAGCUUAGUGGAUAGUAACACUACUAUCAGUGUCCGUCUUCCUCUUGAAGAUCCAUUUAUUUAACAUGGCUUGCUGAUCAUCGAGCAAGUCAAUCAAAGUCCAUACUUUGUUCUCAUACAUGGAUCAUAUCUCAGAUUUUAUGGCCUCAAGCCAUUUCGCGGAAUCUGGGCUCAUCAUCGCUUCCUCAUAGUUCGUAGGUUCAUCAUGGUCUAGUAACAUGACUUUCAGAACAGGAUUACUGUACCACUCUGGUGCGGACCGUACUCUGGAAGACCUACGAGGUUCUGUAGUAACUUGAUCUGAAGUUUCAUGAUCAUCAUCAUUAGCUUCCUCACUAAUUGGUAUAGGAAUCACUGGAACUGAUUUCUGUGAUGAACUACUUUCCAAUUCGGGAGAAGGUACAAAUUACCUUAUCAAGCUCUUACUUUCCUCCCACUCACUUCUUUCGAGAGAAACUCCUUCUCUAGAAAGGAUCCGUUUUUAGCAACGAAUAUCUUGCCUUCGGAUCUGUGAUAGAAGGUGGACCCAACAAUUUCCUUUGGGUAUUCUAUGAAGACGCCUUUCUCCGAUUUGGGUUUGAGCUUAUCAGGAUGAAACUUUUUUUACAUAAGCAUCGCAGCCCCAAGCUUUAAGAAACGACAGCUUAGGUUUACUGCUAAACCAUAGUUCAUACGGUGUCGUCUCAACGGAUUUAGAUGGUGCCCUAUUAAAUGUGAAUGCAGUUGUCUCUAAUGCAUAACCCCAAAACGAUAGUGGUAAACUAAUAAGAGAUAUCAUAGAUCGCACCAUAUUUAGUAAAGUACGAUUACGACAUUCGGACACACCAUUACAUUGUGGUGUUCCAGGUGGCGUGAGUUUGUGAAACUAUUCCACAUUGUUUUAAUUGAAGACCAAACACGUAACUCAAACAUUUGUCUCCGCGAUCAAAUCACAGAAACUUUAUUUUCUUGUUACGAUGAUUCUCCACUUCACUCUGAAAUUCUUUGAACCUUUCAACUAUUUCAGACUUAUGUUUCAUCAAGUAGAUAUACCCAUAUCUACUCAAAUCAUCUUGUGAAGGUCAGAAAAUAACGAUACUUGCCACGAGCAUCAACACUCAUUGGAUCGUAUACAUCGGUAUGUAUUAUUUCCAAUAAGUCAGUAGCUUGUUCCAUUGUUCUGGAGAACGGAGUUUUAGUCAUCUUGCCCAAAAGGCACGGUUCGCAAGCAUCAAAUGAUUCAUAACCAAGUGAUUCCGAAAAUCCAUCUUUAUGGAGUUUUUUCAUGCGCUUUACACCGAUAUGACCCAAACGGCAGUGCCACAAAUAAGUUGCACUAUCAUUAUUAACUUUGCAUCUUUUGGUAUCAAUAUUGUGAAUAUGUGUAUCACUACGAUCGAGAUCCAAUAAACUAUUUUCAUUAGGUGUAUGACCAUUGAAGGUCUUAUUCAUGUAAACAGAAUAACAAUUUAUUCUCUAACUUUAAAUGAAUAACCGUAUCGCAAUAAACAUGAUCAAAUCAUAUUCAUGCUUAACGCAAACGCCAAAUAACAUUUAUUUAGGUUUAACACUAAUCCCAAAAGUAUAGGGAGUGUGCGAUGAUGAUCAUAUCAAUCUUGGAACUACUUCCAACACUCAUCGUCACUUCCCCUUCAACUAGUCUUUGUUUAUUCUGUAACUCCUGUUUCGAGUUACUAAUCUUAGCAACCGAACAAGUAUCAAAUACUCAGGGGCUACUACAAACACUAGUAAGGCACACAUCAAUAAUCUGUAUAUCAAAUAUACCCUUGUUCACUUUGCCAUCCUUCUUAUCCACCAAAUAUUCAGGGCAUUUCCGCUUCCAGUGACCAUUUCCUUUGCAGUGUAAGCACUCAGUUUCAGGCUUUGGUCCAACUUUGGGCUUCUUCGUGGAAGUGACAACUUGCUUGUCAUUCUACUUGAAGUUCCCCUUUCUUUCCCUUUGCCCUUUUCUUGAAACUAGUGAUCUUGUCAACCAUCAACACUUGAUGCUCUUUCUUGAUUCCUACCUUCGUCGAUUUCAACAUCACGAAGAGCUCGGGAAUUGUUUUCGUCAUCCCUUGCAUACUAUAGUUCAUCACAAAGUUCUACUAACUUGGUGAUGGUGACUAGAGAACUCUGUCAAUCACUAUCUUAUCUGGAAGAUUAACUCCCACUUGAUUCAAGCGAUUGAAGUACCCAAACAAUCUGAGCACAUGCUCACUAGUUGAGCGAUUCUCCUCCAUCUUUUAGCUAUAGAAUUUGUUGGAGACUUCAUAUCUCUCAACUCGGGUAUUUGCUUCAAAUAUUAACUUCAACUCCUGGAACAUCUUAUAUGGUCCAUGACGUUCAAAAACGUCUUUGAAGUCCCGAUUCUAAGCCGUUAAGCAUGGUGCACUAAACUAUCAAGUAGUCAUCAUAUUGAGCUAGCCAAUCGUUCAUAACAUUUGUAUCUGCUCCUGCAAUAGGUCUGUCACCUAGCGGUGCAUUAAGGACAUAAUUCUUCUGUGCAGCAAUGAGGAUAAACCUCAGAUCACGGAUCCAAUCCGCAUCAUUGCUACUAACAUCUUUCAACACAAUUUUCUCUAGGAACAUAUCAAAAUAAACAUAUGAAAGCAACAACGCGAGCUAUUGAUCUACAACAAACAUUGACAAGCAAGAUACUAUCAGGUACUAAGUUCAUGAUAAAUUUAAGUUCAAUUAAUCAUAUUACUUAAGAACUCCCACUUAGACAGACAUCUCUCUAGUCAUCUAAGUGAUCACGUGAUCCAAAUCAACCAAACCAUGUCCGAUCAUCACGUGAGAUGGAGUAGUUUCAAUGGUGAACAUCGCUAUGUUGAUCAUAUCUACUAUAUGAUUCACGCUCGACCUUUCGGUCUCCGUGUUCCGAGGCCAUAUCUGUAUAUGCUAGGCUCGUCAAGUAUAACCUGAGUAUUCCGCGUGUGCAACUGUUUUGCACCCGUUGUAUUUGAACGUAGAGCCUAUCACACCCGAUCAUCACGUGGUGUCUCAGCACGAAGAACUUUCACAACGGUGCAUACUCAGGGAGAAUAUUUCUUGAUAAUUAGUGAGAGAUCAUCUUAAAAUGCUACCGUCAAUCAAAGCAAGAUAAGAUGCAUAAAGGAUAAACAUCACAUGCAAUCAAUAUAAGUGAUAUGAUAUGGCCAUCAUCAUCUUGUGCUUGUGAUCUCCAUCUUCGAAGCACCGUCAUGAUCACCAUCGUCACCGGCGCGACACCUUGAUCUCCAUCGUAGCAUCGUUGUCGUUACGCCAUCUAUUGUUUCUACGACUAUCGCUACCGCUUAGUGAUAAAGUAAAGCAAUUACAGGGCGUUUGCAUUUCAUACAAUAAAGCGACAACCAUAUGGCUCCUGCCAGUUGCCGAUAACUUUGGUUACAAAACAUGAUCAUCUCAUACAAUAAAAUAUAGCAUCACGUCUUGACCAUAUCACAUCACAACAUGCCUUGCAAAAACAAGUUAGACGUCCUCUACUUUGUUGUUGCAAAUUUUAUGUGGCUGCUACGGGCUUAGCAAGAACCGUUCUUACCUACGCAUCAAAAAAACCACAACGAUAGUUCGUCAAGUUGGUGCUGUUUUAACCUUCGCAAGGACCGGGCGUAGCCACACUCGAUUCAGCUAAAGUGAGAGAGAUAGACACCCGCCAGUCACCUUUAAGCACAAGUGCUCGUAACGGUGAAACCAGUCUCGCGUAAGCGUACGCGUAAUGUCGGUCCGGGCCGCUUCAUCUCACAAUACCGCCGAACCAAAGUAUGACAUGCUGGUAAGCAGUAUGACUUGUAUCGCCCACAACUCACUUGUGUUCUACUCAUGCAUAUAACAUCAACGCAUAAAACCUAGGCUCGGAUGCCACUAUUGGGGAAUGUAGUAAUUUCAAAAAAAUUCCUACGCACACGCAAGAUCAUGGUGAUGAUAUAGCAACGAGAGGGGAGAGUAUAGUCCACGCACCCUCGUAGACCGUAAGCGGAAGCGUUAGAACAACGCGGUUGAUGUAGUCGUACGUCUUCACGGCCCGACCGAUCAAGCACCGAAACUACGGCACCUCCGAGUUCUAGCACACGUUCAGCUCGAUGACGUCCCUCGAACUCCGAUCCAGCCGAGUGUUGAGGGAGAGUUCCGUCAGCACGACGGCAUGGUGACGAUCUUGAUGUACUACCGAUGCAGGGCUUCGCCUAAGCACCGCAACGAUAUUAUCGAGGUGGAUUAUGGUGGAGGGGGGCACCGCACACGGCUAAGAGAUCCAAAGGAUCAAUUGUUGUUGUCUAGAGGUGCCCCCCUGCCCCCAUAUAUAAAGGAGCAAGGGGGGAGGGGGCGGCCGUCCUAGUAGGGGCGCGCCAAGGGGAGUCCUACUCCCACCGGGAGUAGGACUCCCUCCUUCCUUGUUGGAGUAGGAGAAGGGGGAAAGAGGGGGAGAGGAGGAAGGAAAAGGGGGCCGCACCCCUUGUCCAAUUCGGACUAGAGAGGGGCUGCGCGCCUCCUUCCUUUCGGCCUCUCUCCUCUAUUCCCGUAUGGCCCAAUAAGGCCCAUAUACUCCCCGGCGAAUUCCCGUAACUCUCCGGUACUCCGAAAAGUACCCGAAUCACUCGGAACCUUUCCGAACUCCGAAUAUAGUCGUCCAAUAUAUCGAUCUUUACGUCUCGACCAUUUCGAGACUCCUCGUCAUGUCCCCGAUCUCAUCCGGGACUCCGAACUCCUUCGGUACAUCAAAACUCAUAAACUCAUAAUAUAACUGUCAUCGAAACCUUAAGCGUGCGGACCCUACGGGUUCGAGAACAAUGUAGACAUGACCUAGAACUAUUCUCGGUCAAUAACCAAUAGCGGAACCUGGAUGCUCAUAUUGGCUCCCACAUAUUCUACGAAGAUCUUUAUCGGUCAAACCGCAUAACAAUAUACGUUGUUCCCUUUGUCAUCGGUAUGUUACUUGCCCGAGAUUCGAUCGUCGGUAUCCAAUACCUAGUUCAAUCUCGUUACCAACAAGUCUCUUUACUCGUUAUGUAAUGCAUCAUCCCGUAACCAACUCAUUGGUCACUUUGCUUGCAAGGCUUAUAAUGAUGUGCAUUACCGAGAGGGCCCAGAGAUACCUCUCCGACAAUCGGAGUGACAAAACCUAAUCUCGAAAUACGCCAACUCAACAUGUACCUUCGGAGACACCUGUAGUACUCCUUUAUAAUCACCCAGUUACGUUGUGACGUUUGGUAGUACCCAAAGUGUUCCUCCGGUAAACGGGAGUUGCAUAAUCUCAUAGUUACAGGAACAUGUAUAAGUCAUGAAGAAAGCAAUAGCAACAUACUAAACGAUCAAGUGCUAAGCUAACGGAAUGGGUCAAGUCAAUCACAUCAUUCUCCUAAUGAUGUGAUCCCGUUAAUCAAAUGACAACUCUUUUGUCCAUGGCUAGGAAACAUAACCAUCUCUGAUAAACGAGCUAGUCAAGUAGAGGCAUACUAGUGACACUAUGUUUGUCUAUGUAUUCACACAUGUAUUAUGUUUCCGGUUAAUACAAUUCUAGCAUGAAUAAUAAACAUUUAUCAUGAAAUAAGGAAAUAAAUAAUAACUUUAUUAUUGCCUCUAGGGCAUAUUUCCUUCAACUAAUUCUUCAAUUAUAUAUGCUCAUUGGUUUCUUUUCUGGAAUAUCAUAUAUAAUUUCCAGUUACUAUGUGUAGCCAAUUCACAACUCUGUAUAAGAAUAUUGUAUGAGAAUAUUCAUAUUUUGAGCAUUUUAAUUUCUUGCAUACUUCUAAUGAUUACACAAAUCAGUUUUUAUGCACCCACUCAUUGGAUUUCAUUAGAUUUUUUAAAGGUGUACACCUUUACCACAUGGAUGAUGAAGUUUAUUUUACAUGGAAAAUGGAGCAAGUUUGUGCUUGUUUUUUUGCUUAUUUGCUCUGCAUUGUCCUCUUUGUUAAGAAAUAAAUAGAAGAGAAAGUAGUAUGUGCUUUUCUAAACAUCUAUACUACUGAAGCACCUUUUCGGUGAGAUUUAAUAUAGCUGUAUUUGUACUACUUUUUGACGAGGGAUAUAACAUGAGAGCUCCAGUGUUGAAACUUUUCAAAGAGACAAAAGUUAACAUUUACAAGCAAACUCUGCUUUUCUACCAUAUUUUGUACGCACACCUUAAAUCCUUAAUAUGUACUUUUCUUCUUAAAACAGGUUCUUUGCAAAAUCAGUUUUGUUGUCUUCUGUUUCAUGUGAUGCGAGAUAAUAUUUUGUUGCAGUGUUGAUCAUAUUUUACCUUUUCCUUUUUGUUUGGAGAAAGAUGUCUCCCUUUCUUACAAAUAUGUUAUUUCUUAAAUAGAACAAUAGUCACCAUACAAGGUUCUUCCACCAAAAAAUGUUUUUAUGUGUGCAGCUAAGAUUGAUUUCUUGCUGAUUGGUUGUUCAAUCUUAUUCUGCAGAACCCGCAUGAGAGACAAGAAACACAAGGUCCAUUAUGAGGUGAGGGUUCUACUGCCCCAUUUUUCAGUUUCAUGACCCGGUUUCUUCAUGUUUUGAAGAUGACUGGGUCUUGCUCGCUUACGGGAUUGUAGUCUAUAGUAGGACUGAAGUAGUACCACCUGAGUUUUUAGGUUCAUAGCAGUUGAUUGAUCUUAAUGUGAGGUGCUAUUUUAGUUAUGAAUACUCGAUGUGCAUGAAUGGCACUUUCUGGUUUGGCAAUGAAUAAUUUAUUCAGUCUCGUGAUAAGAGGUGUAUGCAUGUGAUUUAAAAGAGCCAUGACAAACGAAAGUGCCUUUCUACACCCAGGAGCAAAUGCUCCUGGUGUAAAUAGUAAAAUCAAAAAAAAGAAAAAAAAACUCAAAAAAUUCUGAAUUUUUUUUACAUACUUUUGCAAAUUUGUUGUGCACGCAAAAUUUCAUCGCGAAAUCACAUUGAUGGAAGUCGUGCCAAAAAAAAUCAGAGCUCCAAAAUGCUUUUGUAAGUAACAUUUUGAGAGCAUCGGUUUUUUUACCACGCCUUUCACCAAUGUGAUUUUGCGAUGAAAUUUUGCAUGCACAACAACCAUUUAUGGAAGUAUGCCACAAAAAAAUUCAGAUUUUUUUGAACCUGUUUUGAAUUUUUUUUGAAUUUACUGUUCACACCAGGAGCAUUUGCUCCUGGGUGUAGAAACUCACGUGCCGAUGGCAUUGCCCCAAAGACUAGUAUAAACUACAGUUUUGCUAAAGCACAUCUAGAUGUGCCAUAAGUAUUGCACAACUAAGUCCUAUGUCUCUGCUCUUAUGCCGAGAUUCGUGUGAAUAUUUUCUUUUUCUUUUUUCCCCUCUUUAUACUUGAUUCAGUCACUUAAAUGUGCAAUAAUUAAAGCACAUCUAAAUGUGUCCUAGACGAAAAAGUAAUAAUGUUUUUUGAUAUUUCGUUUCAGGCAAUGAUGGUGAAACAUCGGACUUGUCCACAAUACCCACAUGUGAUAUUUAGUCAUCUUUCGGUCAUUCCAGCGUAUCCUACUACUCUGGUUAGCGAUUGGCCAUCCCCAGCCCAGAUAUGUUGAUUUCACCAUGUAUUUGUGUGAAUAAGAUCCGACAAGUAUUUUCGGACGGAGAAAAUACUAUAAGAUGCAAGAAAUCAGAUUAUUGCGGUUACGAUUGUGCACCUCGUGAGUCGUGACACGAGUAGAUGUCGGCCAGGUCGCCGGCAGAAGCAGCCAACGGCACGAUCGAUCUCCCGGGGUCCUCCGGCCAGCAGCUCGGCAUCAGCAGCCCCAGAAUGCACCGUGCGCAACGGCCAAAAUCAUCACCGUCCGUCCCCGCUCGCCCGGCCCGGUGAGCAGGAGAUCGCCUGGCCAGCGCGCGGCCACAUCGGCGAGCCACCCCACACGCGGCCAUGUGGGCUGCGGCCGCGACCCACCCCGUCGCCCUCGCGGCUCAUCUCCACCGCGCGGAAUCCACCCGAACUCGGCAAAAAUCCCAGGCUUCACCACUCCCGUGGCCAGCGCGCGGCCACCUCAGCCACCCCAUCCGCCCGCCUCGCGCCCCGCGCGCCAAUGGCGACUCGGCAUAAGAUUCCCCGGGAUAAGGACCCGAUCGCGCCCGCCUCCUAUUUAAACGCCGCGCGCUCCCGCUUCACUCCACAGCACCAACGACCACCAGCGCCUCCCACUGCCAGCCUCAGCUCACCCGAAGCAAAGCUAGCGAGUAGCACGCAAUGGCGGGCGCGACCAUGGCGCUCUCCUCCCCGGCGAUGGCGGGCACCCCGGUGAAGGCCUCCAGGGCGGCGCCCUUCGGCGAGGGCCGCAUCACCAUGCGCAAGACGGCGGGCAAGCCCAAGGUGGCGGCGUCCAGCAGCCCGUGGUACGGCUCCGACCGCGUGCUCUACCUCGGCCCGCUCUCCGGCGACCCCCCGAGCUACCUCACCGGCGAGUUCCCCGGCGACUACGGCUGGGACACCGCGGGCCUCUCCGCCGACCCCGAGACCUUCGCCAAGAACCGGGAGCUGGAGGUGAUCCACUGCCGCUGGGCCAUGCUCGGCGCGCUCGGCUGCGUCUUCCCGGAGCUGCUCGCCCGCAACGGCGUCAAGUUCGGCGAGGCCGUGUGGUUCAAGGCCGGCUCCCAGAUCUUCAGCGAGGGCGGCCUCGACUACCUCGGCAACCCCAGCCUGGUGCACGCGCAGAGCAUCCUCGCCAUCUGGGCCUGCCAGGUGGUGCUCAUGGGCGCCGUGGAGGGCUACCGCGUCGCCGGCGGCCCGCUCGGCGAGAUCGUGGACCCGCUCUACCCCGGCGGCAGCUUCGACCCCCUGGGCCUCGCCGAGGACCCCGAGGCGUUCGCGGAGCUCAAGGUGAAGGAGAUCAAGAACGGCCGCCUCGCCAUGUUCUCCAUGUUCGGCUUCUUCGUGCAGGCCAUCGUCACCGGCAAGGGGCCCCUGGAGAACCUCGCCGACCACCUCGCCGACCCCGUCAACAACAACGCCUGGGCCUUCGCCACCAACUUCGUCCCCGGCAAGUGAGCGCGGUCAGCUCAACCUCUAGGCCGACAACUUCAUGGCUGAUGGAUGCUGCUGCAUGUGUGUCGUCGUCGAUCUCUGCUUCUUCCCGUUGUGAGAUUGAGUAGUCCGGACUGAUAGAUGUUGCAUGUGAGGGCGAGUCGAGAUGAGGAGUUGGUGUGUGUACACUAAGAUGGUGUUUGUGUAAUAUCUGGCUAUUUUCUCAGAUUAAUCAAGGCAUCUCUGUUCUUCUGCUUAACUUCUUGGUUUCUCUGAACUUCUGAAUGUCAAAUACAGAAGUUCUCCGAAUAUUUUUCUGGAAGUCCAACCAGCUAAAGUAUUCAAAUUCAUAAAGGCAUUCAGAUCAUCCAUUUCAAGACUGAUCGACUCAACAAUCCUGUAAAUACAAUUCCAUUUGUACAUAUAACAAAUACUCUGCAAAUCUAGGGUUUCCUACGGUAAAAAAAAAGAAGUAAAAUGGAAAGCUAGGACUAGUGCAACUUCCUUCUGAAGAAGAAAGUUGCAGUUACUACUGUGCUACCGGCCUUGCAGAACGGUCAUGGCAAUGGUAUUCCUGCUGUUCUCGAGAUCGGUCCUCUGGAUCUUCUCUUCCAUCAUACCCAGGUACCCUGGCUGGUUCGGCGCCGGAAGAGACGCUGAUGCCACCACUGGCGCGCUUCCAUUCUCCAAGAUGGACACGACGGACGACAUGAGCGGCCUCCUGCUCGGGUCGUCUUGGACGCACAGGAGCCCGACGUGGAUGCACAGCAAUGCCUCAUCCUUUGGACACCUCUCUGCCAUGGAGGGAUCCACCAGCUUGCCUGCCUUCCCUUCCCUCCACAGGUGCCAUGCCUACAUGAAACAAUCAAAUCAAAUCAUGCCUACAUGAAACAAUCAAAUCAGCCAUGUGAAACAAUCAAAUCAUGACAGCUCUCUAUCCGUCGUUGGGACAUAGUGCUUACAUAGACUAUCAGGCUAGGAAACUCCAUGAUGGCAUAGGUUGUGCUUAUCCUAAUGCCGCUCACGAUCUCCAGCAGCAGCACGCGGAAGCUGUACACGUCGGACUUGAUGGAGAACACGCCCUCCGUCAAGUACUCGGGAGCAAUGUAGCCACUGUCCAUACAAAUAUAUAUUUUUGUUUGAAGAGGUGUCACAUUUUUGUUGUCAAAUGCUAACUACCAUACCAACUACAGACAAAAUUCUCUUCUUCUCUCUGUAAAUUCAGUAAAGUGUUCAAAUUACUCACUAUGUCCCGACGACACUCUUGGUGUUGGCUUUGACCUGGUUGUCGCCGAAGAUCUUUGCCAUGCCGAAGUCGGCGAUCUUGGGACACAUCUCGGCGUCCAGCAGCACGUUGCUGGCCUUGAGGUCCCUGUGUAUCACCGUCAGCCUUGAGUCCUGGUGAAGAUAGAGCAGCCCGGCCCCUAGCCACCCCCUUGAUGAUCCCCAGCCGCGUCGGCCAGUCCAGCACCCAUUUCCUCCCAUUAUCUGCAGCAAAAAUAAUAACAAACCAUUGUUCUCCUAUAAAACUUCAACAAAAUCAAAUUCAGUAACUUCAGUUGUGAUGAUUUGAGCUCUGAAGACUGAACAAUAUAUGUACCGAAGAGGAUGGCGUCGAGGCCCUUGUUUGGCAGGUACUCGUAGAUGAGCAGCUUCUCGGCCCCCUCGGUGCAGCAGCCGAGAUGGCAGACCAGGUUCCGGUGCUGCAGCUUGGCCAUCAGAGUCUCCUCGUUCUAGAACUCCUCUGCUCCCUGAUCUGAGUCCUUGCUCAGCCUCUUCAAGGCGACCACCUGACCACCGUCUAGUGUUGCCUUUCCAAUAGUAAACAGAAACAAGAUCAUGGAUUUAUGUAGUUUGGCAACUGAGUUUUGUGCAGGAGAUUUAGGUGUUAGUAAGUACUCCGGCCUUCCUGAAUUACUUGACAUAGUAGUAAUUCGGGAUGGAAGGAGUAUAUCCAAAGUUUUAAAUUUAUCUAAAAAUACACCAUUCUCCCUAAUUUUUAAGGUAUUAUAAUCAAUUGAGGUCCCAAAUUUGGAAUUGGGUCAUUCAAUUUUUGAUCGACUCAACAAUUUCUUAAAAAGCUCUCUCAUUCUUUUUUUUUUAAAUUCACUAUGCUCCUUAAUUUUAGAACUUUUCAUUAUAUUGAGGUAUUUAAUUCUAGAUUUCAUUCAUGAUUUUGACAGGAAAAUGAUUUUUUAAAUCAAUCGGGAACACCCGGCCAAUAAAAAUAAAUCAAUCCCACACAUCAUCUCACCACCUAGAAAAAAAAUAAGCGUUAACAUGUGAUAUUGUAGCACCAAGUACAUGCAAACACCAUCACAGAACAUUUCCUCACAUAAGUAUGGGUAAAUUAGCAGAUAACACAGAAUCACACCAUGAAACGCACACCAAAACACGACAAUAUAAAUAUAAGGUGUACCUGUUUUUUGAAAAGUCAAAUUUAUUUAACUAUAACCAAGUUCAGAGCCAAAAUUUUGUCAUUCACAAUACUAAAUAAAUAAAAUAUGAAAAUAAAUUUCAUGAUGAAUCUAAUGAAGCCUAUUUGAUAUUAUGAAUAUUGACAUACUUCCUUAUAAAUCUGGCCAAACUUAAAGAGAUUUGACUUUUCAAAAAACUAAUACACCUCAUAUUUUGAAACAUAGGUACUAUUGUUUUUAUGAAAUCCCAACAACACUAAUGGCGCAGCAAAGCGCGCCAAACCCUUCUAGUAAAUACACUAUGCUUCAUAAUUUUUAAGGCCUCACAAUCAAUUAAGAUCUCUAAUUUAGAAUUCGAUCAUUCGAUUUUGACCGGGUCAACAUCCCAUUCAAUUCUUUUGGUUCACUAUGCUGCCUAAUUUUAAUGUUUCACAAUCAUUCAGGUCUUCAAUUAGGAAUUGGAUCUCCUAUUUUGAUCGGUCAACAAUUUGUUAAGGACUUCUCUCAUUCAAUUCUUUUAAUUCACUACGAUCCUUAGUUUUGGAGUUUUUUCAUUCGAUUGAGGUAUUUAAUUUUAGAUUUGAUUCAUGAUUUUGACCAAGUCAAUGAUGUUUUUUUUCAAAUCAAUCAGCAGCAACCAGUCUAUAAAAAUAUAUCAAUUCUGCACACCCCUCUCACCACCUAGAAAAAAAAGAAGCACCAAUAUGUGCUAAUGUAGCUCCAAUAUAGAAUAUGCAACCGCUGACGCCAAAAAAAAUUCCCCACAUAGGUACGAAUAGAUUAGCAGAUAAUAUAGAAUCACAUCGCGAAAGGUCCAUCAAAAAACUAUGUUAUAAAUAAAAAAAACACUCCAUCAUCUCCCCCAUUCACAAAACCAAAUACUAAAUAUAAUACGUAUUUUUUUAAAAUUUAAAUUUCUUUAACUUUGAUCGAGUUCAAAGCCAAAAAUAUCGACAUUCACAAUACUAAAUAAAUAAAACAGGAAAAUUUUCUUCAUGAUGAAUUUAAUGAUACCGAUUUGAUAUUAUGAAUAUUGAUAUAUUUCUCUAUAAAUUUGGUCGAACUUAAAGAGGUUUGACUUUUCUAAAAACUAAUACACCUUAUAUUUUGAAACAGAUGAAGUAAAAUUUUAUGAAAACCCGACAAUAUCAACGCUGGAGCAAAGUGCGUCCUACCCUUCUAGUAAUUGGCAAUAGCCUGGAGGGGAUUUCUUGCUCCCAAGCUCCAUGAAGCUAGGUUUAAAAAAGAAAUGAGAUUUUAAGUUUAAAACAUUCUGAAAGUAAACACACAUGUGCAUUGAUAUUUAUAUACUAAGUUCCUGUAAAUUCUUAUCAUGAGAUAAAUUUUGUUUUGGGCUAAGAAAAAUCAUGGACUUUUAUAAUAAAUACAGACUCUGUUCCAAAAUAAGUGCCAUGGCUUCAGUUCAAAGCCACAACACUUACUUGGAAUGGAGAGAAUACAUGUGCUAGAAAUAUAUGAUUUUGUCUUUUUCACGUAGCUCACAUCAAAAUAUAUCUUAUUGUGAAAUUUUAUAGAAAUGCGGUAUACAAUACUAUGUUCAUGUGUAAAAUUUUCAGAUUUUUAAACCUAAAUAAUCUCUGGGUCUCAAAUUAGCGACUCAAUUUUAUACUAACACUAGUAGAAAAAGGGCUUUUAGUCCCGGUUCAUAAGGGCCUUUAGUCCCGGUUCUGGAACCUGGGACUAAAGGGUCGUUACUAAAGCCUCCCCCUUUAGUCCCGGUUCUUACACGAACCGGGACUAAAGGCUCUCCACGUGACCGCUGCCUGGAGGUCCAUCUUUAGUCCCGGUUGGUAACAUCAACCGGUACUAAAGGAAAUUUUAUGAUUUUUUAAAAAAAAUUGAAUUUUUUUUUUGGAAUAUUUCUUUUGGAUUUUCAAAUUUCAGAAAUAUUUUAACCUCUCAUCUCUAAUCACCCCUCAUCACUGCUCAAUUUAACCUCUAAUCACCCCUCAUCAUCUAACUUCCCGGACGGUCACCCAUCCUCUCACUACUCCAGCCUGAGCACGCUUAACUUUCGGGUUCUUGUGACGCCCCCGAUUCAAUCGUACACUAAUCAUACACGCAAACGUGUACGAUCAAGAUCAGGGACUCACGGGAAUAUAUCACAACACAACUCUACAAAUAGAAUAAGUCAUACAAGCAUCAUAAUACAAGCCAGGGGCCUCGAGGGCUCGAAUACAAGUGCUCGAUCAUAGACGAGUCAGCGGAAGCAACAAUAUCUGAAUACAGACAUAAGUUAAACAAGUUGCCAUAAGAUGGCUAGCACAAACUGGAUACAGAUCGAAAGAGGCGCAGGCCUCCUGUCUGGGAUCCUCCUAAACUAUUCCUGGUCGUCGUCAGCGGCCUGCACGUAGCAGUAGGCACCUCCAGAGUAGUAGUCAUCGUCGACGGUGGCGUCUGGAUCCUGGGCUCCAACGUCUGGUUGCGGCAUCCGAGAAGAAGAGAAAAAUAGGGGAAAAGAGGGAGCAAAGCAACCGUGAGUACUCAUUCAAAGUACUCGCAAGCAAGGAGCUACACUACAUAUGCAUGGGUAUAUGUGUAAGGAGGCAAUAUGAGUGGACUGAACAGCAGAAUGCCAGAAUAAGAGGGGGGAUAGCUAGUCCUAUCGAAGACUACGCUUCUGGCAGCCUCCGUCUUGCAGCAUGUAGAAGAGAGUAGAGUGAAGUCCUCCAAGUAGCAUCGCAUAGCAUAAUCCUAUCCGGCGAUCCUCCCCUCGUCACCCUGUGGAAGAGCGAUCACCGGGUUUUCUGUGGAACUUGUCUGGGUGUGUUUUAUUAAGUAUCCUGUUCUAGUUGUCAUAAGGUUAAGGUACAACUUUGGGUCGUCCUUUUACCGAGGGACACGGCUAUUCGAAUAGAUUAUCUUCCCUGCAGGGGUGCACCACAUAACCCAACACGCUCGAUCCCAUUUGGCCGGACACACUUUCCUGUGUCAUGCCCGGCCUCGAAAGAUCAACACAUCGUAGCCCCACCUAGGCACAACAGAGAGGUCGGCACGCCGGUCUAAAUCCUAUGCGCGCAGGGGUCUGGGCCCAUCGCCCAUUGCACACCUGCACGUUGCGAGGGCGGCCGGAAGCAGAACUAGCCCCCUUAAUACAAGAGCAGGCUUACGUUCCAAUCCGGCGCACGCCACUCAGUCACUGACGUCACGAAGGCUUCAGCUGAUACCACGACGUCGAGAGCCCAUAUCUUUCCCGUGUAGUUGGUUAGUGCGUAUAGGCCAAUGGCCAGACUCAGAUCAAAUACCAAGAUCUCGUUAAGCGUGUUAUCAUGAAGCAACCGCGAAUGCCGACCAGGGCCAGGCCCACCUCUCACCUGGGUGGUCUCAACCUGCCCUGUCGCUCCGCCACAAAGAUCCACACAGAGGGCCGUCGGGACAAAGGUCCUUUCAGCCCCCAAUCCGUGAAUCACUCGCGGGUACUCAACGAGCCGACCCGACUUUAGUCACCAUCUGUAUAGUAUGUAUAUAAGUAUAGUAUAUACCCGUGAUCACCUCCCGAGUGAUCACGGCCCAAUACUAUUGCAAGGCAGACUGACAAGAAUGUAGGGCCAAUGAUGAUAACUAGCAUCCUAUACUAAGCAUUUAGGAUUGCGGGUAAGGUAUCAAUGACUGUAGAAACAAUGACAGGAUAUGCAACAGAAUAGGAGUAACCGAACAGUAACAUGCUACACUACUCUAAUGCAAGCAGUAUAGAGAAGAAUAGGCGAUAUCUGGUGAUCAAGGGGGGGGGGGCUUGCCUGGUUGCUCUGGCAAGUAGGAGGGGUCGUCAACUCCGUAUUCGAACUGGGCAGCAGCAGCGUCGGUCUUGGUGUCUACCAGAGAGAAGAGGGGGAAGAAACAAUGAGUACAAUGCAAACAGAUGCAUAUCAAUGCAUGACAUGACAAGUAACGAUGCUAGGUGUGCCGAAUCGCGGUAGUGGUGAUACCAACGAAGGGGGAAAACAUCCGGGAAAGUAUUCCCGGUGUUUCGCGUUUUCGAACAGAUGAACCGGGGGGGAAGUUGCGUGUUCGCUAUGCUAGGGAAGUGUGGCGGACGAACGGGCUGCGAAUCCGGAUUCGUCUCAUCGUUCUGAGCAACUUUCAUGUAGAAAGUAUUUUCAUCCGAGUUACGGUUAAAAGAUAUGAUUUUCUAAAGACUUAAAUCUUUUUCUGAUUUUUAAUUAUUUAUCUAAAGCCAACAUUAUCCAGAACAGUGUUUGAUGACGCAAGCAUGACAUCAGAGUGAUGUCAGUAGGUCAACUGGUCGGUUGACCAGUCAACCCAGACAGGUGGGUCCAGUGGGACCCACAUGUCAUUGUCAGGGGCAUUAACAGAGUUUUAAAACUAACUAAAUGGUUUAAUUAGCAGGUGGGGUCCAGUAGUCAGUGAGAGAUUAGGUUUUAAUUAAUUAAUUUAAUUAAUUAGCAGUUUAUCUAUUUGUUUUUAUUCGUUUUAUGGCAUGGGGCCCGCAUGUCAGUGGCAGUAGCUGCCACGUCAGCGUAGUUGACUUCGGUCAACGUGGCCAGUUGGGGCCCCCAGGCCCACAAGCAGUGACCCAGGGGUGGGCCCCGGUGUGCCAGCUCAGCGGAGCCGCCGGAGUAGCUCCGGCGAGCUCGCGCGCAGCGGCCGAACGCCAGCGAGCGUCGGGAUUCGCCUAUGGCGCAUCAUUUCAGCCGCGGUUGGGCGCGUUCGAACGGUGAGGCUGGGCCGCAUCCAUCCGUGGUGGUGGCUCGGGCCGUAACGGCCGGAAUCUUCACCGGUGGUGAGUGGAGGCGGUGGUGGCGUUCGGGACAUCAUCGGGAUCGCGCUAGGAAGCACCAAACCGCGUGCAACAACUUGCGUUCGAACCGUACAGGCAUUCCGCGUUGUUUCGCGGUGGCACUGGACCAAAUGGUCGCCGGAAACACGGCCGGCGACAAGCUUUGGCGGCAGCGCGCUCGGGACGUCGAUUGAAAGUAAGCUAGGAGGCACGGGGAGGCUCAGGCGUGGGCUCAUUGGGCUCCUACGAGCACCAGGAGUUCGAUGUCGCGCUCAGGCGAGCACGACAGAGGCCAUGGCCACGGCGGCGAAGCGACCUGCGGCGGUGAGCUCUCGGGCGCGACACCGAGCUAGCUACAGCGCGUGCGGGAGAUAACGGGGAGGAGCAGGAGGCGGGAGGGCUCACCGUGCGGCUCACACGUAGGCCUGUGACAGAUUAGUAGCAGCAGAGGCUGGCGCCGGAGAUGAAGAAGAACGCGGCAUACGUAGAUGUGGGCGAAGAGGAUCCGGUGAUUCGGGGCUCCCCAGCUCCAGCCGAGGCCUCCAGUGGACGAGGAGGACGAAGGAGGAUUGCUACGGCAUCACGGCGAGUCGAGGCGAUGGCGGUGGCCGUGGUGAUGACAGGGAACGGCGGCGAGCGCGUCGGUCUCCUCUCCAAAACGAAGCAGAGGGAGAGGAGAGGGGUUGAUCUGGGGGAGGAGAGGCACAAGAACCGAGGCGAGAGUGGGGGCGAGUGGGAGGCGGGAUCGAGGAGGCGGGGGGGGCGUGGCGGCCUUAUCCUCUCCCGUCGCCGGCGAGGGGGUGCGGCGGGGACGCGCCCUGUUUCGACCCUGGUCGGGGGAACAGGGAAGGGGAGGGAGCGACCGAGCGAGGUGGGCCAGGCCGGCUGGAUGGGCCGGCCGGUUGUGAGCUGGGUCGUCUGGUCCAAGAGAGGGGCGGGGGUUUCUUUUCCUUUUGUCUUAUUUUCACUUUUUCUUUUUUAUUUAUUUUCUUUUCUGUUUUAUUUCAUUUUAAAAUAUUUAGGCAUUUUCUAAAAAUGUGUUCACUUCACCAUAAUUACCUAUGCAUUAUUUGGCACCCACCGAACAUUUUUGUUUUGAUAUUUGAACAUUUUUUAUUGUUUGCUUGAUUUUGGAUUUGAAUUCAAAUCGGUUUCGAACUAACGCGAGAUUAGCAACAGUAAUCGAGGUGACGUGGCAUCAUUAGUGGAGGGUUACUGUAGCUUAAUUAUCCGGGCGUCACAGUUCUAUUCUCCCUCAUUUUCAAGUCUGCACUUGUUGUUUUCCUGACAAUAGUAAGAUAUCAAUCCUAUUAACUUCAGGAAUUUAGCUUGAGCAUGAAGUCACACAUUUCACUGUUUGAGUUUGAAACUAUUGUUCUAAAAAAUAACAUUAAUAUUUCUUGAAUAAUUAGUUUGACCACAGUUUGACCAGAUUUGACCAAAAUUCAAAAAAACUAAAAUAAUUAUUUAGUAACACCAAUAUUCUUGAAUAAUUAUUUAGUAACACUAAUACUUCUUGAAUAAGUAGUUUGACCAUAGUUUGACCAGAUUUAACAAAGAUUAAAAAAAACUGAAAUUUGAGCAUAACUAUUUUUUUCUUUUUCAUAUUACGUAUCAUAUUUUGAAAAACAAUUCCCCAAAAAAAAUUCGAAACUAAUAUUUUUUCUGUUACGGUGUGCCACUAGUAAGUUUGAAAUAUUUUUGAAUUUUUUUGCCUCCAGAUCUUAAAAGCCCCGUAACUUUUUUCUGUUAGGUUUUUGAGGAUUUUGAAAAUGUUUAACGGGGUUUCCCCGGUUAAAUUUGGAUGUAACUUUUCGAAUAGAUGAUUUUUCAUAUAAAAAACUUUUUCAUCCGAGUUAGUAUACAAAAGUUAUGCCCAUUUUACAAAUUCCAGAGAGAUUUUGCAAAUAAAGUCGAAAUUCACAUUUGCAAAUUUUCCCAACAACUAGACCACAUAUGACAUGGGAAACUUAUUUUCUUUUAUUUUUGACAUUUUCAUCAUUUUANNNNNNNNNNNNNNNNNNNNNNNNNNNNNNNNNNNNNNNNNNNNNNNNNNNNNNNNNNNNNNNNNNNNNNNNNNNNNNNNNNNNNNNNNNNNNNNNNNNNNNNNNNNNNNNNNNNNNNNNNNNNNNNNNNNNNNNNNNNNNNNNNNNNNNNNNNNNNNNNNNNNNNNNNNNNNNNNNNNNNNNNNNNNNNNNNNNNNNNNNNNNNNNNNNNNNNNNNNNNNNNNNNNNNNNNNNNNGGUUGGUGGCUCGAACCGGUACUAAAGGUGUAACCUUUAGUAUCGGUUGGUGCCACGAACCGAUACUAAUGGGCAUCGCAUCCUUUAUUCCCGGUUCGUGGCACCAACCAGGACUAAAAGGUCCAGACGAACCGGGACAAAUGGCCCACGUGGCCCGGCCGCCCCCCUGGGCUCACGAACCUUAUCAAUGCCCUCAUGGGUCCCGGUUCUGGACUGAACCAAGACUAAUGGGCUAACCUGACCUGGACCAAAGCCCUCUUUUUUACUAGUGUAACUUUGCUCAAUUUUGUACUAACUUCGUGUUAAAGUUAGUAUAAAAUGGAGUCACUAUUUUGGGACGGAGGAAGUUAUGCUUAUUUUUUAAAGUCCAGGUUCUUGGAGCACAAGAUCCAAAAAGGAAUUUUCGGCUAGUGCCCCGCUAUUGUGUCACUAUAGCUAAUUCGAAGGAAUGCUGAUGUUUAGCAUAGCUCACUCUUCAAUACUAUGAGUAUACCUUGUAAACCUUGCCGAAACCUCCUCGUCCGAUCAUCAAUGUCUUGGAGAAGUUGUCCGUGGCGGCGACGAUAUCGGCGAACCGUAUGGAGGGGAACUCAAGGUCACCACUGUGAUCUACUUCUCCGAUUUCGCUAGAUGUGUUUGUGGUCCCGGUCCCGGGCACCAGCUUAUUUUGGCUCUCGGUGAAAUUAGUUCCCUUGCCUGUGGAAUAGGCGUUGUGAGCAUUUUGUGUAAGAAUGAUCGAGCAUGACAUGUUUUGAUGUAAGAAAGAGAAGGGAAAAAAAAUGAAUGUACCUCUGAAUCUACGGAACCAUAGGAAGCAAAUGCAUGAGAGCAGCAGGGCAGCUGCCAACAACGGCAGUGCUAUCUUGACUGCAUUUCUACCUGCACAUUGAAAUGCAGGGAAAAAGUUUGAUGAAAAAACACAUUUUGUGGUCUGAAUUCGGUAAAGAUUCGACAGAAUUUCGAGAAAGUUCGAUGGGGAAAAUGCAUAUGUUUCUGUUGUACCUGUGGAAGUAGCAGCAAUGGGCACGGGGAGGCGGAGGUAGAGCUCGCCGGCCGCGCCGAUCAUCUGUGCGUCGACGAGCUCCUCUGCCCACACCAGGCACCGGCCCAGUUCGCCCGCGUACGCGUAGGCCACACACGAGCAGUUGGCUGCGCACCUCGCCGCGCAAUCCUCCGCGCUCCGGUUGCCGGCGCCGAGCAUGAACUUGUCCGGCACCGUCAUGCUCGGCAUCGACACAAAACCCUCCCCGUCGCUGCCGCAUGCCGGCAGUGCCUGAUUCCGCCGGCACACCUGCUCGAACCUGCCGGAGCUCCACUCCGCCGCACUUGCUGGCUCGAACCCAUCGAGGCACCUGCACGCCGCCGGCGCCGCCAUGACGUCGCAGUACCCGUACGCGCCGCAGCGCCCAUAGCUGCUGCACCCGCUCGACGGCCACGACUGGAGCGUGUCCCAGGCCGACGUGGUGCCGUUCCAGCUGAGAAGCUGGAAGCUGCCGGAGCCGAUUUUUUGUCGAAAGAGACCAUUUGCCCAAUAGAAUUACCAAAAAAGAUCCCCUCUAAACAAAAAUAACAAAAAAGACUCUCUGAGCCGUGGUGGCAGGCGCGCCGGGCGACGUGUGGCACCUGCCGCCAUGGUGGGAGGCGGCACGGUGCCAGGCACCAGGCCGGUGAUUACGGGAAUCGGCGCGAACAACGAAACGGGAUGGCAGUGUGGGGCCCAGCCGCUCAGGUGGUGGCGGCAAUACUGUAGCGGCGGGCCCGGCCGCCUGGAAGGCUGGCGGCAGGCCUGUGCGCUGCGUUGUGGUUGGAGAGUAGCUAUCGGAAAGUCUGAACAGAACUUGAGUUGCGUGCGCCCACGGCGUUGCUGGGAGACGGGAUGCAAGCCGACUGACCGACGCUCAUCUUUUUCCAAGGUUUCGUCUCGUCGGCUCUCCCGAGUGCAGAGUGCUCGCCAAGUGCAUGCGCACCAAAUAUCGCGUUCGGUUGUGCGUAGCAUAGCUACAGGGGUCAGGGGUACAUUAGGUACAUUAGAUGGAAAUGAUAGAUCACUGUCGAAUUCAGAUGAUGAUGCUAACGUCUGUUUGAUUGAUGAGCUGCCUUGAUUGAUGCAAGUGUGGGAGACGGGAUGCAAGCCUGGAAGUCGUCUCCCAACCGAGGCAGCGCGCAGCGCACAGGCCUGCCGCCAGCCCUCCAGGCGGCGCGGCCCGCUGCUACAGUGCUGCCGCCACCACCAGAGGCGGCUGGGCCCCACACUGCCAUCCUGUUCCGUUGCUCGCGUCGAUUCCUGUAAUCACCGGCUUGCCGCCUCGCACCGUGACGGCAGGUGCCACGCGUCGCCCGGCACACCUGCCGCCACGGUUUAGGGGGUCUUUUCUGUCACUUUCAUCCGGAUGGGGUCUGUUUGGCAAUUCUGUUGAGCAGAUGGUCUCUUUCGACAAAAAAUCUGCCAGAGCUGGUCAGCACGUACCGCAUGGGCGCCGCGCCGACGGGCACAGUGAAGGUGAUGGCGACCUCCUCCUCGGAGGCCACGACCGCCGUGCUGACCGUGCCGGCGCUGAUGUAGUUGGUGGAGACGUUGUGCCCCGUCCAGACGGGAUUGCGCCAGUACGUAGGGGCGCGUGCCGUUCCACAUGAGCAGCUGCAGCGACGAGCCGGGGUCCAGGCCGUAGGAGAAGGGCCCCGGCGCCGGGUCGCGUGGAGAUCUCCAGGACACGAGCCAGCCAGCCAUGCCCGUGUGGCUCAGCCGCACCUCCAUCCUCGGCAGGAACGUGUCCGUCGGGUGGUCGAAGCUCUGCCACACCACCGUGCCGUCCGGCAGCUGGAUGAGCAAGUUGCCGUCGUUCCCGAGCUCGGCUGGCGCCGUCUGCAAGGACGAGCUGCCCACGCCGGUCGUGUUCCAGAGCACGCGGCCGUUGGGGUCGGACGGGACGAGGCUGGAGUCGUUGGCCAGCGUGAGCGUCGGAGCGCCGGCGGCCGGGGCGUCCCGGUUGGCCACCCAGACUACGGUGCGAGGCCCGGGGAUGCUACGGUACCAUAGCCAAGGUACAACCGUGUCGCGGCUGAGUCGUCCGGGGAGAAGAAGCCCAGGGCGAAGGCGCCGCUGUAGGACACGAUGAUCUCCCCGGACUGUAGCUUGUCCCCGACGGCCAGCUGGUCCUCGGCCGAAAUGCACGGGAGGCAGACGGCGGCGACGGCGAUGAGGACGGCAACAGAACGUGACAGGUCCAUGGAUCAAAUUCAAGGUGCGUGCAGCCACAUUACCUCUUUACUCUUGUUUGGCGACAUUUCGACUUCGUCAGGGCAGUGCAUGAACCUUACGUUCUUGCUCUUGGCUCUGCAAGGCGAUGCAGCCACCACACGAGGACACGACUUUGUGGAGUCAUACGUACUGACUAGUUUCAGUCUCGUCUCUAGUGUGUGCGCGUUACGUACACGCAAGCGGCAAUGCUACACGUACAAACGAUUUACAGGCUUUUACAGGAUGGUUAAUCUUGAUUGGUCAAUAGGUGAGCGGGGCGGCCCACCCCUGAAAAUCAGGGGGGGAGAGGUUUGUGAUUGGUUGUUAGAUGGAAGGAGCGUGUAAAAGCGUGUAAGUCUUUGUAUGUCUAGCAUUUUAGAUGAAAGUGGCCAACAACGACAAUUGAGCGAGCCAAAGUAGUGGUCUACGGGAAAUUAUUACGGAAGCGAAAUCGAUGUACACGCGACGUGGUAUGGCCGAUGCCGACACAGACUCUACACGGAGAGAUUGAUGUGGCUCUAAUUUACGAACCGAAACAGCUUCACGCACGGUACUUGUGCCCGACCUGUGCACGACAAGCAAAUCCAGUGGCUACUGCUGUUCUCAGUCAUAUGCAUUUCCGGUUGGAUUCCAGCGUCGUCUAUCUAUCAUGCAAAAUUUGUCGUGUGUGUAGCACCUCUCUUUACGAAAGGCCUGAUGGGCAUAGUCGUCUGAGUAUCGUGCACAAAGCAUCAGCUGUAUAGCAAUGCUCCGAACGCCGCUGCAGUGCACUGUAGCACGCCCUGGAUUACGACGACAGGCAGAGGAGGGAGAAGGGGGAUUGGAGGCUUUGAUAUCCGAAAGAGAAGAGCAGGAGGAUGAGGCAUAUAAUAUGUCAUGGGCUGGCCAGGGUAGAAACUGGAAAUAUGUCACAUGAUACAACUUUUGAAAAAAAAUCACAUCUCCUGAUGCCCAACUUGGCCUAAAACAGCACGACAUUUUGGGGGUCUGCUCGAAUAAUUGUCAAGUCUAACAUGGUAAAGAUGUCAAUUCAGCAAGACAUUCUUACGGUUCAUUUCAAGGUUGAUCAACUCAAAACUCGUAUAAAUACGUCUGCCAUUUUUGUCAACGAUAAAUGCUCUACAAAUCUAGGGGUUUCCCUAGUAGAUGGAACACUAGGACUAGUGCAGCUUCUUUCUGAAGAAAGCUGCAGUUACUGCCGUACUACCGUCCCUGAAGAGCGGUCAUGGUCAUGGCGUUCGUGUUCUCGAGAUUGCUUCUUUGGCUCUUCUCUCCCAUCAUUUUAAGGUACCCUGUCUGGUUCGGCGCCGGAAGAGACGCCGAUGCCACCACCGGCGCGCUUCCAUUCUCUAAGAUGGACACGACGGACGACAUUAGCGGCCUCCUGCUCGGGUCGUCCUCCACGCACAGGAGGCCGACGUGGAUGCAGAGCAUGGCCUCAUCCUGCGAACAGCUCUCUGCCAUGGAUGGAUCCACCAGCUUACCUGCCUUCCCUUCCCCCCACAGGCUCCAUGCCUACAUGAAGCAAUCAAAUCAACCAUCUGUGUAUGCCUAUUGUAAAGAUGAAUAUGGAUUUGAUCAUGACAGUGUGCUGCAAAAAGAAGUUAACUGCAAGUAUUUGGUUUGGUACUGUCAGUUUUUGUUCAGGUGCUUACAUAGACUGUCAGGCUAGGACACUCCAUGAUGCCGUCCAUUGCGCUUAUCCUGAUGCCGCUCACGAUCUCAAGCAGCAGCACGCCGAAGCUGUACACGUCAGAUCUGACGGAGAAGACGCCCUGCGUCGAGUACUCAGGAGCAAUGUAGCCACUGUCCACACAUUACUUUUUCAUCAGAAAAGUUUCCACAUGUUUGUUGAAUGUUGUACCAGCUUAAAACAAAAAUUUACUUGUUCAAAAAACUCAAAACAAGAAUAAUUUCUUUUUCUUGCAUGGUGUUCAGAAUUCAGAUAACUCACUAUGUUCCGACGACUUUCCGGGUGUUGGCUUUGACCUGGUUGUCGCCGAAGAUCUUGGCCAUGCCGAAGUCGGCCAUCUUGGGCCGCAUCUCGGCGUCCAGCAGCACGUUGCUGGCCUUGAGGUCCCGGUGUAUCACCGUCAGCCUCGAGUCCUGGUGCAGGUAGAGCAGCCCCCUAGCCACCCCCUUGAUGAUCCCCAGCCGCGUCGGCCAGCCCAGCACCGCUUUUCUCGCGCUGUCUGCAAUGAACACCAGCAAAUGCCACAUGAAACUUCAGCAAAAACAAUGCAGUAAUUUCCGUUGUGAUGUCUGAACAUUAUAUGUACCGAAGAGGAUGGCGUUGAGGCCCUUGUUGGGGAGGUACUCGUAGAUGAGCAGCUUCUCGGCCCCCUCGGUGCAGCAGACGAGCAAGCGGACCAGGUUCCGGUGCUGCAGCUUGGCUAUCAGAAUGGCCUCGUUCAUGAACUCCUCUGCUCCCUGAUCUGAGUCCUUGCUCAGUCUUUUCACAGCAAUCACAUGACCGCCUUCCAACGUUCCCUUCCCAAUGGUAAACAGAAACAAGUGCAGUGAGUGAGAUCGUGACUGAACAGAACAGGAAUUUUCUGCUAAACUGACACAACAGGAAAUUUCAGGUGACUGAAAUUUGGGACUGUCUAUGGGCUGUUUGGUUGCCGUCCUGAGAAACAAUUGACUGGCCACAAGCAAGCCGAACACUAGCCCGAACCUUCUUUGCUUGACACCCUGAGCCCUUUCUUCACUGGCUUGGCCUGUCAUGAGCGCACAGGCAAGCAAAAUAGGAGGCCUGAGCCAGGCACGUACAUACAAACAUAGUUUAAGACACCUUUUACAGUACAUCUAACUAUUUUGGUACGUUCAUUUUUGUGAUCCAACGGUGGAGAUAGGGCAAUACUACAUCCUAAUACGGGUAGUAUAUUCAGUGGUUCAUGCAUGUACUUUCCAUGCUGGUACCAAUUAAUGAGUGAUGUCAUUUUUUACUCUGAGGCUCAGGCGUGAACCAAACAACAUCUUAUCAUGGGGAGCAGUGCUAGGCAGCCGACGUUUUUCCAGCCGAUGUGUGCACGACAGUAGCUAAUCACCGUUAGAUAAAUAAAAAAUGUGAGAUCCUAGCAUCGUCCACGUGACGUACAUAAAACAUCGUGUAUGAAGCUAUUCCGUAUCAUGGGUGCCUUGUCAGCCAAAAGGGGUAGAAAUUUCAGGCUACUCUUAGGCACAUAUUUUAUCAGGCAUGACCUCUCAGGUCGCUAUCCAAACAGGCCUUAAAAAAUGCGGUCAGUCGACUUUUCCAGUCAUUGGAUGUGAAAUCAAGGGUCGGAUCAUCCUCUUCUACCUGCCGCUUUCAUCUUCCUUGGAACCACCCCUCCGCCGUCCGCGGCCAGCGGUGCUCUCAUGACCGCCUCUCUUCCCUGAACCGCCUCCCACCGCCAGUCUUGCCAUCUGUCCUGGCCAUCCCCUAUAAGCCCGACGACCAUCCAAAAAACUCCGGCGAAGCAGCACCCCACCUGCCACUCUAAGAUAGAUAGUGGGGGUGCUUCUCAGGCGAACCUGCACCCGCCACCCUAAGAUAGAUAGUGGGGGUGUUCUUCCCCAACGCCGGCGGCCUCACCAUGUCCUUCUUCAUCUCCGGCGCUUCCUUCUUCCUUCUCAAAAUCGACUGACCCAAAUCCAAAAACUAUCCAUUGACAUUUAGCUAUUGUGCUAAUUUUUCGCAAAGCUGAGUAGAAGUAGUACCUUGUAGACCUUGCCGAACCCUCCGCGUCCGAUCAUGUGUGUUUUGGAGAAGUUGUCCGUGGCGGCGACAAUGUCGGCGAACCGUAUGGACGGGAACUCAAGGUUUCCGGUGUCAUCUCCUCUGAUUUUGCUCAACGUGUCCGUGGUCUUAUUUUGGCUCUCGGUUUUUCUUCCCUUGACUGUCAAAUUGGUGUUGUGAGCAUUUUUUUUUGAAAGAAUGAUCGAGCAUGAGAUGUUCAUAGUUAAGAAAGAAAAAAAAAGGGGGGAAAACAUACAACUGUACCUCUGAAUCUCCAGAACCAUACAAAGAAAAUGCAUGUGAGCAGCAGGACGGCUGCUAACACCGGCAGGGCUAUCUUUACUGCAUGUCUACUGGACUUUCUACCUGUGUUCGGCAGGGCUAACACCGGCACUGGCAAAUUUGUUUUGUUUGAAUUCAGUAAAGAUUUCAACGGAUAAAAGUUCGGCAAAAGAAGCAUAUGUUUCUGUUGUACCUGUGGAGGCAGCAGCAACGGGCACGCGGAGGUAGAGCGUCUCGCCGCCCCAGCGCGGGCCAAUCAUCUGCGCGUCGACGAGCUCCCCUGCCCACACCACGCACUUGAUCAGUUCGUCCUUGGCGCUGCUGCUCUGCACGUUGGUGUACGCAUAUGCCACGCACGAGCAAGUUGCGGCGCACCUGGCCGCGCACUCCCCCGCGCUCCGGUUGUCGGAGUCGAUCGAGAACCUGUCCGGCACCUUCAUGCUCGGCAUCGCCACGAAACCUAUCCCGAUUCCGCCGCAUUGCGGCAACGCCUGCUUUCGCUGGCACCCCUGCUCGAACCUGCCGGCGCUCCAGUCCGCCGUGCUCGCCGGCUCGAAGCCGUCCAGGCACCUGCACGCCGCGGGCGCCGCUGUGACGUCGCAGUACCCGUACGCGCCGCAGCGACUGUAUGUGCUGCACCCGCUCGGCGGCCACGACUGGGCCGUGACCCAUGCCGACAAGGUGCCGUUCCAGUUGAGGAGUUGCAACCUGCCGGAGCUGGUCACCAAGUACCGCGUGGGCGCCGCGCCGUCGGAGACGGUUAACGCCAUGGAGAUCUCCUCGUCCGUGUCGACUAGCGCCGUGUAGAUUACCGUGCCGGCGUUGACGUACAGGCUGGUCACGGCGUACCCCUCCCAGAUGGGAGUGCGCCAGUAGGGGCGCGUCCCGUUCCACAUGAGCAGCUGCAGCGACGUGCUGGGAUCCAGGCCGUAGGAAAAGCGCCCCGGCGCAGGGUCGCCGGGGGAUUUCCAGGACACGAUGCGGUCGCCCUUGCCCGUCCGGUGGCUCAGCCGCAUCCUCAUCCCCGGAAUGAACGUGUCCGUCGGGUGGUCGAAGCUCUGCCACAACGCGGGGCCGUUCGCUUGCUGGACGACCAGGUUGCCCUCGUUCGUCAGCACGGCCGCUGCCGGCGCCUGUGGUGAUGAACUGCCCGCGAGGGUCGUGUUCCAGAGCACGCGGCCGUCGGCGUCGGACAUGACAAGGCGGGAGUCGUUGGCCAGGGCGAGCGUCGGGGCGCCGGCUGCCGGGGCUUCCCGGUUGACCACCCAGAUGACGGUGCGAGGCCCGGGGAUGCCGUUGUACCAUAUGCCAAGAUACCGCCUCGCCGGGCCAGCGGCGUCUUCUGGGGAGAAGAAGCCGAGAGCGAAGGCGCCGCCGUCGGACACGAGGGAUUGCCCGGCCAGGAGCUUCUCCCCCACGGCCAGCUGGUCCUUGGCGGACGCGCACAGGAGGAAGACGGCGACGACGAGGACGAGGACGGCAGAACGUGACCGGUCCAUCGACCAACUUCAAGGUGCGUGCAACGAGAUCAUCAGGAGACUUGAUUUUCUACUCCCGGGGCACCUACACAAAGCUAGCUAUUUACUCUCACUCCGUCUCAUAAUAUAAGAGUACUCCAUACGUCUUGAUACAUCCUUUUUAUUCAUUUUGAUGACAAGUAUUUUUGGACGAAGGGAAUAUAAUAUAAGAAAAACACUCUUAUAUUAGAGCAUCUCCAACAAACGCGCGAUAGCGCCGCGCGUUAAAAAAGUUUCACAACGUUGAAAUUGUGUUUUUGUGCGUGACAGGUUUACCAGACGCACAAAAACAUGGCGCACAACCCGACGGCCCCACCUACAGCAGCCCGCGAGCACAAGCCGGCACCUCAAAUUUGCAGCCCCACAGCCCUCGUGCGCUAAAUUUAUGGCUCUAUUUUUAUGUGUGUUUUAUUUUACAGCUUCAACACGUUGUUUCUCGCGCGUGCUAUAUAGACAUCUUUUUCAGCGCGCGGCUUGUAUAGCGCGAGAUGCUCUUAUAAGACAGAGAAAUUAGCUACGGCCUUGACGUUUCUCUUGGCGGUACGAACGUGAUCAUUCUUGUCCAAAAGGCGAUGUCGCCAUUGUAGCUAAUCCGACGGUGACGCUACUUUGCGAGUUCAUAUAUUGACUAAUUUCAGCAUGCACCGAGGUGAACUAGUCUUAGUCUGGUCUACUGUGUGUGCGCGUUUUACCUACGCGCUAGUGCAUAACUCGACCUACCUUGCGCAACAACGACAGUUUUUUUUAACACAUUAGAGCAUCUUCGACAGCCGCACUAAAAGACGCGCGCGCGGUAAACUAGCUUUUUAGCGCGCGGCCAGCGGUGGCAGCAAACUAGCGCGUGGGAAAACGAUUGCGCGCGUGCGGGAAAAGGCGGCAGCUCGCGCGCUAGAUUUGGCGCACCGUGUCCGGCGUGCCUAUAAAAUUGCAGCGCCCUCUGCCGCUCUCUCUCUCGCUCCCUCCACUGCUUUCUCUCCUCGCCGCCGACACGCCACCAUCGUGUCACCAUGCCGCCUCGCCGCCAGGGAGGUUCAGGGUACCGCAGCGUCCGCGUGCGUCCGUCUGGCACCUAUUCCGCCUCGAUUCAGUCGGGCGGCGGCGUGCGCCUCGGCCUCGGAACCUUCGACACCGCCCAGGAUGGCGUCCGCGCGUACGACGCUGCGGCGUGGCGCCUUCGGUGGUCCCGUUGGGACAUGAACUUCACCGACGUGGCGACACGGGAGCGGGCACAUGAGUUGGCACCUUUCCCGCGGCUUAACACUGACGAGGAUCGUCGCAAACACCGGAGGCGGAAGCGCCGUCUUAGCCUGGCCGAGAUGGACGAGGAAGCCAUGACACUGUGGAGGCAACGUUUCCCGCAAGACAUCAUCAACGAGGAACAGUUCUUCGCCGAGAGGAGGGAGGAGAGAAGGAAGGAGCGGGCCGCCUAUCGCGAGGACAAGCGAACGCGAAAGGCGGCCGCUAAAUAUAACAUGGCGCUAGGAGAUGCGUCAUCCUGGGACUCCCGCGACGAGCGGUUCCUUGACGCCUAUGCUCAGACGUCGGAGGAGGACAUCACCGAGGCAGAGUCCAAGUCGGAGAAUGACGAGUAGUAGUAGUUUUUCGUUUUAUUUUGUAUCAUAGAAGCAGGCUAUGUGGACGAAGUAGAACUAUCACUACUAGAGAAAAUCUUAUACACAGGAUCUUACCAGUAGCGAGUUUUAAAUUAAGGCACUGCUGCAAUGUAGCAGUAGCGCUCUCCUGCAGUACUCGCUGCUGAAAUAAACGUAGCAGUAGCGCGCCUCCUCUAAGCCGUGCUACUGCUAUAAUUCUCACGACCCCGCCGCGAAGCUAGUUCUAGCAGUAGGGUGUUAAUUCGGAGCGCGCUACUGCUAGGUAGUUUAGUAGUAGCGCCUUUACCUUUAGAGCGCUACUGCUAAAACUAGCUAUCUCCCACCACCCACGCUCUCCUCUAUCCGNNNNNNNNNNNNNNNNNNNNNNNNNNNNNNNNNNNNNNNNNNNNNNNNNNNNNNNNNNNNNNNNNNNNNNNNNNNNNNNNNNNNNNNNNNNNNNNNNNNNNNNNNNNNNNNNNNNNNNNNNNNNNNNNNNNNNNNNNNNNNNNNNNNNNNNNNNNNNNNNNNNNNNNNNNNNNNNNNNNNNNNNNNNNNNNNNNNNNNNNNNNNNNNNNNNNNNNNNNNNNNNNNNNNNNNNNNNNNNNNNNNNNNNNNNNNNNNNNNNNNNNNNNNNCUCCUCGCUGGACUCGGUACCGCCCUCCUCCUUCGUCCUCCCUCGACUCGCCGUCGGCCGGCCCCUCCUCGCUCCGCCCUUCCUCCUCCGUCCUACUCUCUCCUCCCUCCUCCAGUCGCCCCUCCUUCUCCCUCCUCCCUGCUAUAUUUUGAUUUAGUAGGCUAGUUCAUAUGCAACAUUAUGAUUUAGUUGAUUUAGUAGGCUAGUUGAUUUAGUUGAUUUAGAACAUUUUGAUUUAGUUGAUUUAGUAGGCAAGUUGAUUUAGUAGGCUAGUUGAUUUAGUUGAUUCAUAGAACAUUUUGAUUUAGUUGAUUUAGUAGGCUAGUUGAUUUAGUUGAUUUAUAGAAUAUUUUGAUUUAACAAUUAUUUUUCUUUCCUGUGAAGUGGAUCGUUAAUCCUUGCUCAUAUUGCUUUAGGAAAAUGGUGCCACCACUACCACCACCAUGUCCCUUGUGCAAGUCAAGGUGCGCCAGCAGUCUUGCAACUGGCAAGCUGUUCGGCAUCUACUUCUAGCCGAGUUUUCGUCAUGCAACGGUAAGAAAUUGUAUGAAAUGUAACAACUAUUUUAUUUUUAAUGUUGGCAUUACUUCAUUGUGUCAUAUUGCUUUUUUUUACACAGAUCGUCCCAUACAAUGUGAGGUUGAAAUUCAACAAGCUGACAGGAGACACUGUGACAUUUGAGGCUCCUUGGGGGGCCGUACACUAUGGAGGUCGAGAAAGGACACAAUAUGUCGUAGAUUAGAGGAGAUGGAUGGGCCCAUUUCCUCACCCGCAUGCGUCUUACUGGUGGUGAGUUGAUCAGCUUCUCCCUCAGAGCAGAAAGACCCAAGUUGGCUGUCAUUUAUAUCAACCUUGUGGAAGAUGAUGAAGAUGAUGAAGAUGACGAAGAUGAUGAAGAUAAUGAAGACCCACUCGAUGAAGAUGAUGAGGACCCACUUCAUGAAGCCAUGGUAGCUCAAAGAAUGAGUCUGAGCGAGGAGGAGGUGUGCAACCUAUGGGACAUAAUUCCACCACGUGCUGACUUUGUCGGGGUGCCAUUCGUGACCCGUCUGACAAGUACCAUGGUGGAUCGACAUGAUAUGGUAUCUUAUACUUACAAAUGCAAAUUAUCCGAUGAUAUGCUUAGUGUAGAGUUCAAUGAUAUGUUGUAUGGAAUCUAGUCGAUGAUAUGCUUUAGUGUAGAGUUCGAUCACAUGCUUAUUAGUAUAGAAUCUAAGGAACUAUUAAUAAUGUAGAUAAUCAAUUAUACCUAUUUGCAAGAGUAUGUGCGAGGCUUUUUAUUAAUUGAUAUGUUUUUCUUAUUUAGAAAUAGGCAAAUAGCCUAUCUGUGAGUUAUGGUAUCGAGCCUGAUGAAGAAGGCUCAGCUGGACUACGCCUUACCGCAAGGGGCUCCGUCACAACCUGUACUUACCGCGCGGACACGGACGGUCGCACACACUUAAACUCGGUUGGGUGGAAGAGAUUCAUUGAUGCCAAGAAUCUUCGUGUUGGACAGGCCAUCCUAAUUACUAUCAGGAACACCCACCGCAAAGGCUUGAGGAUGAUGAUCGUCUUUGAUAUCAUCUAGAACUACAUAUGUGUGUGUGGCUAUAUCAUCUAGAACUACAUAUGAUGAUCGUCGUCGAUAUCAUCUAGAACUACAUAUGAUGAUCGUUGUCGAUAUCAUCUAGAACUACAUAUGAUGAUCGUCGCCGAUAUGACCUUGUACUGCUUGAGGAUGCAUGUUGACUAUACAUGAAAUUAUUAUCCAGUACUCCCCCUUCGUUCCUAAUUACUCAUCGUGGUUUGAACUAAAACCACGACGAGUAAUUUGGAAUGGAGGGAGUACUACCUAAUAUCUAUAAUGCUUUAUGAAAUUGAUAUCUAGUAGUAGUAUCUGGAAAUUGCAGUUUAUUGAAACCGAAAUGGGGCAGGAAGCGGGGGAAAAUGAUGAAAGAUAUAUCAGUAGCGAGGGGCUAGGAAAUCACUAUAGCUAACUAAUAGUAGCGCAUUCCAAAAAAGCGAUGCUGAUAUAAUAAACAAUAGUAGCGCGAGUGCAGACGGCGCUACUACUAACAGUUAGUUGUAGCGCCGUAGUAGUAGCGCGGCUGCCCGCACUGCUGAUAGCCUCAAAACCUGCGCUACUACUAGGGUUUUCCCUAGUAGUGUAUAUAUAUCGUUGGAGAAGCCUAGAUGUACGCAUUUUGUAUCGUAGAAGCAGGCUAUGUGCAAACUAUCUCCAUAUUUGUGUGCUAUGUAUGCAAUCGUCAAGAAAAAAUGAAAUAUAGCGCGCCUGCUGGAGCGGCUCGGGCGCGCUUUAUUUUGCGGCGGACGCUGGAGCCAGCGCACCGCCGCGCGCAAAACCUGGCUCACCCGGCGCGAUAUUCUGAUUUUUAGCGCGCCUGUUGGAGAUGCUCUUACAAUCGCAAUUGCUCACGAAUAUGCACAUUGCACCCUAUUCGCAGAGAUUUUUUCUUCAGUGGGAUCAGAAAUAUGUAUUCGACGAAACGUAUUAUCUCGACAGUUGAUACGUCUCCAACGUAUCUACUUUUCCAAACACUUUUGCCCUUGUUUUGGACUCUAACUUGCAUGAUUUGAAUGAAACUAAACCGGACCGACGCUGUUUUCAGAAGAACUGCCAUGAUGUUGUUUUAUGUGUAGAAAAGAAAAGUUCUUGGAAUGUCCUGGAAAUCCACGGAGGCACUUUUCAGAAUUAAUAAGAACUUUUGGCGAAAGAAUCAAGGCCAGGGGGGCCACAGGCUGUCCACGACACAGGGGGGCGCCCCCCCCCUAGGGCGUGCCCUCCUAUCUCGUGGGCCCCCUGGACCUCCUCCGACCUCAACUUCAACUCCAUAUAUACCGUCUCGGGGAGAAAAAAAUCAGGGAAAAAGUUUCAUCGCAUUUUACGACACGGAGCCGCCGCCAAGCCCUAAUCUCUCUCAGGAAGGCUGAUCUGGAGUCCAUUCGGGGCUCCGGAGAGGGGGAUUCGUCAUCGUCAUCAUCAUCAACCAUCCUCCAUCACCAAUUUCAUGAUGCUCACCAUCGUGCGUGAUUAAUUCCAUCGUAGGCUUGCUGGAUGGUGAUGGGUUGGAUGAGAUUUACCAUGUAAUCAAGUUAGUUUUGUCAGGGUUUGAUCUCUAGUAUCCACUAUGUUCUGAGAUUGAUGUUGCUAUGACUUUGCUAUGCUUAAUGCUUGUCACUAGGGCCCGAGUGCCAUGAUUUCAGAUCUGAACCUAUUAUGUUUUCAUGAAUAUAUGUGUGUUCUUGAUCCUAUCUUGCAAGUCUAUAGUCACCUAUUAUGUGUUAUGAUCCGACAACCCCGAAGUGACAAUAAUCGGGAUAAUUGUCGGUGAUGACCGUAGUUUGAGGAGUUCAUGUAUUCACUAUGUGUUAAUGCUUUGGCCCGGUUCUCUAUUCAAAGGAGGCCUUAAUAUCCCUUAGUUUCCGUCAGGACCCCGCUGAACACGAGAGGGUAGGACAAAAGAUGUCAUGCAAGUUCUUUUUCAUAAGCACAUAUGACUAUUUAUGGAAUACAUGCCUACAUUACAUUGAUGAAUUGGAGCUAGUUCUAUAUCACCCUAUGUUAUAACUAUUGCAUGAGGAAUCGCAUCCGGCAUAAUUAUCCAUCACUGAUCCAUUGCCUACGGGCUUUUCACAUAUUGUUCUUCGCUUAUUUACUUUUCCGUUGCUACUGUUACAACUACUACAAAACCCCCAAAACAUAUAUUUUUACUUUUGCUACCGUUACUAUUAUUAUCAUACCACUUUUGCUACUAAACACUUUGCUGUAGGUACUAAGUUAUCCAGGUGUGGUUGAACUGACAACUCAACUGCUAAUACUCAAGAAUAUUCUUUGUCUCCCCUUGUGUCGAAUCAAUAAAUUUGGGUUGAAUACUCUACCCUCGAAAGCUGUUGCGAUCCCCUAUACUUGUGGGUUAUCAAGACUAAUUUCUGGCGCCGUUGCCGGGGAGCAUAGCUCUAUUCUCUGAGUCACUUGAGAUUUAUAUCUGUUGAUCACUAUGAAGAACUUGAAAGACGAUCGAACUACUAUUUUGCCCUCAACUACAAGGGAAGGUAAGGAACUGCCAUCUAGCCUUGCACUAGAUUCUCCUUCCGUUAUUAGUAAGCUUGCGACACCUAAACCUACUAUUGCUAUGAAUUCUGAUAUGUCGCGUGUCAUUGAUGAUGUCACUUCUGCUAUGCAUGAUGAAACUACUUCUGUGCGUGAUACUACUUUGCUAUUAGGUGAAUUUCUUGAUGAACAACUUGCUAGAGUUAGGGGGAAUGAAAUUACUGAAGAGCCUAUUACUGAUGAUAGUGAUGAUGAAGGUCCCCCUAAUGAUUAUGUUUACCUGUUGUUCCUAAGGGUUAUGUUAUGAAUGAAAAAGCUGCUAUGGAAAUUCUUGCUUGCAAUGAUUGAAAUGAUCUUAAGAAAUUAUUAGCUAAAUGGAAGCAGCAGUCUCUUAAUGCUAGAAUGAAACCCGAUCCUGAUUUUGCUACUUCACCUAUCUGUGUUACUGAUAAGGAUUAUGAAUUCUCUGUUGAUCUUGAUAUUGUUACUUUAGUUGAAUCUGAUCCUUUUUAUGUCCUUGAAUCUGAAAUUGUUGUGGCACAUCUUACCAAGUUGAAUGAUAUAGCCACCCUAUUUACUCAUGAUGAGAAGUCUCUCUAUUUAUAUAUCCUUCAGGUAUCUCCUUUCUCAUUAAAGGGUGAUGUUAAGACUUGGUAUAAUUCUCUUGCUCCUGGUUAUGUGCGUAGUCCCCAGGAUAUGAUUUAUUACUUCUGUGCUAAAUAUUUCCCUGCUCAUAAGAAACAAGCUGCCUUGCGGGAAAUAUAUAAUUUUGUGCAAAUCAAAGAAGAGAGUCUCCCACAAACUUGGGGGAGGCUUCUUCGGUUACUUAAUGCUUUGCCUGAUCAUCCUCUUAAGAAAAAUGAAAUACUUGAUAUCUUUUAUAAUGGACUAACCAAUGCUUCCAAGGACUACUUGGAUAGUUAUGUUGGUUGUGUUUUCCGGGAAAGAACAGUCGACGAAGCUGAAAUACUAUUGAAUAAUAUGUUGACUAAUGAAAAUAAUUGGACUCUUCCCGAGCCAGUUCCUGAACCAAUUGAGCCAACUCCUGAGCCUAUUCCUAAACCCACUCUGAAGAAGAGAGGUGUUUUAUUUCUCAGUCCUGAAGAUAUGCAGGAGGCAAAGAAAUCAAUGAAAGAAAAAGGUAUUAAAGCUGAAGAUGUUAAGAAUUUACCUCCUAUUGAAGAAAUACAUGGUAUGAAUAUAAUGCCUGAAGAACCACAUUGUCUUGAUAACCCGACACAGAUAGUGAAGGUAAAUUCUCUCUAUAGAUAUGAUAAAGUUCAAAUACCAUCUACUAAAUUUCAUAGCCCAUGCUUAGAUGAAUUUGAUGAGUUUAUGGCUAGACAAGAAAGUUUUAAUGCUUAUGUUGGUAGAGAGUUAAAGAAUAAUGCUUUCGAGAUAGGACGCGUAGGUGAUAAUCUGGCUAGAGUUAAAGAUGAACUUCACCGCGUUAGCAAAUAUGCUUCUAUGGUUGCUACUCAAGCUGAGCAAGUACUUAAAGCUCAAAAUGAUUUUCUUGAGGAAUUGAAUAAUAAAAAUGACUUUGCAGUUAGAGUGGCUACUAGAACUGGUAGAAUGACUCAGGAACUUUUGUAUCCUGAAGGCCACCCUAAGAGAAUAUGCAAGAUUCUCAGAGAAAUAAUUUAGAGGCACCUAGUUCUUGUAAGAAGAAGAAAAAGAAAGACGAUAGGACUUUGCAUGCUUCUAAUGAACCUACUGUAGACACACCUGAGAAUCCCAAUGAUAUUUCUAUUUCUGAUGCUGAAACACAAUCAGGUAAUGAACAUGAACCUAGUGAUAAUGUUAAUGAUAAUGUUCAUGUUGAUGCUCAACCUAGCAAAAACAAUGAUGUAGAGAUUGAACCUGUUGUUGAUCUUGAUAACCCACCAUCAAAGAAUCAACGUUAUGACAAGAGAGAUUUUGUUGCUAGGAAGCACGGUAAAGAAAGAGAACCAUGGGUUCAGAAACCCAUGCCCUUUCCUCCUAAACCAUCCAAGUCAAAGGAUGAUGAGGAUUUUGAGCGCUUUGCUGAAAUGAUUAGACCUAUUUUCUUAUGUAUGCGCUUAACUGAUAUGCUUAAGGUAAAUCCUUAUGCUAAAUAUAUGAAGGAUAUCAUCACAAAUAAAAGAAAGAUACCGGAAGCUGAAAUUUCCACCAUGCUUGCUAAUUACACUUUUAAGGGUGGAAUUCCAAAGAAACUUGGAGAUCCGGGUGUACCAACUAUACCAUGCUCUAUUAAAAGAAAUUAUGUUAGAACUGCUUUAUGUGAUCUUGGAGCCGGUGUUAGUGUUAUGCCUCUCUCUUUAUAUCGUAGACUUGAAUUGAAUAAGUUGACACCUACUGAAAUAUCUUUGCAAACGGCUGAUAAAUCAACUGCUAUACCUGUCGGUAUUUGUGAGGAUGUGCCUGUUGUGGUUGCAAAUGUCACUAUCUUAAUGGACAUUGUUAUUCUUGAUAUUCACGAGGACGAUAGUAUGUCUAUUAUCCUUGGUAGACCUUUUCUCAAUACUGCAGGGGCUGUUAUUAAUUGCAACAAAGGCAAUGUCACCUUUCAUGUUAAUGGUAAUGAGCAUACGGUACAUUUUCCGAGGAAACAAUCUCAAGUUCAUAGCAUCAAUUCUAUUGAAAAAGUUCCAACUAUCAUUUUUGGAGGUUUUGAAUUUCCUCUCCCUACUGUCAAGAAAAAGUAUGAUAUCCUUAUUGUUGGGGAUUUCUGUAUCCCUAUUGAGGUAACUUAGUGUUAUUUGAAAUUUCUCCAGUUCCGUGUUAUUCAGAAUGAGUUUGUUAACAAGACUUGAUCAACCUUAUUAGCGGGUUCAUUUUGAUGAUCACGAGAUGGAUGAAACUAGAAGGCACAACCUUCUAUACCCUCUUUUUACUUUCUGUUAUUUAGAAUAAAUAAAGCAAAAAUAGUAUUAUCUGUCUGUUUUCUGAAUUAUCCAUGCACUAAAAAAUAGUCCGAAAAUAAAAGUGCUCCAAAUGACCUCGUAUGAUUUUUUCUGGAAUAUUUGAGGAUUUUAGGCACUGAAAACACUGCAGGAUGGCCAAGCACCAGGCCACGAGAGAGGAGGGCGCCCCCCCCCCCUGUAGGGCGCGCCCCCUGUCUCGUGGGCCCCUGGUGGCUCCCCUCCACUUAUGCCAGCACCCACACACUUCAUCUUCUACCCAAAAAAAAUCCCCAUCCAGCUCAAGCACGAGUUCUAGCUCGUUUUGCUGCGAUUUUCGAUCUCCUAGCUCAAAGCUCCAUUCACAAAACUGCUUUGGGAGAUUGUUGCUUGGUAUGUGACUCCUCCAUUGGUCAAAUUAGUUUUUGUUCUAGUGCUUUAUUCAUUGCAAAUUUUUGCUGCAUAGAUGACCAUGUUCUUGAGCUUGCAUGUUUUUUUGAGGUCCCAAGCAAUUCCAAUGCAUGAUAUAGGCUCUAGGCACUUGUAGGAGUAGUUGCUAUCAAUCUUGUUUAGUUUUAUCCACUUUUAUUUUGAAGUUACUAAAAUUUUAGAAAUUUUCAGAAAAUGUUAAGGAGGUUCUUUAAAGGCUCUUCUAGCCAAAGCUCUAAGGAAAAACAAGACAGAGAGAAGGAAAAACCCAAGUAUAAUCUCCCUCACUUAGCGGAAGUACGGUCAUGUGAAUGGCCAUGUGAGGAUUUCUUGAAGGAAGCCGGAAUUCAUGAAGACUUUUAUGCUUUAAUCAGGACUGCAGGCCUCACCGAUUUCAUGAAUGACCGAAUCAAUCAGUAUCUCUUACUUACCAAUACUUUCGUGCAAAACUUUUAUUAUUAUCCUAAGAAGUCACCGCCUGCAGUAUCAUUUCAUUUAUAUGAUGAAUUCAAAGAAAUGUAUUUACGUCAUUUUUGCGCGGUAUGUAGGAUACCUUAUGAGGGAGAAUUAGAGGAACCCCAUCAUGAAGAUGUGGAUGGCUUCGUUAAAACUAUUGUUGUAGAAGAGCCAAAGAAGGGCUCUGAGGCAAAAGUCUCUAGCAUACACUUUCCUGUUUUACGCUACUUUGCCAUAUUUGCUAGUAGAUGCUUGAUUGGUCGUGGGAAUAGUGGAAAUUUGAGCGUUCCAGAUAUUAUUAUUCUUCAACAUGCUUUGCUGGGAGACAAUACUUUUAGUAUGGGUGCCGUCAUUGCUAAACGGCUAGCCCUGAAUCAUAGAAAAGGCCCCAUAUUUGGAGGUAUCUAUGUUACAUGUCUUGCUGAACAUUUUCAGAUACCCAUUAGGCACCUUGAGGAGGAGGAGACAAAAUUACCUCCUCACAUUUUAGAUUACAAGAGCAUGGUAGCACACAAGUUUAUCGUUGACAACGAAGAAAAGAUGCUCCUGUGUAGACUUAGAUUCAAUAAGAAACACUUUGAGUUCAUUAUUUUGCCUGCACCUCUGUUAUUUGAUUUGCUUGCAGAAAAUCGUCUUGUCACGCCGGAGGCGGUGAACAACCAUCUAGCCCAAGCUUUUACUCCGGAACCUGAACCGGAACCUGAGCUGGACCCUUAUCGUGCACCAUCUGUCCAGUGGGAUCCGGAGAUGACCAGCCAGUGGUAUCCUGAUUACACCUCCCACUACACCGGGGAGAGUAGCGGCGGUCCUUGGUAUUAGACCAACUUAGGCCAAAAGCCUAAGCUUGGGGGAGUACGUAUUUCUCACCGACUUUACAUUCAUGUUCAUACACUAGUCGUCGGUGCUCAUACUCUUUCUUUGUAUUAUCCAUGUUAGUUUAAAUUUCUUUUUCUAGCGUUCUUCUUAUGUGUUUGUUAAACCUUAAGAAAAAACCAAAAACAUUAGUUAGUUUAAUUUCCCUGCUUGUAGUAGAAAUUAAAAUGAAAACCCAAAAAGAUUUCUCGUUCUUCUUUUACUUGUUGGGACCUUUCCCGUGUAAAUAGUUUUAUUUUCUUUUCUUUCUUUUGGGGGUCGAGAAGACCAUAUUGAAAAUGUUUAGUGGCUCUUAUAUGCAUGUUUGAUUAUUUAACUUAGAGCCCAUAUUACCUUGUCUUCUCUCUUGAGUUGAAUGCUUGCAGAUCCCAGCUUAGUCCAAUGCACAUGCACUCUUAUUAUUAUACACAUCGUUCGGUCAUGCAAGUGAAAGGCAAUAAUGACGAUAUAUGAUGGACUUAUUGGGAUGAGAAAAGCUGGUAUGAACUCGACCUCUCUUGUUUUUGUAAAUAUGAUGAGUUCAUCGUUCCCGAGUUAGCUAUUAUGAAGUAAACAUAUUUGCAAUGACAUUUAGAGAUUAUAGUUGCUUGUGCCAUGCUUGAUUAGCUAUGAGUUAUAAUGGUUUACCUUGCAUGCCAACAUGCUAUUAGAAUGAUUAUGAUGUGGUAUGAUGGGAUGGUAUCCUCCUUUGAAUGUAUUAAGUGACUCGACUUGGCACAUGUUCAUGCAUGUAGUUGAAUCAAAUCAACAUAGCCUUCAUGAUAUUUAUGUUCAUGGUGGAUUAUAUCCUACUCAUGCUUGUAUUCGGUGUGAAUUAAUUUUAAUGCAUGCUUACGACCGUUGUCGCUCUCUCAGUUGGUCGCUUCCCAGUCUUUUGCUAGCCUUCACCUGUACUAAGUGGGAAUACUACUUGUGCAUCCAAACUCCUUAAACCCCAAAGUUGUUCCAUAUGAGUCCACCAUACCUUCCUAUAUGCGAUAUUUACCUGCCGUUCCAAGUAAAUUUGUAUGUGCAAAACUCCAAACCUUCAAAUGAAAUUCUGUUUUGUAUGCUCGAGCAGCUCAUGUUUCAACUAGGGCUGCCUAUAUCUUCCAUGCUAGGUGCGUUAUUCUCAAGAGGAGUGGACUCCACUCCUCAUUCACGAGAAAGGUCCGGUAACCGGGAUGCCCAGUCCCAUGAUCCAAAAAGAUCAAAGCAAAUCAAAAUAAUUAAACAAAACUCCCCCAGGGCUGUUGUAUGUUGGAGGCACUCGUUGUUUCGAGCAAGCCAUGGAUUGAUGCUUGUUGGUGGUUGGGGGAGUAUAAACCUUACCAUUCUGUUUGGGAACUGCCUAUAAUGCAUGUAGUAUGGAAGAUACAGUCAUCUCAUAGUUGUUGCGUUGACAGUGAAAGUAUGCUGCUCAAAAUGUUAUCCAAUCUCUAUUUCAAAAUCAAGCUCUGGCACCUCUACAAAUCCCUGCUUCCCUCUGCAAAGGGCCUAUCUAUUUACUUUUAUGUUGAGUCAUCACCCUUCUUAUUAAAAAGCACCCGCUGGAGAGCACACUGUCAUUUGCAUUCAUUAUUAUUGGUUUAUAUUGGGUAUGACUUGAUUAGAUCUCUUUUACCAUGAAUUACAAUGUUUAGUCAGUCCUUGAUCUUUAAAGGUGCUCUGCAUUUAUGUUUUGCGGUCUCAGAAAGGGCUAGCGAGAUACCAUUUUGUUAUAUCAUGUUAUGAUUAUUUUGAGAAAGUGUUGUCAUCAGAGUUUUAUUACUAUGGCUCGCUAGCUGAUUAUGUUAUUGAUAUGAGUAAUUGUGAGACCUAUGUGUUAUUAUGAGUAUGCUUAGUUUAUAAUAUUUGCUGAAACUUGAAUGCUGGCUUUUCAUGUUACAACAACAAGAGUAAACAGAGUUUGUAAAAGUUUUUCUUUUUCACUUUCAGUUUAUCAACUGAAUUCCUUGAGGACAAGCAAAGGUUUAAGCUUGGGGGAGUUGAUACGUCUCCAAUGUAUCUACUUUUCCAAACACUUUUGCCCUUGUUUUGGACUCUAACUUGCAUGAUUUGAAUGAAACUAACCCGGACUGACGCUGUUUUCAGCAGAACUGCCAUGAUGUUGUUUUAUGUGUAGAAAAGAAAAGUUCUCGGAAUGUCCUGGAAAUCCAUGGAGGCACUUUUCAGAAUUAAUAAGAAUUUUUGGCGAAAGAAUCAAGGCUAGGGGGCCCACGGGCUGUCCACGAGACAGCGGGGCGCCCCCCCCCCUUAGGGCGCGCCCUCCUAUCUCGUGGGCCCCCUGGACCUCCUCUGACCUCAACUCCAACUCCAUAUAUACCGUCUCGGGGAGAAAGAAAUCAGGGAGAAAGUUCCAUCGCGUUUUACGACACGGAGCCGCCGCCAAGCCCUAAUCUCUCUCGGGAGGGCUGAUCUGGAGUCCGUUCGGGGCUCCGGAGAGGGGGAUUCGUCGCCGUCGUCAUCAUCAACCAUUCUCCAUCACCAAUUUCAUGAUGCUCACCGCCGUGCGUGGGUAAUUCAAUCGUAGGCUUGCUGGACGGUGAUGGGUUGGAUGAGAUUUACCAUGUAAUCAAGUUAGUUUUGUUAUGGUUUGAUCCCUAAUAUCCACUAUGUUCUGAGAUUGAUGUUGCUAUGACUUUGCUAUGCUUAAUGCUUGUCACUAGGGCCCGAGUGCUAUGAUUUCAGAUCUGAACCUAUUAUGUUUUCAUGAAUAUAUGUGUGUUCUUGAUCCUAUCUUGCAAGUCUAUAGUCACCGAUUAUGUGUUAUGAUCCGACAACCCCGAAGUGACAAUAAUCGGGAUACUUCUCGGUGAUGACCGUAGUUUGAGGAGUUCAUGUAUUCACUAUGUGUUAAUGCUUUGGUCCGGUUCUCUAUUAAAAGGAGGCCUUAAUAUCUCUUAGUUUCCGUAAGGACCCCACUGAAUACGGGAGGGUAGGACAAAAGAUGUCAUGCAAGUUCUUUUCCAUAAGCACGCAUGACUAUUUACGGAAUACAUGCCUACAUUACAUUGAUGAAUUGGAGCUAGUUCUAUAUCACCUUAUGUUAUAACUAUUGCAUGAGGAAUCGCAUCCGGCAUAAUUAUCCAUCACUGAUCCAUUGCCUACGAGCUUUUCACAUAUUGUUCUUCGCUUAUUUACUUUUCCGUUGCUACUGUUACAACUACUACAGAAACCCAAAAACAUCUAUUUUUACUUUUGCUACCGUUACUAUUAUUAUCAUACCUCUUUUGCUACUAAACACUUUGCUGCAUAUACUAAGUUAUCCAGGUGUGGUUGAAUUGACAACUCAACUGCUAAUACUCAAGAAUAUUCUUUGUCUCCCCUUGUGUCGAAUCAAUAAAUUUGGGUUGAAUACUCUACCCUCAAAAACUGUUGCGAUCCCCUAUACUUGUGGGUUAUCAACAAUCAGCCAAGAAGCCACUGAACAGAAAGCUAAACAAAAAGAGAUCUAUGGGCACUAGCACCCAUGACAUACUCUUUAUAGAAUAAGUUCACCCAGGUGAGAUGAGAUCACGGAAAUUCGCUCCGACGGGAGUGGAACCUGCAAGGUAGCACCAAUGUGCCCUCGCCACUAAACAGAAAUCGGUUCGAUCAGCCAACUCUCGGUCACAUUCAAUUAUGCAAGAAACUUGACACGAUGAUGAGUUGGAACUGGACCGCGACAAGUUUACACCCACACUGUAAUUAAUAAACAAGAUAAUACCCCACGCGUUUCCGUGGGAAUUGGUCGAUAAUUUUUUGGGUUGAUAAUAUGAGGAUGAAAAUUAAAAAUACAUAUGACUUAAUAUAUUUCGUCAUGCAUAGUUGUAAAAUAUUUAUUGAAUAGAUGUACAAUAAUUGAACGGAAAACAUUUCACCUUACAUGGUUCAGUAUUGUGUUGUGGUGGAUCUUUUCCCAUGCAUAGUUUUCCAUGCAUUUUUUUAAAUGUAGCAUACAUUUUUCUGAAUGUAUGAUUUUUUAAAAAUUAGCCAAACAUUUUUUAGCAUUGUAUAAACAGUUUUCUUAGAUGUCGCGUAUAUUAUUUUUAAAUGCGUGACAUUUUUGUAAUGUAAAAACAAAUAAUUCAUAGGGACGAUCAACAUUCUUUAUACACGUUUAACAUCUUUAAAUUCAUGAUUAACAUUUUUUAAAUUUUACGUAAAGUGUUUUUGGUAUAAUAUAUUUACACUAUUUCAAAAUAUAAAGCAAAAAACAAAAAUAUAAAUGUGAAGAAAAACUUGGGUGGCGGCAACAUGACACGACCAUGUGGCCACUGGGCCGGCCCAACAAUGGCUUCAGCAUGGGACCUUGUGCUAGAGUCGCUACGGGCGGCACACAGACGCGCCGGUACCUCAGGGUCUUCUAUUUUUUUGAGGAAAGACCAUCAUGACUAGCUUUAUUAUGAUCAAAUAGUAGAUACAUCGUCUACGAGCUUGCUAACCAGAAUGUCAAGUGGCUCGUGCAACCAAAAAGAAGAGAUCUUAUUACAAUUUACAAUUACUAUGAUUCGCUAGCACAUAAGCUGCUUGAUUAACAGACCGAUAACAAUGUUUAUAAACGACCUUUCCUAUAGCUGUAGUAUCCACACACUCCGCAAAGAUUACCGUCGCUGCAUCCCACCAUCUGGAUUGUCCAGUACAAAAGUUGAUCACCUGCAUAGGAUCAGACUCCGCCUCAAGGCGAUUGUACCCGAGAGAAUUAGCUAGCAAGUCCAUCUGUCAUGGUCAUCGCGUCGGUUGUGACUACGUCAGCUGCAAAAGGGACAAACCUGCAUUUGGCAGCAAUAAAAUUACCACAUGCAUCUCUUAGAAUAGCUGAGAUCGCUCCCAUUCCCUCUUCCUCAUAGAACGCUGCGUCCAUAUUAAUUUUCACAAAUUUUGGAUCAGGUUUACUCCAUUUUCUAUCUUGUGUUCCACUUGGCUUAGAGAAGGCUUUGUGAUAAUUGCUUGCAAUCGCUAACACUGAUAUGGGCCAACAGAUAAUCAGAGAGACUGUCCCAUUAUGCGUAAUGCGUCGCCUGAUCCACUAUAAAUACCAGCAAGCCACUGCCACAACCUGCUUAAAAUUCAGAGUUGGUUCGAGCACCAUUAGGAUAUCCGACAAGUUCAGCAAAAACUCCAAAACCGCGGACCCUGAUCUGUCCACUACUGUUGUCUGGUUAAUUACUUCAGUUAGCCGCAAGUGCUGCCACAUCUCCUUUGCAUGGGUGCAUGUGAAUAGCAAAUGAUGUAGGUCUUCUGCUCCGUGAUGGCAGAUCGGAGAGGCUCCAUCACUACCAAUAUGUAUGUUCAUUAGUAUGGAUUUCAUGUGAAUAGCAAAUGAUGUACUCCCUCCGUUCCGAAUUACUUGUUGCAGGUAUGGAUGUAUCUAGAUGUAAUUUAGUUCUAGAUACAUCCAUUUUUGCGACGAGUAAUUUGGAACGGAGGGAGUAUGUCUGUUCAUUAGUACCUCAGGGUCUUGAUUGGUCCGAGACACCUGUCAGUUGAGACCAUUCGGAUCACUCUAACCACAUACCCUCCAGGGCUGGCCCUGUGUUUCGGGAGGCCCUAGGCGAACUCGAGGACAUGGGCCCGUCCUAAGACCAUAUAUAUGUACACUUCUGCUUCGAUACACCCCCUUCAACACAACAACGGCUGAGAUUCUCCCAUACCACUUCGCUGCCAGGGGCACGAUUGUCUUAUGUAAAAAAAUUACCCCCGCGCGUCCACGCCGAUACCCCCGCGCGCCUGUGAAUACGCGGCUGCGGGACGAGCCGAGCCGCUUGGCAGCCGUGAGGACGCGAGCCGAGCCGAGUAGUUAGCAUCCAUGGGCCCAGGAUGUCAAAUGCAGGGCGUGCUUUUUUUUUUAAAGUCGGGGUUGACCGGUGGGGCGUACGUGUGGACGUGGAGCGGACGGCCGUCUCGUCGUGCAAUUAACUGCUUUGCAGUAAUGGCGGCAUGCAUGCAGGCGCCGACUGCUCGUGGCUGAUCUCGUGCCGCCUGCCUGGUAGCCUCGUAGUCCGCGCCCUCCACUGCCGCGCGUGCGGCGACCGGGCGCCUGCCGCCAGCCUUCCGCCUCGGGCCGACAGUUGACGCGACCGGUCGGCCGCUGCCGCUGCGGCGACCGCCCGCCCGUCUUCAGACGCCACCGACGCUUCNNNNNNNNNNNNNNNNNNNNNNNNNNNNNNNNNNNNNNNNNNNNNNNNNNNNNNNNNNNNNNNNNNNNNNNNNNNNNNNNNNNNNNNNNNNNNNNNNNNNNNNNNNNNNNNNNNNNNNNNNNNNNNNNNNNNNNNNNNNNNNNNNNNNNNNNNNNNNNNNNNNNNNNNNNNNNNNNNNNNNNNNNNNNNNNNNNNNNNNNNNNNNNNNNNNNNNNNNNNNNNNNNNNNNNNNNNNNNNNNNNNNNNNNNNNNNNNNNNNNNNNNNNNNNNNNNNNNNNNNNNNNNNNNNNNNNNNNNNNNNNNNNNNNNNNNNNNNNNNNNNNNNNNNNNNNNNNNNNNNNNNNNNNNNNNNNNNNNNNNNNNNNNNNNNNNNNNNNNNNNNNNNNNNNNNNNNNNNNNNNNNNNNNNNNNNNNNNNNNNNNNNNNNNNNNNNNNNNNNNNNNNNNNNNNNNNNNNNNNNNNNNNNNNNNNNNNNNNNNNNNNNNNNNNNNNNNNNNNNNNNNNNNNNNNNNNNNNNNNNNNCCACCGACGCCUUGCCUGCCGCGCCGUGCAUUCACACGCCGCCGCUGCCUCGCUUUCACACGCCACCGCUGUCGCGCGUGCCGCCAGCCGCCCGCCUCUCCCUCGGGGCGCGCGCCACCGACGGCUCGCCCGCCCACCUCCCUCCCCCGCCGUCUAUAAAAGGCAGCGCCAGCCCUCACCACGCCGUGCCAUCUCCCUCGCCCCGCCCAUCUCUCUUCCUCUCCUCGCCCGCCCAUCUCCCUCUCCUCGCUGGCAAUGUCUUCCAGCGACUCCAACGAGGGCGCGUGGCCGAGCGGCGUCUGGCCGUUGAGCCUCACCAUCAGCGACACGAAGGUUAUGGCCCGGUAGGGCGUGAUGGUGCCGCCGGCAGCCAAGGUGCCGGGGCCAUGGAGGAUCGGGGCGGACGGCAUCCCCACCAUGGGACCGCCGCCGGCAAGGGAGCAGCUCCACGCGUUCCCUGGCGGCCGGUACAACCGGAGGGCCCGACGCAGGUUCUGGCACGGGAAGAACUUCGACAUCGUCCUCGGCGCGUUCAGGGACGCGGCGGCCGGCCGCACCGUCGGGGACAUUACCGGCGAGUUUGGCCCUUCCCGUGGUCGCCGCUGCCAUGGCCCACCUCCAGCCGCCCCCACUACCCCGGCGCUGGUCGACAUCCCGCCGGCACAGGCCGCCCUCGCGCAAGAUGGAGACCCCGACGACACGCCGGGGCUACUUGCGGUGCUGGCCCGGUCGGCAGAGGAGGCGGCGAUGGCGGCCACUCGUGAGGAACGAGAGCGGCUGGCGGCCAUAGCGGCGGUGCAGGAGCAGCAGGCGCGGGAAGACAACUAGUGGGAUCUCAGCGACGACGACGACGACGAUGGUGGCGACGAUGGCGGCGACGACGGCGAAGGAGAGGCCGGCGGUAUGGCGCCGGUCGUCGACCUCACCGGCGCCAGCGACGACGAGUAGUCUAGUUUUAGGGUUUUUUAUUUAAAUUCCGGUCUAAGUUAUGUAAAGAGCAGUGCUCGGUUAUGUUUAGGGUUAUGCAAAUAUUUUGAAUUAUGAAUGAACUCCGAAUGGUUUAUCUGGAAAAAAAAAUCCGUAUGUUUAAUUUGAUGUUAGUCAUGCAACUUCAAAAAAUAAACUAAAACAUGAAUUUCAACGUUACGAGACUAUAAUCGACACACAAAUUGUAGAAAAAUCAGUCGCAAAACGCAUGCAUGGGGCCUUCCCUCAUACCCGAACGGUCUCCGGAGAACUUGUUAUGCAUGCACACUAAAAACAUAUUGCGUCACGUCCGGGGUGUGGUAUGUGGUGUUUUCACCUAAAAAUUAUAAAAAAAAUUUAGAGCGAUAAAAAAGCCAGAAAACUUUUCAUGCAUCCUACUGAUAAUAGUGGAACACUAUAAAAAAAUGUGGGUACAUUUGAAGGCUGUCGGAAAAAAACUCCUUUCGGACAGGGCCUUCGGUCCUGCCUGAACGGUCUCCGGAGAAGGAGGCCAAUUUUUUGACAUAUUCAGAAUGACCUCAACUUUUGCAAAUGAGUUGGUAUGCCCACCCCCACAGUCAAUACAAGAAUUGAACGUAUCUGGACAUGAAAAACAUGUUGCGUCACGUCCGGGGGUGUGGUAUGUGGUGUUUUCACCGAAAAAAUUAUAGAAAAUUCAUAAAGUAAAAAAAAAGCCAGAAAACUUGUCAUGCAUCCUAGUGAUGAUGGUGGAACAGUAUGGAAAAAUUUUGAGUUCAUUUCAAGGAUGUCGAAAAAAAAUUGAGUUGGUAUGGUCACCCUGACAUUCAAUUUGAACGUAUUUGAACACCAAAACCAUGUUGUGUCACGUCCGGGGUGUGCUAUGUGAUGUUUUGACCAAAAAAUUAUAUAACAUUCAUAAAGCGAUAAAAAAUAUUUAAAACUUGGCAUGUAUCCUAGUGAUGAUGGUGGAACACUAUAAAAAAAUAUAGAAGGCAAAAAAAUAGUGAUGCAACAAAAAAGCCCACCUGUACUUGCAUGCCGCAACUGCGCUUAAUCGGUCCGGCCCGAUCAAGCCGGGUGGCGAAAGGGCCGGCCUUUCGGCCCAGCUACGGCCUGCAGCACAGGCCAACGGGGCAGUGGCGGGACGCGGCGGGAAUCAGAGGAGUUCGAAACGCUGGUGGGAGGUUGGUAUAUAAGGCGGUCGCGGCACGUUCGGCGGGCGAGGUGGGACUAAACUUUAGUCCUCACCCCCGCCAACCCUGCCCCCGCACCGCGCGCAUACUCAAUGGGCCGGCCCACGCGCGCCGUCGCGCACAGUCACUGGGCCGUCGUGCACAGUCAAGACUUUUGUUUUAAAAAAAUAGUAUUAAGUUUUUUAAUUAUUUAUGCCUUUCGUUAUCGUAUAAAAAAAUUCUAUAAUUAAUAAAAAUCCAUACGUAAUAUAGAAUUGUUAACUAUAUUUAUUAUAACAAUAAUGAGUUGUUUAUUACAAUUUAUAGGAAAAAAUAAUGAGUUUUUUAUAAUUAAUUGCUAAAACAAUAAUGAGUUUUCUGAUAAUUAAUUGAUAAUGAGUUUUUUUGUAAUGAAUAUUUUAAUCAGUUAUUUGUGUAGAUUAGUAAUUACAUUUUUAAUAUUUAUGUAAUGUUAAUUAAUGUCUAAAAAAUACUUAAAAUAUAUGCAAAGUUUAGUACUGUAAUGUGUUGCAUUAAUGGCUAAUUGUGUUUACAUAAUAAUAAUGCGUUGUUUUUUUAUAAUUUAUAAGUAAGAAUAAUGAGUUUUUUAUUACAAUUUAUAGGUAAAAAUAAUGAGUUUAUGUUUUAAUUUUUUAUGAGUUUUGUGUUAAUGCCUAACAUUUUUCAGCUUAUUAAAAAAUAUUAAUGAGUUUAUUGGUAUAACUAAUAAUUUGGAAACGACCAUUCAUAAAAAACACUACUUCACAUAGAAUUUUUUAAGUAGUUAAAAUAAAAACACUACUUAAUACAUAAUUUAUUAAGUAAUUGUAUUAAAAAGAGUACUUAAUACAGAAUUUAUUUCAUAUUGACAUUAAACAUAUGAAAACUUUACUAUUGUUAUUUCUGCGCGAAUUGUCGAGCUGAUAUUACAAAAUAAGAUAGUAAUAAUGUCAGUUGACUUUAGUUAAAGUCAUAUGACAUUAUUACUACCUUAUCUAAUAAAUAGCUCAAAGGCGGCUAUAUAAGGCAGUCCUGGCGUCCCUCGCGCGCGAUGUGGGACUAAAAAAGCGCCCCUUCCACCUCCCCCCGCGUCGUGAAUCGUAGAAGCAAAAAAAUAGUGAUGAAAAAAAAUAAGCCCACAUGUGCUUGCAUCCCGCAACUGCGUUUAAUCGGUCCGGCCCGAUCAAGCCGGGUGGCGAAAGGGCCGGCCUUUCGGCCCAUCUACGGCUGGCAGCACAGGCCAACGGGGCAGCGGCGGGAUGGGGCGGGAAUCAGAGGAGUUCGUAAAGGGUGGUGGGAGGUUGGUAUAUAAGGCGGUCGCGGCGUCGUUCGGCGGGCGAGGUGAGACUAAACUUUAGUCCUCACCCCUGCCGACCCUGCCCCCGCACCGCACGCACAUUCAAUGGGCCGGCCCACGCGCGCCGUCGCGCACAAUCACUGGGCCGGCCAUCGCGCGCUGUCGAAGAUUAUUUUUGUUAUUUAUUUAUUGUUAAAAAAAUAAUAUUAAGUUUUUAAAUAAAUGUUCUAUAAUUAAUGAAAAGCCCUAAGUACUGUAUAAAUGUUCUAUAAUUUAUGUAAUGUUCAUUAUUUAUUUGUUAUUUGUUUUGCAUUAAUGGCUACAAUUGUUUUCAUAAUAGUAAAGUGUUUUUUGGUAUAAUUUAUAAGUAAUAAUAAUUUGGAAAAUACUCUUCUGAAAAAACACUAAUUGAUAUGGAAUUUAUUAAGCAGUUAUGUUAAAAACAAUACUUAAUAUAGAAUUUAUUAUGUAAUUAUAUUAAAAAAAAUUACUUAAGAUAGAACUAGUUAAUAUAGAAAACGUCACCCCAAUUUUGGGAUGCAGUGGGCAUGCCAAUGUUAGGGCCACACGCAAAAGUUGAACGAAUUCGGACACGAAACGCACGUUGCGUCACGCCCGGUCAGUGUUUUCGGUGCGUUUCACGGAGAAAACCAUAGGAAAUUCAUACGGUGCCGGAAAAUUAUGAAAACUUGCAUGCAUGAUGGCCCUGGCGAUGAGUGCGUGUGGAAAAAGUUUGGGGUCCACAUGCUGAGUCAUAAAAGAGAACGCAGUACGGGGCUGACAUCCUUCAUAUCCGAUCAGUGCCGGUUGCAUAGAUGGUACGAGGUGGCAUACACAAAACGUNNNNNNNNNNNNNNNNNNNNNNNNNNNNNNNNNNNNNNNNNNNNNNNNNNNNNNNNNNNNNNNNNNNNNNNNNNNNNNNNNNNNNNNNNNNNNNNNNNNNNNNNNNNNNNNNNNNNNNNNNNNNNNNNNNNNNNNNNNNNNNNNNNNNNNNNNNNNNNNNNNNNNNNNNNNNNNNNNNNNNNNNNNNNNNNNNNNNNNNNNNNNNNNNNNNNNNNNNNNNNNNNNNNNNNNNNNNNNNNNNNNNNNNNNNNNNNNNNNNNNNNNNNNNNNNNNNNNNNNNNNNNNNNNNNNNNNNNNNNNNNNNNNNNNNNNNNNNNNNNNNNNNNNNNNNNNNNNNNNNNNNNNNNNNNNNNNNNNNNNNNNNNNNNNNNNNNNNNNNNNNNNNNNNNNNNNNNNNNNNNNNNNNNNNNNNNNNNNNNNNNNNNNNNNNNNNNNNNNNNNNNNNNNNNNNNNNNNNNNNNNNNNNNNNNNNNNNNNNNNNNNNNNNNNNNNNNNNNNNNNNNNNNNNNNNNNNNNNNNNNNNNNNNNNNNNNNNNNNNNNNNNNNNNNNNNNNNNNNNNNNNNNNNNNNNNNNNNNNNNNNNNNNNNNNNNNNNNNNNNNNNNNNNNNNNNNNNNNNNNNNNNNNNNNNNNNNNNNNNNNNNNNNNNNNNNNNNNNNNNNNNNNNNNNNNNNNNNNNNNNNNNNNNNNNNNNNNNNNNNNNNNNNNNNNNNNNNNNNNNNNNNNNNNNNNNNNNNNNNNNNNNNNNNNNNNNNNNNNNNNNNNNNNNNNNNNNNNNNNNNNNNNNNNNNNNNNNNNNNNNNNNNNNNNNNNNNNNNNNNNNNNNNNNNNNNNNNNNNNNNNNNNNNNNNNNNNNNNNNNNNNNNNNNNNNNNNNNNNNNNNNNNNNNNNNNNNNNNNNNNNNNNNNNNNNNNNNNNNNNNNNNNNNNNNNNNNNNNNNNNNNNNNNNNNNNNNNNNNNNNNNNNNNNNNNNNNNNNNNNNNNNNNNNNNNNNNNNNNNNNNNNNNNNNNNNNNNNNNNNNNNNNNNNNNNNNNNNNNNNNNNNNNNNNNNNNNNNNNNNNNNNNNNNNNNNNNNNNNNNNNNNNNNNNNNNNNNNNNNNNNNNNNNNNNNNNNNNNNNNNNNNNNNNNNNNNNNNNNNNNNNNNNNNNNNNNNNNNNNNNNNNNNNNNNNNNNNNNNNNNNNNNNNNNNNNNNNNNNNNNNNNNNNNNNNNNNNNNNNNNNNNNNNNNNNNGCAGUACGGGGCUGUCAUCGUUCAUAUCCGAUCAGUGCCGGUUGCAUGGGUGGUACGAGGUGUCAUGCACGAAACGUCACCCAAUUUGGAGAGGUAGUGGGCAUGCCCAUCUUAGGGCCCCACGGAAGAUUUGAACGAAUUCGGACACCAAACGCACGUUGCGUCACGCCCGGUCAGUGUUUUCGGUGCGUUUCACGAAGAAAACCAUAGGAAAUUCAUACGGUGGCGGAAAAUUAUGAAAACUUGCACGCAUAAUGGCCCUGGCGAUGAGUGCGUGUGCAAAAAAUUUGAAUGGUUGCAUUAAAAAAUGCAUUAAUAUUUUCUGUUGUUAAAAAAACAUCGGAGAUAAUGGCUCUCUUUUUGAAGAAUAUGCAUGAUCCAUGUGAACCUUCACAAGCUCUGAGCAGGUGAAGAGUCACAUCGAUCCUGCAUAUCCUCGAAAUAGAGUCCCACAAACUGAGAUGUUUGUGCAUUGACGAAAAAAAAUUAUAUAAAGGAAUCAACGGCGCUCCGGCUUAGCGAUGCGGUAUUAAUCCGAAAUGUUAAAGUACAAUGCAUGUUUUUAAUAAAUGCAUCAUGGGCCAGCCGGCGGUAGUUCUACGGGACGGGUCAAGUGGCCCACUAUGGCGUGACCACGUCUAUGAUGCCGUACGUGCGUGCAUGGCAUGGAAACCACGCCGCCAUUACCUCGCCCCAGGACCGCCUAACCCCGCCGCUUCCACGCACGCCCUCACCCCGAUCCGGCGGUCACACCGCCGUGGCCGUCCCAACUCCCUUCCCUGCCGGCCUGACGGCGACCAUACAAUCCGGCAUCUGCGCGCGACUUGGAUCUCAGGCCCGGCCGUGCCGUCUUGGCAAAGUCGCUCGCACCCUAAACCCUAGGACGGGCCGUCGGCCAGCGCGCUGGUGUGGGCAGAGGGCGCGCGGCUGCCACGACUAACCCACACCGAGUGGGGUUAGGCAACGGGGCUAUCGGUGCACGUCGAGACGCCGGAAGGUAUGGUAUUAAACCAUAUGUAAUGUUUUUUUUUUGAAUCUUGUAACUAGUUAGAUAACUGUCAUCUUAUUUAGAAUGCAAGAAUUGGGAGAUGCGUACUGCUCGAUUGAGAAGAGGUGCAAAUUGGUGGGAAAAUUCACACCCAGACAGCACAUGAUGCUAUGUGGCACAAAUUUGGACAGUGUGUUGAGAAUUCCUUCAGUGAAAAUGAGGAAAAAUUUAUUGGAAUUUAUGAUUACAACGUAUGAUAGUAGUAGAAAGCGAUUUAUUAUUCGGCCAAAUACUGAUGGCAUCAGUGUGCUUAAUGAAGAUGUUUAUGACAUAUUCGGGCUACGUAACGAAGGUGAUGAUGUCAGUAGCAUGAUAGCAACAGUACAACUAGAUGCCAAAAAAAUUGUUCCGAAUCGGUUUCUAGACAAAAGAACAAGCCUAAUCCUCAUCGAUGAGUUGAUAAAAAAUAUUGUUGAUACUCAGUCAUAUGAUGAUGAUAUUGUGAGAAGGGUCGUAUUGGUUCUUAUGGGUAUAGUCUUAGCACCAUAAUCCACCAAGUUUGUUCCUUUUCGUUAUUACAAAAUGGUGGAGGACGUGAACGCUAUCAAGUCAUACAAUUGGAAUGAUUUCACGUUGGGGGUGUGCAUGGAUGCUAUUAAAAAAUCGGUAGAAGAUCUUGAAAAAUUCAAGUGGCCUAUCGGGAACUUGGCUCUUCUUCAGGUACAAGUCAUUUCGUAAUAGUUGUAUGUACAUAUAAUUUUUAUGUGAUCUAUGUGUCUGACUAGUUGUGUUUACUAUCAUGCAGUAUAUAUACUGGGAAAAAGUUGAGCCAAUUGGUGUUGAUACAUUUGAUCCUUUGUCUCGUGAAUACCCACUAAUGCUUAACUGGCCAGAAACGGAAGGGAAAAAGCGAUACGACUAUGACAACAUGCACGGGCGUGGCACCGGCAAUGUGAGUCAAUAAGUAUAGUCCUUAUUGGUUGCACAUAGUAAUUAAGUAUAUUUGUUAUUUAAUUUAUUUAUUUUUGUUUGUUGUACAGAUUGAAAACUGUGUUAGCGAAGAGUACAGACGUGCUAAGGUAGCACGUGAAGGGACUGUCUUAGAGGAAGAAACGAAGAAACCUAAACGUAAAGGUGGUGGCAGGAGUAGAAAGCCAAGCACGUCUGCGGUUUCAUCGAACACGACUUAUAGUAUGGACCAUGUGAUGACAUACAUAAAGUUGCUUCACAAGGAGGUUCUCAAUAUACCCGAAAGAUGUGCACAGGUAAUUUAGAAGUUGUAUUGAACAUGUUUUGAUUGUUCAACUACUUAUCGUGUUUCAUUUGUGUUUGCAGAUGGUAAUGGAAAGGAUGAACACGGAAGGUGUGCUGUACAAACCCAAUAAGAGGAACAACAAUGAUGAAUUUGAUAAUGUAGGUGAAGGAGUUGGGAUGGAGAAUGUCCAGUACAAGUCAUCAAAAUAUUGGCCAGAUAUUGAUUCACCUACCGACGUAAAGAUAGGAACAUCUUUCACGGGUAUCAAUGAUACCUCCGUGCCCGUUGAUGACACGGGUGCUCCGGCGACGAAACCGGGUAAAGGUGAAGCUAUUGAUCCUUUCGUUAUAGUCGAUAAUGGAAACUCUCCAUCUUCGGCAUCAACUAUACGUACAAGAGACUUUUCGUCUAUGUCCCGAACCCCGCAGAAUGCUGAUAUUUCUGGUGAGUCUAUGGAUGCUUUGUCACCAACAAAGUCCGAAGACACGUUUGAGAGUUACCCGACAGAGAGCAACUUAGGUAAUGGUGAAGGCAGUCAGGAAAAUGAUGGUAAGCGCAAAAGAAAAAAGUCGAAAUAUUGCCAAUCCCCCUACGUCAUUCUCAUUACCCGCAAGAAACGUGUUAAAAAAGUAAGUCAAGUACUACCUUAUAAUUCAUUCACACGUUAUGUAGUUUUUUUAUUAUUUUUAAUGACUGUAGCUGCAUUGUUUUAGAUAUGUUUGCAUUGUCAUCACAUUCAAUUCUAGCAAGUUCUCUUAAUAUGACUCCGGAUCACAUAGAGGCAGCCAGAGUUUUUGUUGAGACUCUCGCAUCGACAAAGAAGCAUGCACACCAAACCGUGGUUGAUAUGCCGCCACCAGAUGGGGACAUAUGCACGCCAGCUAUGCUUCACGAUGUCUUGACGUUUAAAUGGUUGAAUGGCGCUGUAUGUAUGAGUUUGGUUUUAACAAAACUCUUAUUUGUACUUCACAAGUUGAUAGAAUUUUUUUGUUUAUGUAUGCAGAUCAUCAAUGCAUAUUGUAAACACCUACAACACCGUCAUUUUUCUGAUCGUUACAUAUCAACAAUGUGGUUCCCCAAAUUUAUGUUGAGUAGGGCAAGGGGAAAGACCAAGUCAGUAAAUGAUUUAGACUCAGAACAUGUUACAAAGAAAACAAAAGUCCUCGCAAGAGUAAUGGAUGAGUAUUUUAGACGGGACAAUGUAUUGCUUUCAUAUUUAUUUGUUUUUAUUAGUCAUUACUAUUUAAUUGCACUAACAUCAUUUGGUUACUAUGUAGGUGUAUUUUCCUAUGCACGUUAAUGAUAAUCAUUGGAUAACCAUAAUGAUGCACACCGUCAAGGAUGAGUUUCAAGUUCUUGACUCAAAUUCUAAAGGCGCAAUUAGCCAAAGAAUUCGCAAUAUGAUUGCCACCCUGGUAUGCUAUAAUUUUCACACUCGCAUUCAUAAAAAUAUUGAGUCAUACAUUAAAUUCUGGUUUUGUUAAUUUGUUUCAGAGAGCUGAAAUUUCUAAGGAUAUUAUGGAGGCCAACUCAACUCUUGAAUCAAAAAAGUUUCCAGAUGUCUCAUCGUGGCCAAUUAAUGAGUAUAAUAUGCCGAGACAAAAAGAUGGGUAAGUUAAAUGAGUACAAGCAAGUGCAUACUAUAUCGUAAGCUGAUCACACAUGUUUAUUGCAGAGUGUCUUGUGGACUUUUUGUGAUGUGGUGCAUAAAAUACUGGGACCGAGAUCGCUGGACACAUGAAUUUGACAGGGAAGAGAUUAAUGAGUCAAGGCCACGUAUUGUCGCGGAAAUUAUUUUUUCAGAGGUGAACAAAUUAGAGAAGGUCAAGAUGAAAAUUGUUAAAAUCAUGAAGAAAGAAUAGGUAUUAGCAUCGGUAGGGUUUUAGUCCCGUAGAAGGUUUCCCUACCGUUGUUGGAUACUUUGAUCGAUUGUGUAAUGCGACAUGGUACUGGGACAGAUUUCGACAAUUUUUCACAUUUUAUUUAUCGCUUUCGUGUGAGACUAAACAUUUAAAUGCGUGUGGGAAAGUACUAUUUUUGUUUUCCUAAAAUGUAUCAGUUUGCGGCUGCGAUGUUAUAUGUACUGUUGUUGUUUCUACUCGCGGCGGUCAUUUAUUUAUUAAAAAAUAUCCCCGCCGUCCUGACUUGGCGCGAUGUGGACAAAACCUGCACAAUUUCCCACGUCGAUUCUGGUGGCAGCAGCGGUGCUGGAUCCGACUAAUAUUCCAGCCCAGCCCGUGCGGUCGCCGAUAGCCGAGGCGGUGGUGGGCCCGCGCAGUCCAGCUAGUGCGGGCUGGCCCGAUUCGCCGUGCGCCAUGCACGGGUCUGCUGGCCCAGCAGCCGACCGACCGACAGCCGCGCGCCCGGUGGCACACGUCUCGUCCCGCCCCACCCAGUGGGCACAUGCAAUGAUCCCGAGGGGGAAUAUGGCGAUCUAUCGGCUCAUAAACGACGCGCGUCGGGCACGUGGGCUGAUCCUCUUUGUUGCGGAUGGGGAUGCUGGCGCGUUGUGUCGACUAGGUUUUGUCCCACCUCGCCCGCGGAGAGACGCACCGACCGGUUUAUAUACCCGCGUCGUCGCCUUCUCACAAGCUCGCUACAGAACACUAAUGAAUGCCCUGUUGUACGCCGUGGCCUCCCCGCUCGGCCGCCGAAAGGCCUCCCAGAAGGUGUUGUAGUAUACUGUUCGUGCGCGCGCCCGGCCACGGCGUGGCCUUUUUUUCAAAUAUUUUUUUCACAUACAUUAAAUUUUAAAAAUGUUAAUCAGUUGACAAAGUCAUGUUUCACACAUAAUAAUAAAAUCGCAUGUCUCAUAACAUCGAACAAGGUGGCAUAAAGAUUAACUCAAAGUGCCAUGUCUCUUAUCCUUAAACAAAGAAACUGAAAGUGCCAGUGCCUUCCAUCGAACAAGGUGACUUAAAGAAUAAACUCAAAGUGCCAUGUCUCUUAUCCUUAAACAAAUAAACUGAAAUUGCCAGUGCCUUCAAUUGAUUAUGAAUACUUCAUCUUUAUGCCCGGUUCCUACAUAAUAAAUUGUAAACAACUCAUCAGACAAUUGUAAAGAGAGAAACAAAAAAUAAUUAAAAUAAUAUAAAAAAUACUUUUCAUUCUCAAGGCACGUUUGCCGUCUAUGGCCCUCUUUCUUACAAAUGCCAGAAAGAGGACCGAGUUUUUUCUCAGAAAAUGAUUUUGGUCUUUCAUUUUUUGUAACAUUUGGAUCUUUCUUUGCCCGCCCUGUUGUGCUCUGUUUAGGGGCGUCCUUCGUGGAAACUUUCACGGGAUCACCUAUGACAUCAACAUGUUGUUCCGUCUGAGGUGGCUCUUCAUGCACAUUUCUUCUACUACCAACAACAUCAUUAUCAGGGACCUUUUUCUUCGCUAUUAUAUUCUACGGACACUGCAUCAACUCAUCAAAGACGAAUGGAUCAUUUGAAGCAACAUGAAAAGCUUCAGCUCCUGUUAUACUGAGUUGACUAUAGCGAGCACGCUGCUCUGCCCCUGUCCAACCCCAGCCAAACAUGUCACUCUUCCGCUGUGCAGGCAGCCCACCUCUCGCAACUUUCGACAUCCUCUUAAGGAUGCAACACUUAGGUAUUUUAGAUAUUUUCAGAUGAACCAACACAUACAGAAUGUGUUUGUAAGGCAAUCCUUUCCGAAGCAUUCGUCCACAACUGUAGUCUAUCGUAUUCUCAGAGUUUUCAGCUCGAUAAUUCACGCUGAACUGAAAUUUGCAGUUAUUUCUCCAUGUCACGAUGAAGGUGUGGCAGUUAACUCCCACUAGCGUCUCAAAAAUCUCAAGCUCUCCCAUCUUCUUCAGAUCUUGUUGAAGAAUAUAAAAAUUGGAAUGAGUGAAUACUUCGGCAGCAUGCUUCUCAAUAUCCUUAUAUUCUGUGACUGAUGGUGGCAAUGACUGAUUUAAAACACAGUCAUCAUGCGCCUCGUUCUCACGUAGUCGAACUAUGCAAUUCUCAUAAUGCACAACUAGGUCAACAAUAGUCAUACCGCCGUCCAGCUGAAGGUGAAGACAAGAGUUAAGGCUUUCACUCCUCUGAUUACUGCGCAUACCCAGAAAAAACCCAUCUGACAGAUAUGAUGAUGCCCACAGACUCCUCUUCCUGUAAAUCCUACUCAGCCACUCUUCUGUUUUAUCAGUCUUCCAUUUACGGACGAAAGCGUGCCAUCUCGCCUCAAAGUUGGCUGGAGAGGUGGAGUAGUACAAGAGUGCCCUGAACUCAUUUAGCGAUUUGUAAUUAAGGUGCUUCUGCAUGUUUUUUUCCACGUGCCAUGAGCAGAGACGGUGCAACACAUCAACUAAAACCAACCGAAUAGCUCGUAUCAUUGCAGCGUCUCCAUCUGUGAUGAUUGACCUUGGCUUUUUCUGACAAUUGGCCUUCAGGAAUGUCUGGAGCAGCCACACGUACGUCGCUUCGGUCUCGUCGGACACAAUGGCACAACCAAAAACUAUGGUGCAACGGUGGUUAUUUACACCAACAAAGGGGAUGAACGGCAUACCAUAUCUGUUCAUCUUAUACGUGUUGUCGAACACAGUCACAUCUCCAUACAACUAAUAGUCCCGCCGCGACUGUGCAUCGCAUCAGAACAUGCUCUUCAAACGGCCCUCCUUAUCGAGCACGUACUCAAGAAAAAGUCUGGAUCCUUCUCCUUUCUGCUCUUCAUAAUCCAGAUUGCUGUGUUAGCAUCACCCUUCGCAAUCAACUUCAUUUUUUCUCGGCAACAUAGGUUGUACACGUCGCGUCUCAGAAACCCACACUUAUCAUACGAGCCAUACCUGCUAAUGAAGUUGUCGACGAUGAUAUGCUUUCUGAUCCUAGCUCCUUCCAUCGCCAAGAUCUCACCUAUCUGGUGAUCUCCCAUCACUCGAUGUGACCGCAGAAAUACCACCUCAUCUGGUCUAGCCAACAAAUGGUUGUGAUCAUCCAUAAAAGCUGCCACGAACCAAACUCCACGUCCUUUGUCCAACUUCACGACUAAAUGUGCGCCCACUCGCAACGAGUCUCAGGUCUUAGCCUGCGGGUACGGCCCUCCGGGUUUAAAAAUUUACUGAGACGUUUUGCUGCCCUCGAGCAAACAUAUCGCCUAUACCGAACAGUGGUUGAAAGUCCUUUUCCUCAUUUCACCUUAUCUUGUCUGAUACUGAAUCCACGGUCUUUGGCGUAGUUAUUAUAGAACACGUAGGUCUCCCAUUGUGAUGCAUAUGUCAUACCCAUAACCUUCAACUGUGUCUCCAGCGCACGUUGCUGGAUUUCAGCUUCCUCAAUGUCCAUAUUAGCUCCAUCCUCAUGCUCAUAUCCAUCAUCACCACUCCAACCAUCAAAGUUAGCCUACAAUAUUCCACAUAAGCAAGUGUAAGUUGUCAUUAACAAGUUUUUAUUAUUCAAUGACAUCUUAAAUUUUGGACCGAACCUGGAUUAUGUUAUCCGCGAAAGAUUCAACACCAUGAUUUUCCUCGUUCUGGACGUCAAUAUCCUCAUGCACAUAAAAAAAUCAUAUGCACAUGUAAGUACCAUAUGGUUCUUCAUCCGACGAAAAGAAUGUACACGUCACUUACGUUUUCACUACAAGCACCCUCCUCCUUGUUUUGAAAAUCCUCCUCAGGUAAAUUAUUGUACGACGACCAGGAUUCAUUGUCGCUGCUAUCAUCAUCAUCAUUUUUACUAUCAUCACCAUUCGUACGAUCAACACUAUCGCUACCAUCCCACUCACUCGUGUCCAAAAACAGAUCCGUAAAUCCAGUUUCUUUAUCCAUUGAAUGAUCUCACAACCAACACUACAAUAUUAUAAUAAAAAUUGAUCUAUCAAUUUUAAAUCAAAUUAAAUGUACUACGAUCAUACAGAUGAGAACUUCUUAUCUAACAAGUGAUUGCACAUAAUUAUUUACAGAUACAAUUUUUUGACAAACUAGACGGCUUACAUGGCAUGCACGUGCACUUCGGCUGGCCUGGCGUGGCUGCGGACGGCGAGGACGUUCCCAGAGAGCUUGAUCACGGAGUUGCGGGCGGUGACGGCGUCCACGUAGGCCACGUCACCGCGAAGACCUGCACGGAGGCGACAUCACGUACGGCGGGCGACUCCAACAACGUCCACGCCGGCCAGAUCCCGGGUGAAGACGGGGAGAAUGGUCGGCGAUCGGCCGGACGGGAAGACGUUGGAAUUGGCAGCGUGAUCACGGCUAGAUCGGCGGGGAAAGGCGACGAUCGGCGGGUAAGGGCGGUGAUCGGCGGGGCGGGGCGACGUUGGAAUGGGCCGCGUGAUCAACGCAGGUCGUGGGUAUUUUUUCGCAAGACGGGGAGAGGGUAGAUGCGAGCCGGCCGUAUCGGCUCGAGCCGUGCGCUCGGCUCUACCCGUAUGGGCACGCCGCANNNNNNNNNNNNNNNNNNNNNNNNNNNNNNNNNNNNNNNNNNNNNNNNNNNNNNNNNNNNNNNNNNNNNNNNNNNNNNNNNNNNNNNNNNNNNNNNNNNNNNNNNNNNNNNNNNNNNNNNNNNNNNNNNNNNNNNNNNNNNNNNNNNNNNNNNNNNNNNNNNNNNNNNNNNNNNNNNNNNNNNNNNNNNNNNNNNNNNNNNNNNNNNNNNNNNNNNNNNNNNNNNNNNNNNNNNNNNNNNNNNNNNNNNNNNNNNNNNNNNNNNNNNNNNNNNNNNNNNNNNNNNNNNNNNNNNNNNNNNNNNNNNNNNNNNNNNNNNNNNNNNNNNNNNNNNNNNNNNNNNNNNNNNNNNNNNNNNNNNNNNNNNNNGAAGCAGACCUCAUGUAUGUAUACGUGUGUGUUAUACAUAAACAUAUUAAGAAUAAAUUUUCAACCACACGUCUUUAGUUUGAGAUUUGACUAUAUAAUUUUUGGACAAUGUCAUAUUAGGACACAAGUACUAAAAAUAUAACAAAAUGGAACUAGCAUGGCAUGAUUACCAUCUGGCGCUGACAUCAAACCAUCUGGCAAAUUUACAUGCAACACUUUCAACUCAGAGACAAAAUCAUCAAGAUCAGCAUCAGAUGAUUUAUCAUCAAAAAAGCUUUUGCAAAAGUAGUGCAAUAUUACCAUAGAUUGCUAUCAUCCAAGGACUUCAGAUUUUUUUGAAUUGAAUAGAAACCGAAACACCUUUUCAAAUUUCUUCAACUCCUCAAAGAGACUAGUCAAUGAAAGAAUUGCAGUGUCAACGAUGACUAGAAAAUUAUGAAGAAAAGAGGACACAGGAAAUUAGAAAUUUAUACAUCGGCGAUUGAAACCCUAGACGUGUAGAUAGAAUGACAGAAAAUUAGGAUGGAUAAUGGAUGGAUGAAUAGUUGAAUAUGUACUAAAGAAUAAAAAAGAGCUACUGAAAUACGGCUCGGGGGAAUCAGGGAUGGAUCGGGCCAGCAGGAAAAUCACCCCUCAACACUGCUCAAUUUAACCUCUAAUCUCUAAUCACCCCUCAUCAUUUAAAAUCAUCUAACUUCCCGGACGGUCACCCAUUCUCUCACUACUCCAGCCUGAGCACGCUUAACUUCCGGGUUCUAUUCUCCCUCGUUUCUAAGUCCGCACUUGUUGUUUUCCUGACCACAGUAAGAUCUCAAUACUAUUAACCCUUAGGAAUUUAACUUGAGCAUGAAGUCAUACAUUUCACUGUUUGAGUUUGAAACUAUUGUUCUAAAAAUAAUUAUUAUUUAGUAACACUAAUAUUUCUUGAAUACGUAGUUUGACCAGAUUUGACCAAAAUUCAAAAAAACUGAAACAAUUAUUUAGUAACACUAAUAUUUCUUGAAUAAGUAGUUUGACCAUUGUUUGACCAUAGUUUGACCAGAUUUGACCAAAAUUCAAAAAAAUUGAUAUAAUUAUUUAGUAACACUAAUAUUCUUGAAUAAUUAUUUAGUAACACUAAUACUUCUUGAAUAAGUAGUUUGACCAGAUUUAACAAAAAUUCAAAACAAAAACUAAAAUUUGAGCAUAACUUUUUUUCCUUUUAGAAUUUGAGGAUUCUAAAAAUUUACAAACAGGCCAUAGGCUGUCAAAAUCGGAUGCGGAUUUUCAUGCUGAAUAUUUUGAUAUAUUAUAUUUUUCCUGACAUCGUAUGCAAAAGUUAUAGCCAUUUUACAUUUUCCCUACACUUUUUGCAAAACAUGUCCAAAUUUAAGUUUUUAAAUUUUUCUAAUGCCUCAAAAGGCGAUCCACAGGAGGGGGAGGGGGUAGAGUUUGAAAAUGGGACCUUUAGUACCGGUUCGUGCCACGAACUGGUACUAAUGCCUCAAACCCCAUUAGUACCGGUUGGUGGCUCGAACCGGGACUAAAGGUCUAACCUUUAGUACCAGUUGGCGCCACGAACUGGUACUAAUGGGCAUCGCACUCUUUAGUCCCGGUUCGUGGCUCCAAUCGGGACUAAAGGUCCCAUUUGAACCGGAACUAAUGCCUGUACGGUGCCCUAACCGCUCGAACCGGGACUAAUGCUCACAUUAGUCCCGGUUCUCAUUAGUCCCGGUACGUAAUGCAACCGGGAUUAAUGCUCUUUUCUGGCCGAACCAAAAUCCUGUUUUCUACUAGUGAUGUAUUGCGGCCUUGCUGUAUGCCGGAUGGCCGCGCGGCGCCCGCAGCAACGACGACUAGCGGCGGCUAAGGAGCCGAGCCACAGGUCGAUGGUCGAUGAGAGGACGAAGUUGCGAAGACGAACUGACCAGCGACGAAGGCGAUCGACGAGAUCUUCGAUUUGUUUCAUCAGAAGCAAAACGAGCGGCCGUGGCGCCGUGCCUUGCAUCUGGGUGGCGUGACGCUUCGCCAUCGCUAGCUAGCUAUCUGCAGGGCCGGCCCAUCUUGUUUCUUUUCUCAUGUAUAAUUUCUUUUCAUGCCUAGUUUUUGCUGGGCUAUACUAAUAUGACAUCAUGGGCCCCCUCCCGGCUUGGGCCCUGGGCCGUCGCCCCUCCCGCCAUACCCCAGGGCCGGCCCUGAUACCCUCGCGGGUACAUCCUAUAUGCCGGGACCUUAACAAGACCCACGCUUACGACCUACCUCUACCUUGACCUCUAGGACAUUCAUGGCACUUUGCCCUACAUCUACCUCGACCACCGGGACAGAUCUCUCUCAAAAUGGCUAUGAGCGACACCCAAAAACUACUGGGCUGAAACCAUCACAUUUGAGGUCUGCGACGUCGAAGGCAUCUAUGUUCUUCUGCUUAACUACUUGUUUCUCUGAACCUUUGAAUGUCUAAUGCAUAACUCUCUGAAUAGUUUUUCAGUCUAACAUGGUAAAUAUUUCAAUUUUAACAAGACAUUCUUACCAUUCAGAGCCCCAACCAUAGCCCCCGCGUCGCCCCUCCCGCGGGCGACACGGGCGGUGCCGCCACCUCCUGCCGCUAGCCCUUCCCCUCAUCCCCUUCCCCGCCGCCGCCGGCCAGAGACACAUGGGCAAAGCCCCCGCGGUGGCUGGCGGCGGGGGCCUUCUCCCCUCCUCGCGCCCGUGGCCUGCGGGGGCGGCCAGGCCAGGCGGAGGCGCCGGGGCGCGCGGAUCCUGGCGGCGCAGCGGCGGCAAUCUUGACGGCGGCGGGCCCGAUGGCGCGGCUGCAGAUGGGUCGACGUCUAGCUGUGUGGCGGCUGCGUGCGGGUCUCCUCGUGGCGGCGGCCUUCGCCGGCGGCGGGGCGGCACGUGCGCGACAUCCGACGAGGGGUGGGGACGCGGCCGCGGUGGCUUCCCGUGCGACACGGAUCUCAUCUGGUACGUGGUGAAGAGGCUGCGGCGUGUGCCCUCGGGGAGGAUGGAUAUCCACGCCCAGAUCUGUCGGCGGCAUGGCGGCGGAGGUCGCAGUGGCCGGCGGCUCGGCCAGUCGGCGGCGGCGGAACAAGGCCGGUGGCAGCGGUGAUGUUCUGUCUGAAUCCCGGGGCGGCAGCCCUGGAUGGUGGCGGCGGGUGCAGCUCGGGCUUCCCGCGGUGGCAUGGCGUGGUGCAGUCCCUGUCCAAGGCGGAUCUGUGAGGGCGAUCUGAUUGCGGAUUGGUUCGGAUCAGAGAUGGUGACGAGUGUGUGGGAUCCAUCUUGGCGGAUCUCGCGGUUUGGCGAGGUGGGGGUGGGAGACCUCCUCCCAGGCUCCAGUGGUGGCACACUCUGGCAGUGGCCGGUGCGCCAGGGCUCCUACGGUGGCACUGCUGUUGCGGUUGAUCGCCGGAUCUAGGUGACUAGAUCUGGGUGUUUGAAGGCGGCCGAGACGGUGCACAGGUUGUCGGGUGGAUUCCUUGGGACGGAUCCGGAUGAAACCUGGUAUUCGGUCGUUGGUUGGCCGGAGCCGGUGAUGACGAUGCCCUUAUCAUCGUUUCCUUCAUGAAGGCAUCAUCGAGGUGAAACACCCAACCCCACCCAAUACCUCCGGGGAAAACUCUAGAUCAGUUGAUCGGAUGAUGACGGCAUUCAUGUGUCGUUACCCCCUUGGGGGCGGCAUUUUUGGAGAUGCACUCGGGCUCGAGGGACCAUCGGUUGGCUUCUUCGAUGGAUCGGUGUUUCUUUCUACAUAUUCAUGGCGGAGGUUCUUGGCGGCAUGGAGCAGCGGAGGCUUGGCGUCAGAUGUGUGGCGAUGGACACGUGUAGGAGGUCGACGCUGCCUGGGGUCGUGGUGGCGUCGGCAGCAGCUAGAUCGGGCAAGGUAGAUGCAGCAAUACAUCUCUGAAGAUGGAUUGAUGGGAGGUGGCUGCGGCGGCCUCAUACCUGACAAGCGUCUUGGUUGAGGAGCACGCCGGACUGGUGCGUGCCCAUACCCGGCAGACGUCCUGGUUGGGGACCUCAGGUCUUAAAUGUUUAUGUUUGGCUGCGAGGUCUGUUUGAUAUUAGGCACAGACUAUCAGCAUCCCUUCAUCAAUUGGAUAUGAGUAGCGACGGUGGCUUCACUCUUACUGUUAUAUGACUUUGUAAGGUCUUGUGUGAAUAAUUAAUAAAAUGGCUACAUGGAUCGUCCAGAUGCACAUGCCGGAAUUCCUCCUCCAUUUCUAAAAAAUAAAAAAAAUAAAAAUCAAUGAUCGACUCAACACUCUUGUAUAUACGUCUUUCAUUUAUAUCUCUAACAAAUGCGCUCUACAAAUCUGGGGUUUCCACCAGUAAAAAGAGAAUGGAACACUAGGACUAGUGCAGCUUCCUUCUGAAGAAAGUUGCAGUCACUACUCUACUACCGGCCCUGAAGAACUGUCAUGGCCAUGGUGUUCCUGGUGUUCUCGAGAUCGCUUCUCUGGCUCUUCUCUCCCAUCAUUUCGAUAAAAGCAGGCUGCACCGGCGUCGGGAGGGACAGCGACGACACGCUUCCAUUUUCCAAGAUGGAGACGACCGACGACAUUAGCGGCCUCCUGCUCGGGUCGUCCUCCACGCACAGGAGCCCGACGUGGAUGCAGAGCAAUGCCUCAUCCUGUGAACAGCUCCCUGCCAUGGAUGGGUCCACCAGCUUCCCUGCCUUCCCUUCCCUCCACAGGCUCCAUGCCUAGUUGAAAAUAAUAAUAAUCAGAUUCAACCAUUUGUGUGUGUACGUGUGUACGUGUGUGUGUGUGUGUGUUAUAUUUUCCAAAAGAUGAAUAUGGAUUUGGGCAUGGCAUGGACUGAAAUAAAAAAGGCAUUGGCAGUUUUAGUUCGGGUGCUUACAUAGAUUAUGAGGCUGGGAAACUCCAUGAUGCCCUCGGUUGCGCUUACCCUGAUGCCACUCACGGUCUCCAGCAGCAGCACGCCGAAGCUGUACACGUCGGACUUGACGGAGAAGACGCCCUCCGUCGAGUACUCAGGAGCAAUGUAGCCACUGUCCACACAGUUUUUUUUUGUCAGAAGAGGUGCCACAUGCAUUUUUCUGUUAAAUGCUAACUACUGUACCAACUUAAAACAGAAUUUUUUUUUUUGUCUUUCAGAAAUUUCAGUCAAGUGUUCAGGUUACUCACUAUGUUCCGACGACUUUCCGGGUGUUGGCUUUCACCUGGUUGUCACCAAAGAUCUUUGCCAUGCCGAAGUCGGCGAUCUUGGGCCGCAUCUCUGCAUCCAGCAGCACGUUGCUGGCCUUGAGGUCCCUGUGAAUCACCGUCAGCCUGGAGUCCUGGUGCAGGUAGAGCAGCCCCCUGGCCACCCCCUUGAUGAUCCCCAAUCGCGUCGGCCAGUCCAGCACCGCUUUCCUAGCACUGUCUGCAGAAAAUAAACGUGAGAAACUAUGGCAAAGAAAUAAAUUCAGUAACUUACUUGAGCUAUAUGAACAUUGUAUGUACCAAAGAGGACGGCGUCGAGGCCCUUGUUGGGCAGGUACUCGUAGAUGAGCAGCUUCUCGGCCCCCUCGGUGCAGCAGCCGAGGAGGCGGACCAGGUUCCGGUGCUGCAGCUUGGCGAUCAGAGUCGCCUCGUUCUUGAACUCCUCUGCUCCCUGCUCUGAAUCCUUGCUCAGCCGCUUCACAGCGACCACCUGACCGCCGUCUAGUUUUGCCUUCCCAAUGGUAAACACAAACAAGCAGUGGAGUGAGACCAUGUUUUUUUUUUUUUUUAAAAUUUGGCCACUGAAUUUUGUGCUAAACUGACAGAACAUCGAACUUCAGGUGACUGAAAGACAGGUGAAAGAUAGUAUACCUUGUAGACCUUGCCGAAGCCGCCGCGCCCGAUCAUGAGGGCCUUGGAGAAGUUGCCCGUGGCGGCGACGAUGUCGGCGAACCGUAUGGACGGGAACUCGAGGUCUCCGGUGUGAUCUCCUUCACCGAUUUCGCUCGACGUGUUUGUGGUCCCCGUCCUUGUCCCGGGCAUUGGCGUCUUCUGGCUCUCGGUUUUCCUCCUCUUGUCUGUAAGAUUGUUGUGAUGAGCAUCUUGUCUAAGAAUGAAAUGGUUGGGCAUGGCAGGUUUAGAGGUAAGGAAAUGUAACUGUACCUCUGCAUCUGCAGAACCAUACGAAGAAAAUGCAUGUGAGCAGCAGGACGGCUGCUGACACCGGCACUGCUAUCUUCACGGCAUUUCCGCUGGCCUUUCCACCUGCACAUGCAAAUACAAGGCAAAAGUUUGAUGAAACAACAGUAAACUUUUUGUUCGAAUUCAGCAAAAUCAGACGGAACUCUGAAAAUCUUUUCUUGAAAAAGCUCUGAAAAGUUUGGUUAACUUGAUUGUAUACCCGGGGAAGUGGAAGCAUCAGCGACGGGCACGCGGAGGUAGAGCGUCUCGCCGCCCCAGCGCGGGCCGAUCAUCUGCGCGUCCACGAGCUCCCCUGCCCACACGAUGCACCGGCUCAGCUCGCCCUUGGCGCUGCUGCUCUGCAGGUUGGCGUACGCGUACGCCUCGCACGAGCAGUUGGCGGCGCACCUCGCCGCGCACUCCCCCGCGCUCCGGUUGCCGGUGUCCAGCGAGAACUUGUCCGGCACCUUCAUGGUCGGCAUCGCCACGAAACCCACCCCCAUGCCGCCGCCGCCGCAAGGCGGCAGCGCCUCCUUCCGCCGGCACCCCUGCUCGAACACGCCCGCGCCCCACUCCGACGCGCUCGCCGGCUCGAAGCCGUCGAGGCACCUGCACGCCGCCGGGGCCGCGGUGACGUCGCAGUACCCGUACGCGCCGCAGCGCCUGUAUGUGCUGCACCCGCUCGACGGCCACGACAGGAGCGUGGCCCACGCCGACACGGUGCUGUUCCAGCUAAGGAGCUGGAACCUGCCGGAGCUGGUCACCACGUACCGCGUGGGCGCGGCGCCGCCGGAGAGGGUGAAGGCGAUGGAGAUCUCCUCCUCGGUGUCGACGAUCGCCGUGUAGAGCACCGUGCCGGCGCUGAGGUACAUGCUGGCGACGGCGUACCCCUUCCAGACGGGCGUGCGCCAGUAGGGCCGCGUGCCGUUCCACAUGAGCAGCUGCAGCGACGUGCCGGGGUCCAGGCCGUAGGAGAAGGGGCCCGGCGCUGGGUCGCCGGGGGAUUUCCAGGACACGAUCCGGUUGCCCUCCCCCGUUAGGUGGCUCAGCCGCACCUUCAUCCCCGGGACGAACGUGUCCGUUGGGUGGUCGAAGCUCUGCCACGCCACCGUGCCGUUCAGCGACCGGACGACCAGGUUGCCCUCGUUCGUCAGCAGGGCCGGCGGCGGCGACGAGGACGAGGAGGACGAGCCGCCCGCGCCGGGAGUCCUCCAGAGCACGCGGCCGUCGGCGUCGGACAUGACGAGGCUGGAGUCGUUGGCCAGCGCCAGCGUCGGGGAGCCGGCAGCCGGGGCCUCCCGGUUGGCCACCCAGACAACGGUGCGGGGUGCAGGGAUGCCGUUGUACCAUAUGCCAAGAUACCGUCUCGCCGGUACCGCGGCGUCGUCCGGGGAGAAGAAGCCAAGAGCGAAGGCGCCGCCAUCAGACACGAGGGUUUGCUCCACACGGAGCCUCUCGCCGACGGCCAGCUGGUCCUCGGCGGACGCGCAGGGGAAGCAGACGGCGACGGCGAGGACCAGGACGGCGACGGAACGUGACAGGUCCAUCGACCAAGUUCAAGGUGCGUGCAAGCACAUUAGCUUCGGCGACGCGGGGAGCGCGAUCAGUGAAGGUAGCUAGCUACAGCCUUGACAUUUGAUCAUUCGUGUUCUUGGCCGGCAAGGCGCGCGAUGUAGCCUAGCAAGGCACACGGUGACACGAGCUUGUGAAUUCAUAUUGACUAGUUUGAGCAUGCACCAGGGUCCAGGGAAGUGCAGUGCACAUGGGCGCAGGUGAAAUGGUCUGGUCUACUGUGUGUGCGCGUGACGCGCAAGUGCAUACCGUACCGCGACCUACCUUGUCCAACAAGGACAGUUGAUUCUGUGGUGUUUUGGCACGAGGGCACGACCGAUCUGGUUGACACGGUGGAUUGUUGACAAUGUGGGCGAAUCUCGAGGUUCUCGCCGGUGGUUGGAUUUCGCUGUUCUCGCCGCCGGCAUGCCCAAGGAGGGAAGGCUCGUCGAGGGUGGCAAGGUUUUACCUGCCACACUGGGCUCCUCAUGUCGUUCACGUUCCCGGUCCAGAUCUGUUGUAGCGAGGCGGGGGCCUUUCCUGCAUUCAGUUCAUCGGCAGAACCGACGGGCGCGUCGGAUUCGGUGGCAACCGCGAGGCAGUAUAUGGGGUGCUAGGGUUCCACCCUUCCCAUUUUAGCGUCAGGAUGGACGGAUGACGGAUUUGAUUCCGGCAGAUCUUGUGUACGGGGUUCGGAGCGAGUAGUUUAGACGCGAUGGUAACAAAGACAAGAGAUUUUACCCAGGUUCACCAGCCAAAAAAAAAGAUUUUACCCAGGUUCAAGCUCUUCGAGGAGAUAAAACCGUAUGUCAUGCUUGUGUUGAAUUGAUUUGGGAAGGAGCACAAAGUACAGGUUGCUACUAGAUCUUCGAUCUGUCUAGAUCUGAUGAUUUAAGUUGUCCACCUGUCGUUACAUUCUAGUCGAGCCCACCUGUCGGUGUGUUCACCCGACGGCUCGGACCCAGAUGGAUUGUUAAUGAUGGAUGGAUUGUGUGCCAGUCCGGGGCCAUCGUCAUUGGGCGGCGUUCGUCACGCCGCACGCGCACACACCGUGUUUUUCCUAAAAGUACGCUACCAAGCAAGAAUACAAUCCUUGGGGCCACCGCGAGCAAGGCCCUUGCGGGCGCGCCUGACGCCGCUCAGUGAUGAUGGCCCCUGGGCGAGCCCCACAGCCCACCCGUCAUGGACCUUCUAGGCAGGUCACCCGGGUCCAAGCUGUUCAGGCAGAUCGGACAGCUCGGAGCCGUCCUGAGACGCUCCCGCCGCAAGCCAACAGGCAAUAGUGGGCCAGAAGCCUCUCUUCAUCCUCGACGAGCCAAAAACGCGGCACUCCAGCAUCCUUUACCGAAAAAGGCUUUCGCCCCGCUUUAUAAAUAAAGCAAACCGUCAAAGAGCACACAUACAGAAUCAAGUCCACACACACACCCAAGUCUCACAACAUAGUACAUAGGUUCUGCUGAGGGCACAACUCAACAAGCCCAAAGAAAAUAAAAGAACAGAACACACCGGACGAAGAUAACGCCUCCGACAGGCGGACGGCGGCGGCGGCGGGGGCGGCGGCAACAGGCGGACGACCAUCGAGCGAAGAUCGGCGAUGAAGACUGAGAUGGAGUCACGGUCCUGGGGGCGGCUAAGCGGCCGCCAAAGCUGUAAGAAACCCGAGAGUUUGAAAAGAGCAUCAGAAGCCCGUCGGAGAGGUGUGCGCUGAAUCACAAGCUUAUUGCGGACUGUCCAGAGGGUCCAGGCACUAGUAGAAAAAGGACGUAAUAUGAGACACAUUAGUGCCGGUUUGGUUUUGAGCCGGCACUAAUGUGUCCAAUAGUGCCGGUUCCAACAGCUAGCCGGCCGUUCUCAUUAGUACCGGUUCGUGGCGAACCUAUUGUACUGGUUCGUGGCACGAACCGGUACCAAAGAGGGUGGUGGCAGGGUGUUGUCAGUCUGGGGCCCCUCCAGCACCUUUAGUACCGGUUCGUGGCACGAACCGGUACUAAAGGCGACGUACAUAAACCCUUUGUCCCUCCCGAGCCACUCUGUUCUUCCCCUUUCCCCUCACUUUCUCUGUUCUUCCCCCUCUCUCCUCAAGCUCCUCACAAAUUUUGCCCAAAAUUUGUCAAGAUUUGAAGGCCCCCAUCCAUUCAAAUGAUCACAAAGGUUAGCAACUUUGUCCUUUCAACUCUCAUUGCUAGAUUAGCUCUUGCAAUGCUUUGUAUAGUGAUUAAUUUGGCAGGAAUAAUUAUAUUUGCUAGUAUUUGAUUUAUAUGCAGUUUGAGCACAAAAAUAACACUUAGUUUGCAUAUGUAGGUGUGGUUUACUUAGUGCCUUCUAAAUCUCCGUCGUAACCACCGUCGAUCGCCCGCACCGUCCCGUCGCCGGCACCACCUUCUGGUGAGGCUCUUGUUCAUGAAUGUUUUACAUUACCAUAUUGAUGUUUAUGUGAUUUGGAUAUAUAGUUACUCGUAUAAUUAUCUUACCCGUACGUUGUUUGUUAUACAUAGUGCCAUGGUUUUGAUAUCCGUCCCCAUCGGCCCUCGUCCUUGUUAUGAUUCGGAUGUGGUAUAUUCUCUUUUAAAACAAGUUGUUGCAUUUCGUGUUUAUGACAAAUUAUGCCCAUCAAGUUGACAUAGAUAUUUUUAUCUAGGAGGUAUGUGAACCGAAAAUUCCAACCGACCCUAUUGUCGACAGGUUAAAUUUAGUUGAAAGAGAAAACGAGUAUUUGAAAGAAAAAUUGAAAAGAAUUGAGGGGGAGAAGAUGGAAUUGGAGUUGCAUGUUGCCGAUGUCGUCGAUGAUCACAAGAUCAAUAUGGAGAAAAUGAGGUUGAAGAUUAGAAAGAUUAGAAAAUAUGCCAUUGAUAGUGUGGCUUGGUAUCAUUAUGCUGUUGGAUCAAUUGUUACCUUAAUUGCGAUCUUCAUCGCAUUUGUUGUUGCAUUUAAAUUCUUUAGCUAGAGAGUUAUUUGUAUGUUGCAUUUAAUUAAGUGUUGUAUAUGAACUUUAUGUAUGAACUUGUAUUAAUUUGGUCUAUUCGGUGUUGUGUAAUGAAGAUGAGCCGACAAUGGAUGUAUGAUGACAGAUGCUCUCCCGAGUUCAUUAAUGGCGUGCAUACUUUUCUGCUUGCCGCUGAGGCAAACAAGCGGGCGGAUGGUUUUAUGCCUUGUCCAUGUGCUGGCUGUAAGAAUGGUCACAGUUACUCUACGUCAAGAACCAUUCACGUCCACCUAUUUGAGUCCGGUUUCAUGCCCCACUAUAAUGUUUGGACCAAGCACGGAGAAAUAGGGGUUAUGAUGGAAGACAAUGAAGAAGAAGAGGACGACGACGGCUAUCCUAGCCAUGGGUUCCCUGAAUACGAUGAUACAACAAUGGGGGAACAAGCUGAGCUGGCAAUGCAGAAAGAAGCUGAAGAAGAGGCAUCAGAUGAGCCCGCUGAUGAUCUAGGUCGGGCCAUUACCAAUGCAAAGAGAAACUGCGCAAGUGAUCUAGAGAGGACGAAGUUGCAGCGCAUGUUAGAGGAUCACAAGAAAUUGUUGUACCCGAAUUGCGAAGCUGACAAAAAAAGUUGGGCACCACACUUGAAUUGCUGCAAUGGAAGGCAGAGAAUGGUGUAUCUGAAAAGGGAUUUGGAAAGUUGCUGGUAAUGAUAAAGAAUAUGCUUCCAAAGGACAACGAAUUGCCCGAGAGUACGUAUGAAGCAAAGAAGGCUGUCUGCCCUCUAGGGUUAGAGGUGCAAAAGAUACAUGCAUGCCCUAAUGACUGCAUACUCUACCGCGGUGAGUACGAGGAUUUGAAUGCUUGCCCGGUAUGCGGUGCAUUGCAUUAUAAGAUCAGUCGCGAUGACCCUGGUGAUGUCAAGGGUGAGCGCCCCAGGAAGAAGAUUCCUGCCAAGGUGAUGUGGUAUGCUCCUAUAAUACCACGGUUGAAACGUUUGUUCCAAAACAAAGAGCAUGCGAAGGCGAUGCGGUGGCACGCAGAAGACCGUAAGAAAGACGGAAAGUUGAGAGCACCCGAUGACGGUUCGCAGUGGAGAAAAAUCGAGAGAAAGUACUGGGAGGAGUUUGCAGGUGACCCAAGGAACGUAUGGUUUGGUCUAAGCGCAGAUGGCAUUAAUCCUUUUGGGGAGCAGAGCAGCAACCAUAGCACGUGGCCUGUGAAUCUAUGUUUGUAUAACCUUCCUCCUUGGUUGUGCAUGAAGCGGAAGUUCAUUAUGAUGCCAGUGCUCAUCCAAGGCCCUAAGCAACCCGGCAACGACAUUGAUGUGUACCUAAGGCCAUUAGUUGAAGAACUCUUACAACUGUGGAAUGGAACAGGUGUACGUGCGUGGGAUGAGCACAUGGGGGAAGAAUUUGACCUAAAGGCGUUGCUGUUCGUGACCAUCAAUGAUUGGCUUGCUCUCAGUAACCUUUCAGGACAGACAAACAAGGGAUACCGUGGAUGCACGCACUGUUUGGAUGAUACCGACAGUAUAUAUUUGAAUAGUUGUAAGAAGAAUGUGUACCUGGGACAUCGUCGAUUUCUUCCGAGCAGGCAUCCCAUAAGAAAGAAAGGAAAGCAUUUCAAAGGUGAGGCGGAUCAGCGGACGAAGCCUCGCCACCGUACUGGUGCUGAUGUACAUGAUAUGGUCAAGGAUUUGAAGGUAAUCUUUGGAAAGGGUCCUAGCGGACAACCUGUUCCGAAGGACGCUGACGGACGCGCACCCAUGUGGAAGAAGAAAUCUAUAUUUUGGGACCUGCCAUAUUGGAAAGACGUAGAGGUCCGCUCCGCAAUCGACAUGAUGCACGUGACGAAGAAUCUUUGCGUGACCCUGCUUGGCUUUUUGGGCGUGUAUGGGAAGACAAAAGAUACACUAGAGGCACGGGAGGACCAGCAACGUAGGUCAGGCCAGCUACGCUCUUACCAAAGAAGAGAAGGAAAUCUUCUUCGAAUGCCUUCUCAGCAUGAAGGUACCGUCUGGCUUCUCGUCGAAUAUAAAGGGAAUAAUAAAUAUGGCAGAGAAAAAGUUCCAGAACCUAAAGUCUCAUGACUGCCACGUGAUUAUGACGCAACUCCUUCCGGUUGCAUUGAGGGGGCUUCUACCGGAAAACGUUCAAUUGGCCAUUGUGAAGCUAUGUGCAUUCCUCAAUGCAAUCUCUCAGAAGGUAAUCGAUCCAGAAAUCAUACCAAGGUUACAGAAUGAUUUGGUGCAAUGUCUUGUCAGUUUCGAGUUGGUGUUCCCACCAUCCUUCUUCAACAUCAUGACGCACGUCCUAGUUCACCUUUGCGAAGAGAUUAACGUUUUGGGUCCUGUAUUUCUACACAAUAUGUUCCCCUUUGAAAGGUUCAUGGGAGUCUUGAAGAAAUAUGUUCAUAACCAUGCUAGGCCAGAAGGAAGCAUCUCGAAGGGCCAUGAAAAUGAGGAGGUCAUUGAGUUUUGUAUUGACUUUAUUCCUGACCUUAAGCCGAUUGGUGUUCCUGAAUCGCAGCAUAAGGGCAGACUGGAAGGAAAAGGCACGCUAGGAGGGCAUCAAAUAAUAUGUAUGGAUGGGCAUUCUCUCACUGAAGCACACUACACAGUUCUACAGAAUUCCGCCUUGGUGGCUCCGUAUAUGGAGGAACACAAGAAUUUUCUACAGUCCAAACACCCGGAGAAGUCUGACGACUGGAUUACACGCGAACAAACGAGGACUUUCGCCAGUUGGUUGCAGAAACGUGCCCUGAAUGAUGGCGAUAUUCAAAAUGACCUGUACUCGCUGUCCCAGUUACCAUCUUUGAAUAUAAUGACUUUCAAAGGGUACCAGAUAAAUGGGAAUACAUUUUACAUGAUCGCCCAAGAUAAGAAGAGCACCAACCAAAACAGUGGUGUCCGCUUUGAUGCAACAACCAACACGGGAAAGGAAACAUAUUAAGGUUACAUAGAGGACAUAUGGGAACUUAACUAUGGAUCAGGUGAUUUGAAGGUCCCUUUGUUUCGGUGCAAAUGGGUCAAUAUGACACGAGGCGGGGUAACGGAAGACCCGCAGUACGGAAUGACAACAGUGGAUCUCAACAAUCUUGCGUAUGCAGACUAACCAUUCGUCCUAGCCAAUGAUGUGGCGCACGUUUUUUAUGUGAAAUACAUGUCUACCAGGCCGAGAAAAAGAAAACAUAAGGAAGCGAAUGGAUCAUACGACAAGCCAAAGCGCCACAUAGUUCUUUCAGGAAAAAGAAACAUCGUGGGAGUGGAUGACAAGACAGACAUGUCAGAAGAUUAUGAAAAGUUUGAUGAAAUUUCUCCAUUCACAGUGAAUAUUGACCCGAGCAUCCAGUUAAAUGAUGAAGAUUUUCCCUGGCUACGGCGCAAAGGGACACACGAGAACAAAAAGUUUCACACCCAAAUAUCUGGGAUGUGAUCGGAUUCACUAUCAUCACUUUCUUCUGUGUUUCACACCAAUGAGGGAAUGUCUGUAAUAGUUAGGGUAGUUAAUUAUGUGUUUUGGCAUUUGAAACGCGAAGAAAUUUUAUGUGCAAAAAAAUUCUUUUUCACGCAUUUACUGAUUUUUUUCCAGCUAAAUGACCCUGAAAUUGAAAAGCAUUUGAAAUGAACUCAGAAAAGGUUGAAAGUUGGCAUGGUAUCAUAAUUUCAUACAAAUAGCAUGUGCAAAAAAGUAGAGAGGGUUACGGCAAAAACUGGAUACACUUCGUGUACAAAAUGGACAAUCUUUUUCGAAGUAUCAGGGUUUCCGAGGAAAACUGAAAUGUUACAAAGGCAUUUCAUUUUUUAAAUAACCUAAGCAUUACCAAAUUGAAUAUAAUGAUAAAACACACUAAUAUUAAACAUAAGAAAAAAGAAUCACUAAAAAUCUUUUUCCAAAGUUAAGUUAUUCACAAACUAGUGAUUCACACAAAUUUCAAAUAAUUCAAAAUUUAAACUAUUUAAAUUUGAAAACUACCGGCACUAACAGAUCAAAGUUUGUAAAUUUUUGUACCUAAAGCAAAAAUAUUCACAAAGAAAGUCUAAAUACAGCAAAAAACAACUCAAAAAUAAAUAAAACAAAUAAAAAA
rnacentral:lncRNA from 1 species